rnacentral:lncRNA from 1 species
UUCUCCUUCCUUGGUUCGCUGGAGUCCGGCGCCGGCCACCGUUGUGUCGUCGGUUUCUGGAAAAACUUUAAAGCUUCAUAUCUCACUCAUUUUUUCAACCAAAAUUCAUGAAAUUUGUACCAAAAUGAAACUUAGGAUGUGAAGAACACAUUCUUACCACUUUUAGGACCUAAAACCAAUGGAAUCUCGCCGGAAAAACUCACGAUAAUCUGGCCACCUCUGCAACUUGAUGAACUCAAGUGUUCCAACGUCCAAAAUCUUCCAAAAUUCUUCUAAAAGCUUUGUGAAGACGAUUUAAGACCUCCAAAAAGCUCAAAACUUCAAGAAAAACUCGUGAUCAUGUCGAGUGAACAGUGCACCUCCUCGGAGCUUAUUGGUUCUUGAGUUCCCAACAUCGUCACGUCCAACCAAAAGUAUGUAUGAGUUCGUAAGGUUACCAGGAAGGUGAUGAUGAUGUUUGUAACCUCGAUCCAUGCCUGAAAUGGUUGAUUCACUAGUUGACUGUACAAGUUGUACGGACAAUGAAGAAAAUUCGUUAGGGAAGAGAGAGAGUCAACGGGAGAGUGAGGGUGUGUGAGUGUGUGGUUUGGGUUGCAGCCAAUCAAACAAAACCUUAAGUUCUUUAGUUCUAAUUGGGUCCAAUUAAUUAGGAAUAUAACUAAUUGAUGCCUUUUCUUGGCCCAAUAAUACAAUCUCAACUUAACGCACCAGGGCAUAACCGUCACUUCACGCUAUCGAGGAUAAAAUAUUUCGGGACGGGUUGUCACAUGGGUUGUCUACGAAUUUAAGGUAUUCUUUUUAGGGUUUGGAUUGGAAUUGUGAUGCUUUAAAAAAAACAGUUUAUUAAAAAAUUUGAAGCAUUAAAUGUGUUUGGUAAAAAUAAAAUAAAAAGUGAAUUUUUAAUAAAUUGUUGUUAAUAAAAGCAGAAAAGUAUAGAAAAAUAGAAAUAGGGUCUACCAUGCUUCUAAAAAAAGUUUUUUUUUUCAAAGCAUAGUAAUCAAUGCUUAUGUAACGAACUUUUCAAAUUACAAGUAUACCCCGCAUGUUUUACAAAAUUACAAUCUUUACCGUUACAUUAUUGUCUUUGACAAUUAUUAUAUCACAUUAAAUACUAUAUCAUUUUUAAUCAUUUAACAUAUAAAAGUUUACUAAACACUCAAACACUGAUUUUGUUUAUUAAAACCACUUUUACAAAAAAAAAAAAAAAAAUUUCUCCAAAAAUUUAAUAACUUUAUUUUACAACUAUUUAUUCUCACAGUACAACAUAAACAUUUUUUUUAACACAAUAAUACCUAACUAGCCCUUAAACUCACCACAUUCUUAGUACAACUACAAAUGUGCAUCAGACCCCGAAGAGGCCCGAACUCAUUUCCCUCCGGAACACAAGCGGGGCAAAACCACCUGCUUUUGUAUAUAUUUGUUGCAUGUGUGUAUAUAUAUAUAUAUGCAAAUAGCUAGGCAGUAUAUAAUAUACGGACCCGGCUUCUCUGCCCUCCUAGUUCCUAUACACUUACAUCCCCUCCUAUUUUGUGCGGUCACAGUUAAGUUAUGUCAACAUUUUAUAUUGAUUUUUUAUAGAGAUAAUAAGACAAAAAACAAUAGUGAUCUAAAAUGUUGACGUAGCUUAACCGUGACCGCACAAAUAUAAGAGGAUGAGAGUGUAUAGGAACUGGGAGGGCAGAGAAGCUAGGUCCCUUACAAGCUCUAGUCAGAAGAAUUCAGCCAGGCUGUAGCACAUGUUCAAAUACUUAACUUUAUUUAUUGGCCACCUUUUUUUUAUUUUUUAUGAAUAGGGACGAUAUUGUAUUUCAUUCAACUUCACAAACAGAUACAAAUGUGACCAGUUGGGUACAUAAACUUGAGUGACCAAGAAAUUAAUUUGAAGUAAAUUUGUGCAGUACAACAAAUAAUAAUGGUAAACCCCCCUAAGCCCAGCUUUUAAAUAGAGGUGAAAAUCCAUGAACGAAUUAAAAAUCAAAAGUGUAGUAGUUGGAACAAUUUUGUUUCCCUUAAAAAAAUUACAUAUAAAAAUACAAUAAAUAAUUAACAUUGAAAACCUUAUGGCUGUUGUAUAGAAGAUUUAACUCAUAAGGUAUUCUGACACAAGAUAUAUUAAUAAAGGGAUAAUACUAGCUUCCCCCAUGUGGGGAUACACAUAUUCCUCAUUUGCAAAUAACGUAUUUUGAUCGAAUAAAUCAACGAUUGGAACCGUCAAAUUUCUUAAUCUUAAUUCAAAAACCACUCCUACGAAAAACAUUUGAAUUAAAGAUUGUUUUAUCACCCAAAUCUAUCAAAUAAUAAACGUUUUAUUAUGAAAAUGUUAUUUGAUAUCUAUAUCGUUAAUUUCCUGUAUACAUUUGAAUGACUAUCAUUUUUGUAAGGAUAAUCUUGAAAUAAAAGUAAAAAAAAUUAAACAAUUUCAAUCGUAGGUUUUAUUUGAUCACGAUACAUCAUUGUAUACGAAAAAUAUGUGCAUACCCACAUGAGCAAGUAGUAUCUUUAGUAAAGUCUGAGAUAAGUCCAAGGUAACUCAUGAUUUAGGUUGUCAUAAUUAUGAUGGAAACGUGAAAGUGAGGUAUAAAAAAAUAAUGCACUAACAAAAGGCAUGAAUUUGGGAUUUCAUUGGGGAUAUUUACUAAGAUUUGGUUUUUGGAGCAUCUCUGACUUGUGCAUGGCCAAUCAGAUAUGAGUAAUAUUGUAAGCAGUGACGUAUAAUCGAUGACGAACCUACCUGAUAUGCCCUCAUUUAGACGUAAACUCAUUACUUUUUUCCUUUGCCUUUUUCCUUUGUUGCUAGGUACAAAUUAACAAAAGCAAACAACAAAUAAAAUAGUAAAAGUUAGAUUUUCGCACUUUAUUUUUAACAUCAUCAAUAAACAUACUACUAAUGUUAGAGAAAUUAAAUUUGUAGAUUAAAUUUUAUAAAUUAAAUAAUAUGAAAGUUGGUGAUUGGAUUAUUACUUAAUCGCUGAUAAACGUACUCACUUUUAUUGGUGACAUCUCAUUUAAUUUACUUAUUUAGUCUACAAAUUUAGUCUUCCUAACAUUACUCUAAAGAUAAUUAAGUUAGGUGCGUAGAGGACAAAAAUAGUGUGUAAUUAUCAUUUUUUUAGAAACUAUUUGUUAGUGUUACUAGAAGUUUUAGUGGAUAGAUUGUUGGGUUUCUACCUAUGUGUUAUAGAUUCGAAACUCCAUUUCCCCUAUAUUAUUGUACUAGUUUCAAACUCUUCUCCCUUCCCCUAAUAAUAGUAAAAUUAAAAAAAAAAAGGAAAAAAAAGAAGAGAAGUUUUAGUCCGUAUUUCACAUGACACACCCUGAGUUCGAUUCAUGACACUCGUGAAUCACACAAUGGUGACUAAGAAAGAUUGAAAUACCUUUGUGAGUCUUCCUAGAUCUCAAAUAAAUAAUUACGUUGACAAAACGACCAACUAGUCUUUUUUCUUUUUUUCUUUUUGCAAAAAGAAAGGAGAAUGCUUUGUGAAUACAGUUUCCUCGUAAUUAUCCCUCUAUAGACCAUGUAGUAGAUGGUCGGCUAUUGAAAAAGGGAGUUGGGUUGGGUAAAUAAAUAUAAACCUCUCAAAACCUAAAUAGUAAAUAAUGACCCACCAAGUUUAACCAACAAAAACGACCCCACCUCAUGUCCAAGUCAUCAUUCUCGAAUACCUAAUUAAGAAUAACGUGCCAUUCAACUUGAAGCACAAACAUAGGAUAUUCUUUCAAAUUGCAAAUUUUAUAUGCUAAUGUUAUAGAGUGGGGUUGGAGUUUAAAAUUUAAAUACCACCUUCUUCAAAGUUUAUAGCUAAUAUAUCAUAUUUUGAGUUUAGGUAUUUAUGGUAAAGGUCAAUCAGCCAACUAGUAAUUAAUAAAGUUUAGUUUCAUUAUAAGGAAAAUUAGGUUCACAUUCUUCUUUUUAUUACUCCAUUGAUUAAAAUUCUAUUCAUUUUUAAUUUUUGAUCAAGGUCCUUAGGUAUUAAUAACAUCAUUAAUUAUUUGAAUAAGAAAAAAAAUGUUACAAUUAGUAUAUUUAUAUUUAUGGCUAAAUUUUUUAUCAUAUAUUUUUAUUUUUAGUUUGUACCUAUUUUUAAUUUGCAAAUAUUUUUUAAUUUGUAACAAUUUUCUUUUCAUUUUUAAUUUGUAUCAAUUUUCUUUUCAUUUUUAAUUUGUACCCAUAUAUUAGUUUCUUUUUGUGCCCAUAUUUUUUAAAGUUUUAUUUGUGUUUGUACCCAUAUGUAUACCGUCAUGUGACAUUUAAUCAAUGAUAAAAAAAUUACAUAUGGUAUAUUUAUGUUUUAUGCCUAAACUUUGUAUCAUAUAUUUAUAUUUUUAGUUUGUACCCACUUUUAAUUUGCAAAAUUAGGUUCACAUCCUUCAUUUUGCUACUACAUUGAUUAAAACACUAUUCAUUUUCAAAUUUUGAUUAAGGUCCUUGGGUAUUAAUAACAUCAUUAAUUAUUUGAAUAAUAAAAUAUUUUUAAAUAUAUUGCUUUAGUGUUAAAAAUUUUACAAUUAGUAUAUUUUAUCAUAUAUUUUUAUUUUUAGUUUGUACCUAUUUUUAAUUUGCAAACCUUUUUUAAUUUGUACCAAUUUUCUUUUCAUUUUUAAUUUGUACCCAUAUAUUAGUUUCUUUUUGUACCCAUAUUUUUUAAAGUUUUAUUUGUAUUUGUACCCAUAUGUUUACUAUCACGUGACAUUUGUAUAUUUAAUCAAUGAUAGAAAAAUUAAAUAUGGUAUAUUUAUGUUUUAUGGCUAAACUUUGUAUCAUAUAUUUAUAUUUUUAGUUUGUACCCACUUUUAAUUUGCAACAUUUAUUUUUUAAAAUUUGUAGUAUUUUCUUUUUAGUUUUAAUUUGUACCCAUUUAUUAAUUUCUUUUAGCGCCCAUAUUUUUUAAAAAUUUAAUUAUAUUUAUUUAUAAUGUACUCAUUCUUCUUUAUUAAUGUACCACUUUGUUAUAUGUGAAAUGUAUCAUAUUUUUUUUGUAAAAUGUACCAAUUUUUUUUAACACUAUGGAUACAUUCUUUUGCCAUUUAUUAUUUCUUAUUGUUACAUAGUUUUUAUUCAUUUAUUCAAUCAAAACGUUUGAAUUUUUUUUCAUUGUAACCGUUUCUAAUAGUAUUAUAAUGAGGGACUUUAAAUUUAUAGGAUUAUAAAUCUUAUAAAAUAUCAAACAAUUAAUGUCAAAACUAUAAAAAUAUAAAUAUUAAUAGUAAUAUAAUGAGGUGUACAAAGUUAGGGGACUUUGAUCAAACUUUGAAAACUAUUAAGGUUUUAGUCCAAGAAUAUUAAGAAUUAGGGACUGCAUUUAAAAUAUUCCAAAAAAAAAAAUGUAGUACAUGGUCGGCUAUUGAAAAAGGGAGUUGGGUAAUUAAUUAUAAUCCUCUCAAAAAACCAAUUAAUUCUUAAAUAAUGAUCUGCCAUUUAAUACUACGGUUUAGUGGUAUUCUUCUUCACUUGUAAGAAAAAGGUCUUAGGUUCGACUCUCACCGAAUGCGAAUUUGAACCACAUUAUUGCUGGUCCGUUGUGAGGCUAAACUCACUCCCCUCUUUUAUGUGUAGAUAGUAUCGUUUAUUAAAAUAAUAAUAAUAAUGACCCACCAAAGUUUAACAAAAAAAAAUGAAAAAAAAGAAAAACUUCUAGCUGAUGUCUAAUUCAUCACUCGAAAUUCGAAUACCUAAUUAAGAAUUCUCUAUGGCAAACGUGCCAUUCACCUUGAAGCACAAACAGAGAAUAUUCCUUCAAAUUGCAAUUGUAUAUGCCAAUAUUAUUAGAGUGGGGUUGGAUUUUAAAGUUUAAAUACCACAUUCUUCGAAGUUUAUAGCUAAUAUAUCAUUUUUUUAAAAGGAUUAGCUGGUGGCCUUAUAGUAGUCCACUUUUUUGGGGGUUGGGAAGACUUACAGAUGCAUUUCAGCAUUCUCUGGUUAUCAUCAUGCGAUUCACCAAUGACAAAAAUUAACUUAAAAUGUAGUGUGUAAAAUACAGAUAUGAAAUUCAUCAUUAAUCAUUGGGUCACCACGUUCUAAUAUAUAAUAUUUUGAGUUUAGGUAUUUAUGUAAAAGGUCAACCAACCAACUAGUAAUCAAUAAAGUUCAGUUUUAUUAUAUCUGCCACUCAAAACAAUAACCAACAACUCACGAAAUGCUCCUCCAACGGCCACCAUAAUUGGCCAACUUCGGCGAACCAUCAACACCAGCUAACUCUAGACGAACACCAUUGGUAGAACAAAAAUCAAGUUUUUCUAAAUUCCAAUUUCCAAACCGAAAUCAGCACCAUUUCGUUAAGAGAACAUUAUUUUGAACUAGUACAUAAAUUAAAAGAAAAGGGAAAACCGACCUUAAAGUCAAGAAUUUAAUCUGACUAUACCAUCGUUAGAUUUUUUUAAUUUAUUAUAUAUUAAAUAUUAGGAGUGUGAUAUCUAUACACUCAUUUUUACUCCUCACAUAUAUUUUUAAUUUUCAGUCAUCAGAUUGAAUAAAUUGAAAAAGAUCAACAAACAGAAAUUAAUAAAAAGUAUUUAAGAAGUAAAAAUUGAUGUAUGAAAAAAAUACUCCUAAAUACUAAUGGAAAAGUAUAGAAAAACAAAUACAAAAAGUUGAUGAACAAUCAACCGACCGAAAGUGCACAUUAUUAUCGGGCACUAUUUAUGCAGAUAUUAAUGUCCCAAAGGCUUUUCGAAAUUCCAGUUGUUUCCAUCAUUUCGUUUUCACUUGCUCAAGCUUCUCCUUCCCUUCAUAUUCAUAUAUACAACUAACGAGGCUUUUAAGGAAAUGAAUCUUCAUUUUUGAAAAAAAUGAGAAUUAGUUGUGAGACUCAUUUUAUAUCGAAUUUUAAUGAUCCGAAUUAUCUAUUUUGUAAGUAUCAAUUCAUUAAUCAUUCUUGCAAAAAUUUAAUUCAAUCCGAAACCAUUUGCCUAUUUUGUAGGUAUUAUGAUAAAAUUUCAAUGUUUCUUAGAGAACAAAGUGUUCGUCAAUUUCUUUAAACUUAAUUAGAUGCCUAAAAUAUUUAUGCUUUGACAAAUAUUUUGCAAGGAUGAUCUAUGAGGUGCAAUUUGAAAAAUAGACAAUUCAGAUCGUUAAAGUUCAAUAUGGUGCGAGUCACACAACUAAUUCUCAUUUUUAUAAAAAGAAGGAUCCCCAUUUUUAAAGGUCUUCUACAAAUAAUAUCAAAUAUAACUGUUCAAUUACAAUAGUAGUGACAUGACAAGUGUUCAUAAAAAUUCAUUAAAUUUCUAUUUAUAUCUCAAUUUAACCGUUAAUUUUUUGUACCCCUCGUAUUUUGUGAAGGUGUGGUAGCCGGGGAAUGAGGAUCCUCUUCGAAUCCUCUUUGUGAGGAUCCUGAGGAUCCUCAAAUCGUAUCUAUUCAUUGUACAUCGUACGGUAAAAAAUUAUUCUAAAUAUUUUUAUUUAAAAUUAAACAUGAAAAAUACUUAAAAAAACUGAUCGCACGAUAUACGAUAAAUGAACACGAUUUAAGAAUCUCCGAAGUCCUAACAAAAAGAAUCCGGAGAGAUUCCUCGUUGGUUGCCGGGAGGUAUUAAAGCAACGCCUAUGAGUGGAGUUGAGCGCGAAAUAUGGGACCCAUCUCAAAAACUCUAACAACAUAAAGAUGAAUCCACUUGAUUUUUUGAAAAAAAAAAAAAUCCACCUGAUUUCAUUCUGCUCGCGACUUUUAUAUGGAUUGUGAGUUGUGACCAUUGCAUUUUCUACUGACCCAACCCAAAGUCUUUCAUUUAUAUUUUCUUCUCCUCCUUCUAAGUAAAAAAUUGGGUAGCCUAUUUUUUGAGAUUUUUAGUGUGUCAGAAACACACUUUGAUACAACAAGUAUCAUAAGAUAUUAGAUACUUUCAACCAUUUGUAUUUUGACUUUUGAAGUACUAAAUUGUGUUUUCGGCGCACUAAAAAAUAGUUUCCUACUUCUUAGACCCUUGUCGUUUUUGCUAAACCUCUAUAAAAAUAGUUCAUGUUUUUAUAUGGACAUGGCAUGAGAAGAAGUUAUGGUCCUCAAAGCAUGUUAGGCCAAACAUAUGGGGGGUGUAGUCAAACUUAGAUUUUAAAGGAUUUUAAAAGUGAUAGAUUUGAUAGAAUUUAAGAGGAUUAAAGACUCCUACAAAAUUCAUAUGGAUUUUAAAGAAUUUGAAUGGAUUGUGGGGGAAGGAUUUGAAAUCCUAGGGGUGAGGUUGGAUUCUUUUUAGUUUUGGUUAUACAUACUUUUUGCUUUCAAAUCCCACAAAAUCUACAACUUAUUGAAAUCCUCCAAAAUAUUAAUUUUUUGAAUACACUAGGAUGAAUUCUAAAAUCCGAAAAUCCUUUAAAACCUUUUAAUUGACUACACCUAGAUUUGAAUGGAUUCUAAAAUCUUUUAAUUGACUACACCUAUAUUUGAAUGGAUUCUAAAAUCCUUUAAAAUCUUUUAAUUGACUGCACUAGGAUUUCAAAGUCUUUUAAAAUCCUCUCAAAUCAAAGUUUGACUACACCCCUUAAUUGUAACAUCCCACAUUGCCCAGAUGAGUGAUCCUUAAAUGUAUAUUCUCAUCACUACCUAGCAUGAUGCCUUUUGGGAGCUCACUAGCUUCGGGUUCCGUAGGAACUCCGAAGUUAAGCGAGAAGGAGGCCAGAGCACUCCCAGAAUGGGUGACCCACUGGGAAGUUGCUCGUGAGUUCCCAAAAACAAAACUGUGAUGGAAUGGUAAGCCCAAAGAGGACAAUAUCGUGUUAUAGUGGUAGAGCGGGCCCGAGAUGUGGUGGACCCGGGCCGGUAUGUGACAAUUGGUAUCAGAGCCAAUCCCUGGCCGAAAGUAUACUGACGAGGACGUCGGGCCCCUAAGGGGGAUGGAUUGUAACAUCCCACAUCCACCAGACGAGUGAUCCUUAAAUAUAUAUUCUCAUCCCUACCUAGCAUGAGGCCUUUUGGGAGCUUACUAGCUUCGGGUUCUGUAGGAACUCCGAAGUUAAGCGAGAAGAAGGUCAAAGCACUCCCAUGAUGGGUGACCCACUUGGAAGUUGCUCGUGAGUUCCCAAAAACAAAACCGUGAGGGAAUGGUAAGCCCAAAGCGGACAAUAUCGUGCUAUGGUGGUAGAACAGGCCCGAAAUGUGGUGGACUCGGGCCACGAUGUGACACUAAGUAUUUGUCCACAUCAUUGCCUAACAAUGUUAGUAUCAUCACUUAAGGGUUUAGGGUUGGUAGAACAGGCCCGAAAUGUGGUGGACUCGGGCCAGGAUGUGACACUAAGUAUUUGUCCACAUCAUUGCCUAACACUGUUAGUAUCAUCACUUAAGGGUUUAGGGUUUUUGUGCCUCACAUAAGUCUAAUUAUUUAUUUAUGAAAUAACCGAAAUCGAAUAUGCAACAUUUUUUUUAAGAAAACGUUGAAUUUCAUUCCAAACAAAAAGAUUACAUAGUACGUUAACUAACAAAAGGUAUAAAGUGGGAUGAUAAGGUCAUCUCCAACCGAACGAGGGCCAGAGAACUCGUUUUAACCCUCUGGCCCUCUAAGAUAUUAAUAUUUUAAUGAACAGUACAUAACCAUAUUUGCUUUUGUGUCCAACUGAGAGCCAAAUGGCCAUAUGACUCGUUUUAGCCCUGUCACAAAAAACCGUCUCCAACCGAGGGCCAUAGGGUCAAACAUAAUUUAUUAUUUAAAUUUAAUGUUAUUUAAUGUUGUUUCAUGGUACUUAAUUUAAUGUUAUAUAAUGGAUUAUGAAGUUAUAGGAAAAAAAUAGAAUUAAAAAAAUUUAAAAAUUUUGUUAAAAAAAUAAAAACAAAAAAGGCCUAUCAUUCAUGUCAGAUAUAACCGAUAGGAAUAAAUAUAAUGUUGUCGGUUAUAUUCGACAGGAAUAAUGAAAAUCCAGUUUGGCCCUGGGCUGGCUGAUUGGAUUGGGCCAGCCGAUUGGCCUUUUGACCCUUUUUUGUCCAGUGUGGCCCAUGAGCCCUUUGGCCUAGCCCUCGGUUGGAGACGGUUUUCGGGCUAUUUUUGACCCUCUGGACCCUUUGGUUGGAGAUGGUCUAAGCUUGGACGUUUAGAAAAACCUCCGGUUGAAAACUCCCAAAGGAAGAAAUAUCAACCAAAGGAAAAAGAGCACCUUGCACUUGUCAUCACUUAAUAUAACAUCAAACUCAAUGGAUCAACUUCCAAAGGAGACAUCGACCAUGGAGGAGCCUUCUCAGUUCAAAGGACAACCUCUGGUUGAAAACUCCUGGAAGGAGGAAAUAUCCACCAAAGGAAAACAAGCUCCUCCCAUUUGUCAUCACUUUGUUUUUUUGACAGAAAUUGUCAUCACUUAAUAUUACAUCGAACUCUGAUAGAUCAACUUCCGAAAGAAACAUCGACCAUGGAGGAGCCUCCUCAAUUCGAAGGACAAAAUCAUUCUCAGCCACCUUACUUGAAGAGCAAGAGAAAGACUUUACUGCCAUGUAGCAUCACAUGUCAAGAAUAUAAUGAUAUAUGUUAGUUAAUUUACGUGUCUUUAUGUUAUUGGCAUAGGACACAACCGUAAUAGCUAAACAUACAAAUUGUUCUUGAGAGCAGAGUCGGUAUUACUGUAGAUAAAUUUUUCAAUGUGCUGGACACACAGCCCGAUACACUAAGAAUCAUAAUACAAGGGUGAAUUCUAUUUUUUUUUUAAAUUUCCAAUGAAUUAUAUUAUCUCUACUAAUAGAAUGCCAGAAUUAUAUUUAACGUUCAUGAUCAUGUUCCGGCACACUAAUAAAUCUCGUAACCGAGGCCACCAAAGUGGCACAAAUAUUAGGCAUACGAAGUGCCGCAUCAUAAAAGAUGUUAGGCGCGCAAAGUGCCACAUCAUCAGAAACGAAAAAGCUAAAAAAAAAAAAAAAAAAAAAAUACUGAUAAGAUAUUACGGUUGGUGAGGAAGGGAUAGAGCAGGGAGAAGUUAUGGCGGGAGCUUCAGUGCAUAUGCAGCAUUUGAACAGCAGAGUCGGUGUUACUAUGGCCACCGCUACUACUCCUACAGACACCCAAAUCGGGACUCGGGUUCAACUCCCAGAGAAGACCCGCAAUUCUCGGGUGUUGGUGCUCGGCGGAACGGGUCGGGUCGGAGGCUCCACUGCCAUUGCCCUCUCCAAGCUAUGCUCCGACCUCCAAAUUGUCGUCGGCGGUCGAAACAGGUAAUGAAAUUUACCGUUAUGCCCAACACGUACUCACUGUUUGGUUGCCGAGAAAAAAAAAAGGGAAAUGAAGAGAAAAUGUUACUCCUUUGGGUUUGUUAGAGGUGAAAUUAUCUAUUGGCUGGUAGAAUUAGAAAUGCAAGGAAAUUUUGGGAUUGAAUUAUUGUAAAAUUUAUGUUUUUUGAACAAGAAUUGUGUCACUGUCUAAGUCUGCACUCCAAAUUUAUAAAAACGCAGGGGAAUUUGUAAAAAGAGGAGUGCAGGAUGACAUUUUUGGAGUGCGAAUAACGGCACUCAAAUAAUUAAUUAACUUGUUAAGAAGGGCUUCCCUGUCCUGCAUUGCCUUAUCUAGACCUGGUUAGACUAACAAAGUUUUCCCGUCCAAGCGUCGAGAACCUUAGUAGCUCUAAUUCUAAUGGUGCACAAGCAGUAAAUGUCCGUUAUCAAUUUCUAGAUGACGUAAAGUUAAACAAAAUGAAUAGGCAGGUAAAAUGCAUAGCGGAAGAAGAUAUACCCGAUAAAGAGCAGGAAAUGGUGCAUUUUGAUAAUGUUGCAGUGGUCUUGAAAAUGCAUUACCUUUUAGCAUCUUCUCGAGUUCUUUCUCAUGUGUGAUUACGAAUGUUUGCUUGUUGAGAUGCUAAAGUUUGCUGGAAUUGGGUUCCAUUACAGGGAAAAAGGUGUUAAUAUGGUAGCUACACUUGGGAGAAACUCAGAGUUCUCAGAAGUAGACGUUAACAAUGUAAAAUCGUUGGAAGCAGCUCUGAAAGGUGAUCGAUUCUUCUACUUUCUUUUCAACAUAUAUUGUCCGUGAAUUUAAGUUUCAGCAUGCUGCUACCCCUACUCGGGUAUUGAAUGGUUUCACCAAAAAGUUUCGGUGUUAUACUUGACUGAUUCGUUACGUAUCAUGUAGGGAAUAUUAAGUAUUGGAGAUGUGUAUACCGUAUAUUUUCUUAUUUUUAAGUAAGUAUUUCUUUUAGAUUUUAUUGUCUUCUUAAUAUGAUCCAGUUUGACUCAACAGUUCAUACCAAUAAUGAUUUAUUCCUUUCUAAUGUAGGAAUAACUAACUAAACCGAUUCAUACGAAAACUUUUAGAUUGUCUGCCAUAGUCUGUGCAUCACGAUGAAACCUGUCCUUGGGUCUAGUUUAAAGAAAAAAUGGUAAAUGGACAAAUAUGUAAUUUCUUACUUAUACAUACUUGACCUCAGUAAUUAUUUUUUGUUUUGCUUCUUGGUUUAAGACUAAGUCAUUGAACAUGAACGUAGGGACAAGCGUCCCAAAAAAGAAAGGUUGGAACAAAAAGAAACAUCAUUUAUCUCACCAGUUCCACUUUUUGCGUUUCACUUAACCAAUGCUUCUGUAAUAGUGAACGGCUAUGCAAUGACAUCUGGGAUUUCAUGUCUUUCUGUUACGAUCCUUUCAUAUUUUAUUAACUCAAUUUUCAAAAUGUGCUGACAUGCUCUUCAUCCUCACUGGCCUUUUCUUUUUUCACCACGGGCCAUAAUUGUCACAUCUCACAAUUUUGUUUGUGUGUAAGUAGAACAGGCAGAUUUUUAACACUGCAUCGUUUGUUUCUAUUUCAUACCUGGAAAUUGAGAGAAACCCAGAAUUUCAUUUUAUUGGUUUACCCCUUCUGAUAUAAUGGGGAUCAUAAUUGAUAUGCAUGAGAAGCGUGUAAUCCUAGUGUGGGUUUCAUAAUAUUGUAUCCAAUUUCAUUUGAGCAAGUAGCUUCAUCUUGUCCUUAAAGUGCAGUUAUGAAAUUUCAUAACAGUGCAUAAUGAUUCAUUACGACUUCUCUCUGUAGAUGUAGAUCUCGUAGUUCAUGCUGCAGGGCCAUUUCAACAAGCAGAGAAGUGCACUGUAUUGGAAGCUGCCUUAGAGACAAAGGUUAGUGAGCGAGUGUGUGUAUCUUGGAGAAUGUAUCUUAUAAGUUUACUAAAAAGUUGUAUGACUUUGAUAAUGUCUUUCAUCUCCCUGCAGACAGCCUAUGUUGAUGUUUGUGAUGACACAGCCUAUUCACAACGUGCAAAAUCCUUUAAGAACAGUGCUAUAGCUGCAAAUAUUCCGGCAAUAACAACCGGUGGAAUUUAUCCAGGAGUGAGCAAUGGUCUAUCAUCAGCACAUUUUGUUCUGUAAUCCACAAGUUUGGUGGUACACUUUGCUUGUGCAUAUAUUUGAUCUGUGUUCAAAAAAAAAUUUUGCUUGUCCAAGAUAAAAACUCAAAUACCAGGCUCUUUUUUAUAGGGCCCAUAGCAAGAUAUGUUACUCUCUUUCUGUAGAUAGAACUACAUGCACGAGCUGAGAAACCCCAAGUACCUAGGGUUUUUUGAGUUCAUAUGAGUUGUACCUUACAUGUAUAAUAUAACAGUGAAACCUCGUGAUGUGUUAUCUUGCUUUUGAGUUUGUUGAUGUGAGUUUUGGAAUAUCUUGAGGACUAGGAUACAUGAUGCCUAGGGUUUUGUUCCACCAAAAACAUAAAGCAAUUUGUAAACACGCCAAUGGAAAACCAUUGGAGUAGUCAUAGAUUAGAGUUGUGAUAAGAUGAUAUUCUUGUGUUAAAAACUGGAUCUACCAUUCGUUUUUUCUUCGAUGCUGACUCCUAUUUGUUAUAAUGGCAGUGAUGGCUGCAGAACUAGUUCGUGCAGCUAGGAGUGAAAGCAAAGGCACACCCGAAAGGCUAAGGUAAACCAUUCCCAGUACCUUAAUAUUUUAAGUCCAAUCAAUUGGCAUCGAAUUGGAUUUUUUCUUGCUAGUAUAAAUUCUUUCUGUAGUUCAAAUGGUGCCUUCUACUCACAUUGUCUUUCAUAUUAGUUCGAAAUAAAUCUUUCCUUGGCCACACUUCUCAAGCUGCAACUCUAAUUAUAAGAACACAAAAACUUUAACCAAAAUUAUAAUUAAUAAUCUAUACCCAAUGUGUUGCGGAGCUUUCGGCUGUGAGAGGGGCGUGUCUUUUGGCUUCCUCGGGGCGCUGUGAAGCUUAGCUUACUUUAGCAGCCAUGUGAUGAUUCAAGUUCGUGGUAGGCAUAGGGGCUGGGCAAAGCAGUAGCGAAGCUCAGGUGGUGAUGCAAGUGCGUGGUGAGCGUAAUAGCCCCUUGGGCACGUUCCUUGUAUAACCAAGCGAAGAGCUAGUGAGGGCCAGAAUGGAAUAUAUGGGAUCAACAUUUUCCUCAACUGCCCUCUCAUGUCUUUGUUAUUUGUAUUCAAUUUUUAUCAAACUUGAAAUUGCAUGCUUUGAUUAGGAGUUCAGAUACUUCUUGAUUGAAGUGAACAUAUUGAUCUAAUGCAUAGUCACACAUAACAUAACAUGGAGUAUUCGUAGUUUUUACUAUGCCUAACAAAUUAUUGCAAAAUCCUCGUAUCAGAUUCUAUUACUACACAGCAGGAACUGGCGGCGCUGGUCCAACUAUCUUAGCAACUAGCUUUUUGCUUCUGGGAGAGGAGGUUGUUGCAUUUAAUAAAGGUUAGUUUCAAUAGUGUUCUGCAAUUUCUUUUCCCCCUUUCUAUUUGUGCUUCUUUUGAAUUCCGUAUAUCAUGCCUAACUGUGAUAAUGGACUUCUCGACCAGGAGAAAAGAUCAAACUAAAGCCAUAUAGUGGAAUGCUGGAGAUUGACUUUGGAAAAGGCAUUGGAAAGAAAGAUGUUUAUCUGUUGUAAGUUCUGUGAGAAGGAUAUUGAUGUUAAACAAGAUGCAAUUUUAUGCAUGAGUUUGGAGUCACCAAACCAUAUGAUCAAUAAAUUAUACACAAAAGAAAGCUGUAGUACUAAGAUUACCAACAAUUCGGUUAGUAUGUAAGGUGAUGCCAUCAAGUCUCAUACAGUAGCAUACACCACUCACCCACAUUUUUCCGAAAGGGUGGGAAAUCCCAUUUGAAACUUGUUGUUCAAUUCUGGUGUCAGUUUCUUUGUUGACAUUGUAAUAUUUCAAUCACCAUCUUAACACCUACCUUUCAGCACAAAUGCACUGAAAUGGAUGAUAAUCUGCUGGAACUGAUAAAAUACCCUACUGGAAUUCACAAAAGAUGGUUAACAAGAUUGAAGAAGUUUCAUCCAACAUGUUUCUUUCAAUUUUAUCUUCUGGUCGUUGGAAGAAAUAGAAACAUAUGUAUGUUUUAUGUACUGUAAUGGUCUGAUGGGGCCACAGAGUAGUUGAUAGAUUGCAGAAUAGCUCUUAAAUUGCACAGUGUUUUGUCCUUGAGAUGUUUUUGCGUCGGAGUGGGGUUUAUUUUUCUUUUUUUCAAGCUUGGUAAUUUCUCUUCAGAUGAACCAGUUGGUUUCUGUCUAACUGCUCAAUUUGGUUCAAUUACUAUGAGGGUUGAUGAACAAUAUCUUAUUUUCAGGAAUCUACCGGAGGUAAGAAGUACUCAUGAGGUCCUAGGAGUACCUACUGUCAGUGCUCGAUUUGGAACUUCACCCUUCUUUUGGAAUUGGGGAAUGGCAAUCAUGACUAGUCUUCUUCCACCGGUACACUAUGACUUUAGUAUUGCUUGCAUGUGCUCUGAUUAUUUAGACUGAAACUGUAGCCUUGGCGUUUGAAAUUUUCACCCCUACUAUAAGAAAUGAGAUUAGAUGAUGAUUAAGUAACAUGCUUUAACAAAAUGACCCUGCAUUAAUUUUGAGUAACUAAAUGUGCUUUUAGCUCCUAUAAUAAGCCUAAGUAAUCUAUAUAAACUUUGCAGGAGCUAUUGAGAGACAGAAGCAAAGUCCAACAGAUGGUUGAACUGUUUGACCCCGUUGUCCGACAAGUUGAUUCUUUUGCUGGAGAGCGUGUAUCAAUGAGGGUGAGACAAUUGGAUGAGGGGAAUAAUUAUAAUUCACAUGAUCUUUGUCAUUGCAAUUCACAUUUCUUUUUCCUUUUUCCUUUUUGUUUUUUUUUUCUGGGUUUGUGGUGUGUUGGGGAUGACAGGUUGAUUUGGAGUGCUCUGAUGGGCGCAAUACAGUUGGUAUAUUCAGUCACAAGAGACUUUCUGUGUAAGUUUUGAACCAUCCAUAGGUUUGUGUAUUUAAUUUCCCUUCCAAAACUGAUCAGGAACCCCAUUUUUUCAACAUCUGUAAACGUAACAAGGUAGUUGAUGUUAGAAUUUGUGUUCCAGAUCUGUGGGAUAUGCAGCAGCUGCAUUUGUUAUGGCAAUUCUUGAGGGAAGCACAAAGCCUGGGGUUUGGUUUCCGGAGGAGGUAUGUACAAGGGAUGAGUAAUUUACAAACCUGAAAGCUAUACUUUGAUGCAAUAAGCCUCUUAUCAAAGUCUCCCUGUAUAUAGAAUGAAGGCAUUGCAAUUGAGGCAAGGGAACUCCUCCUCGAACGUGCUGCGCAAGGAACAUUCAAUUUCGUAAUGAACAAGUAAAAUUUCCGAUCCCUUCUUUCUUAUAUAUAUAUGUACACACACGCCCGUGACGAAAAUAGAUAUGUGCAUAAAGUUUGUGUAUGACAUAACUGGUUGCUUCUCAACAGGCCAUCAUGGAUGGUGGAAACAAACCCAAAAGAGUUAGGGUUGGGAAUAUACGUGUAAUACUCAAACUGAAGUCAAACUAGAAGUUCAAAUUCUUCACCAUGUUGCCGAGGUAGGCGUAUUAAUCGUGUAUAUGUACAUAUGUACUGAUACGGCGCGUAAGUCUUUCGUCAUUACCAAGUAGUUCUUUAGCCAUUGUCAAAUUAAUUGUUCUUUUUUCUUCUUCAUAUUUGUCGCAGCUGCGAGGCUUCCCCGUCCUGCAGGACAGAAGGGUCGUCAAAUUAAACAAAUUUUGGAGAUAAAUAUGAAUAUUUUCCCCUAUAUAUAUAUAUAUAUAUAUAUAGCAGUAUUCUUCAGUAAAGGAAACAAGUGGAAUAUAAUUUACAUCGUAUGUGUAUUAUACUUAUUUCAAUGUUGUGAAAUAAGCAGCUAAAACUCUAAUAAAUUGCACGGUUUGAAAAAUAAAACUUCCUUUCAUGCCGGUGUGCCACCCUAUAAAUACUACGUAAAAAACAACCAAGAAGGAAAAGUUUCGGAAAUGAAUAUCAAUUUCAAUUUCGGUAUCGGAAUUUUGGAAUUUUAUUAACGAUCAUUUACCGUCUGAACAUCAUUAUAUGCAAAAAAAAUUAAAAAUAUUCAAUUUGGAAGUUGUUUAGUCAUCUAUGUGUUAAAUCAAUCAAUGGUUUUGGUCACAACUUACAAGUAACAUUCUCAAGAUGAAUAGUCCAUUUAUUUUAUGCAUAUAAAUGGCUACAAGAUCUUUAAAUUGAUUUGAUAAGCCUAAAAUUCCAACAUAAACAAAACAACAAAACUGGAAACUAUACAUUUAGGGGUGGUUUGGGAGUGAGGUGCUUAAAAAAAAAGCACUCAUGAAAAAAAGCACUCAUGAAAAAAAGCUGUGAGGGUUUUAGGUGUUUGGUAAACUGAAAAAAAAGGGCUUAUUUUGGAAGCUGCUGUGAGAAUAAGCUGAAAUCAAAGGAAAAAGCUGAAGCUGCUAUUUGCAGCUUUGGAAAAUUGGAUUUUUUUCAAAGCACACGGAGCCACUAUCAGACAGCUUUUUUUUUUUUUUUUUUUUUUUUUUUUUUUUUUUUUUCCAAAAGCACUUUUACAAAAAAGUUUACCAAAUACUCUGCUGAUUUAUUUCACAGCCGCUUAUUCUCACAGCAGUUUUUUUUCAAAGUACAGCAAUACCAAACCAGCCCUUAAUGUUUCCCUUAAUCGGCUUUAACUAUGAGCAAAUCCUCAUGAUGUUGGUAACUCCCUAACAAAUAUCGUCACUAAGUACUAUGGUCUAGUGGUAUUCAUCUUCAUUUGUGAGUUAGAGAUCUUAGAUUUGAUUGUCGUCUAAGGCGAAUUUGAACUACAUUAUUGCUAGCUUAUUCUGAGAGUUAGACUACUCCUACACCUCUUAGGGAGAGAAGUAAACCCCACUUUAUCUUGUAACCUUUCUUUAGACAACCCAAAAUAAUUCGAUAAUCUUCCAACACUUGGUCCUUUUACUGAUGACAUGAGUUUCAUGAAUACAAAAUAAGUCACGGAAGGCAAACUACAAUAUUCUAGUAUGACAUUUUUUGUUUCUAAAUUAAAAGAUGCAUGAUUAGUUGUCAAUUUUAGUAACACAAAUACUUGCCCCAAAUUCUUAAACACAAUGAUAAGUGGGACUUACAAUUUAAUACCUAUAUAACUAAAUCCUAUAUCAAAUUGAUAAUUUUUUUUUUAUCGAAACCCUAAUUCAAUUUCACUAACAUUGGUAGUCUCCGUUUGGCAUAGCCACGUGUCAGGCUUGUGUCGUUAAAUUUAACGACAACUGCCAUAUGAACUUAAUGUCUUUAAUUUUCCUGUCGUUGGCCGUAGUGACCUGCCGCUGGAAUCACUGCCAGAAACUACAAAAUUCUAGAUUUCGUCCAAAGCUUCCAAUUAGCUCAAAAUUCACCAAAUCACAACCAAAUUGCACAGAUAGGUCAAGAAACCUUAUCUAAACAAGAAUUUGGGCAACUGGAGGUUGAAUCCACCUCUGAUUUGCCAGAAUUUAGCCAGGAAUUGUUGCCGGAUUCUGGAAAAAUGCACAGAGGCACUUAGAGGCAAAAAAAACCUCGAAUUCGAUUCUGAACUCACAAGUACAACUUGAAAAUGCUACCUGGGAUUGUUUGGAACUAAUUUCGAGCUAAAUCGCUGACUGUUUUGUUGUGAUUCACUUCGAAACUCCUCAGAGUUUUCACCGAGAACUCGAGUCCAAAGUCUCUUUUUCCCCGACACAAAAGGCCGGUCCUGAGAAUUUGGGGCCUAGGCGAGCCUUUAAAGUGGGGCCUAAAAUUCUGAUCUUCGAUUAUUUGUUUAUUGAUUUGUAUAAACAAGAAUUCGCUAAAUACAUAAAAAGUUCUAUUUUCACAUCAAAUAUCAUUAAAAAUUAAUAUCAAAAGAAGAUAAAUAUACAAACAUUAUUUAAACAUUACACUAUUCACGUUUUUAGACACAAAUGUACUAAAUGUUUGCAGUCAAGAGUUUAAGAUUAAGAGUGAAGAACAAUAAAACUUGAUGAUCAAGAAAGUAAAUAACAAUAAAACUUGAUUGAUGAGUAUAAUAUAUUCAACGCCAUUUGUUUCUCUUGUAUUUUUUUUAAAGAAGUUAUUGAAAAGAAAAAUAAAAAAUAAAAUAAAAAAUUCAAAGUUUUGAUUACCUUAAAGUACAAUCUUUAAGACCAUAUGAUGGUUGGUUUAAACAUUCAAUAUAAAUGGAGAGAAUGAGAAGUUGAAAGGAAAAAGAUUGCAAAAAGACUUGAGUUUUAUAACUUUAUAUGCAUUUGGAGUUGGACAAAUGGAUUGACAGUAAAUUUGAAAAAUAAGAAAAAUUAAGAAAAUCUAGUGACUACUAUAAAUGCAUGAAAUAUAUGAGUGAUCAAAUACCCCCAAACUUACAUUUUUGCUAGUCCUCUAGCAAAACAAAACCACUCAACUAAGACUAGAUUCAACAACUUAGUAGCCAACUUCUCAAUUUCGAUUUCAGAGAUAAGUGCUAAUCAUGAUACAGACAAUCAAGAACUAAUCAAGAGCUCAAAACAUCAUCCAAUAAUUAACCAAAUUUCCUUCAAACAAAACGUUGAAAAGCCAUGUGUGAGCUAGCCAUGUCAAUGCAAUUCCAAGCUCCUUUAAAUCAUCAUAUGCAAACAUGUGAGUUUCUCACAAGACAUACGCUCAUUCACUCAUAAGUUUUGGUUAAUGUGUUUCACUCAAGUGAUCUCAGUGCACAUGCCACCAUAUGCUUGCUUGUCCACCUAACUCGCUUAUCAAUAUUUAAGUAAUACCUUGGAUCAAUAGGACUUUAUUACGGUUGUAAUGAGGUUAAAGGUGAUAGGCUAAUGAAAGAAAGGAUAUGGAAAUCAAAAAUUUUGAGAAAGUACUUUGGUAGUUUUCCAACACCUCAAUAUCACACCACCUCAAAUUGAAAACAAAAUAAUAAAACCUCGAGCACCUGUUACUCCCCAAAUUUAACUUAAAAAGGAAAUUUAUACUCUGCAGACACAUUUUCAACAAAUCAACACUCUCCAAUUUUCAUAUAUUUCGUUUUUUUUUCUUUUUUUUUUUUUUUUGAAAGAAACAAAUCUGCAAAAGCUACAUCACCCACCAAAUUCACAUUUCAUUGUAAUACACAUGCUCCAUCUAUCUUUCUACAUAAAUGAAACCCUCAAAAGCACAACCCAUGUAAUACUUUCUCAAAACAAUAAGGAAUCGAUUUUUGUGUAUGGGCUCAACUCCAAUAUUGGAGCAAGGUAAAGAGAUGUGGCUAACAAAAAAAUGGUUUAGUUAAAGGCUCAAUGGGCUACUACGGAUAAACAUAGCAUAUAAGGUAGGCAUGAAAGGCUCAAACGAUCCAAAGAUGGCCUAUAUCACUUCCCAGUUAUUACAUGAAUUGAUUAAUGAAUCGAGUAGUAUAAAGCAAGUUCUAGAGAUACAUGUACAGUGAGAUCAUACGCACAAGAAGGAAUGAGAUUGAUGCAUAAUGGUUCAAUCAUGUAUAGGCUCAAAAACUCACAAGGUUUACAUAAUCUCACAUGAUUCACAUAUGAAACGCUAAAUCAUGCUCAAGUUUCACAUUGACAAGACUAGACACAUUUAAUUUUCAAGUUGAUUUUUGGAAAUCACAGCUAACACAAAGACAACGAAAAGAACUUAGACUUCUUGAAAGUAAGAAGGAAAUUAAAUCAAAUCUCAUCAUUGAAUUGAGAAGUAGCUACAAACAACAAUAAAAAUGCAAAAACUUUUUUAUUUUUUUUUAAUUUUUAUUUUUAAAAUUUAAUAAAUAAACUAACGAAAUAUAUUUCCACCCCCAAACUUAAUUAUAGCAUUGUCCCCAAUGAUAAUGAAAGGAAUUUUUUAACAAUAAGACAUAAAAAUGGAAGGAAAGAAAUAUAAAAUGAAAUAAAGACACAAAAAGAAAAGGAAAGAACACACCAAUUUGUGUAAGCGAGGAGAGCAGUAGUGUGAGAGAUGCUGACACGUCUGGAAAAGCAGAUUCCUCUCCGAUUUCCGAGCUUGCCUCUUCGAAAUCUGAGCUCCGUCGAGUGCAGAGGUUGCAUGUGACGAGUACGGACAAAUCUGGAACAAAGGAUGACCCGUGGUUUCUGAGCAAGCUCAGCUUUUGAGAAAGCGAACGCCGCUUUGAUUUUUUUAGUUGGCCUCUUCGAUAUCUGGACUUGCCUCUUCGAUCUCCGAAACCCCAUCGCGUGCUGAUUUUUAUAGAGGUAUGCAGGACGUUCAAAGCACACUUGAAUUUCUGCCUUCAAAAACUCCCUCUUUGCACUUCUACGAUCGUGACUUGUCCGACCUCUUCUUUCUUUACACCUCUGAAAAAUGUCUGGCCCUUCCGACCGUCGUUUUGACUUGAAUCUUGGUGAAGAGGCAGCUCCGCCUUCACCAGAUAACAUAUGGCGCCCAUCCUUCAUAUCCCCUACCGGUCCCCUUACCGUGGGGGAUUCGGUGAUGAAAAAUGAUAUGACAGCUGCGGUGGUGGCCCGGAACCUUGUCACUCCUAGAGAUAACAGACUGCUCUCUAGACGAUCUGAUGAGUUGGCUGUGAAGGAGUCUCUGGCACUUAGCGUGCAGUGUGCGGGUUCUGUGUCUAACAUGGCCCAACGCCUCUUUGCUCAAACCCGUCAAGUUGAGUCGUUGGCGGCUGAAGUAAUGAGUCUCAAAGAGGAGAUUAGAGGACUCAAGCAUGAAAAUAAACAAUUGCACAAGCUUGCACACAACUAUGCCACAACCAUGAAGAGGAAAAUUGACCAGAUACAUGAAUCUGAUGGUCAGAUUUUACUUGAUCAUCGGAGGUUUGUGGGUUUAUUCCAACAGCAUCUGCCUUCGUCUUCUGGGGCGGCACCGCGUAGUGAAGCUCCAACUGAUCAACCUCCGAUACCUCCUCCUUCUGUGGCCCCGCCGACUGCUGAGGCCCUGCCGACUACUGAAGCUCCUCCUUCGCAGCCUAUGUGAAAGCUUCUCCUUUGAAGCUUUUUUUUUUUUUUUUUAUCUGCUCAAUGUUCCUUUCCCUUUUUUUUUUUUAUGAAUGAAAAAAAAAAAAAAUGUUGCAAGAAGUUGUGGUAGAUAUUGCAAAAUCAUUACCUGCAUAAAGGAAUAAAAGUAGGACUUAAACACACAAACCAGAAAACAAGAGAAAAACAGAACAAGAACAUUUAAAAUUAUUCAAAAAAAAAAAAAAAAUGAAAGAUAGAAAGCUUGGGUUGCCUCCCAAGAAGCGCUUUAGUUACUGUCUAGAGCUAGACAUUCUGUUGGCAGCUUGAUUCAAAUAACAGGUUCCUUCAAAGUGAUGGAAUCCUUAGAAAGAUCAUAUGGAGACUCCUUGUAUAACUUCAAGCGAUGUCCAUUAACUUUGAAGACAAAACCAGUUUGCAUGUUUUGGAUAUCCACAGCCCCAUGAAGAUGAACCUGUACAACAAGAUAUGGACCAUUCCAACGUGAUUUGAGCUUUCCUGGGAAUAGUUUCAAUCUUGAAUUAAAAAGUAAAACCUUCUGGCCCGGUUGAAACUCUUUACGAAGGAUGUGAGCAUCAUGAAAUUUCUUGGUCUUAUCCUUGUAAAUCCUUGCAUUCUCAUAAGCAUCAUUCCUUAUUUCUUCAAGUUCAUUCAACUGCAACUUCCGCUUCUCUCCCGCUGCUUGGUAGUCAAGGUCCUUAAUAGCCCAAUAUGCCUUGUGCUCAAGUUCCAUAGGCAGAUGGCAAGCUUUCCCAUACACCAAACGAAAAGGAGACAUCCCAAUUGGUGUCUUAUAAGCUGUCCUAUAUGCCCACAAAGCAUCAGUAAGCUUUAAACUCCAAUCAUUUCGAGAUGAACUAACAGUUUUCUCAAGAAUCCUUUUGAGCUCCCGAUUAGAUACUUCAACUUGUCCAGAUGUCUGUGGAUGGUAUGGAGUGGCUAUGCGAUGGUGAAUAUGAUACUUGGCACAAAGGGUAGCCAUGGUGCGGAGAGAAUGAGAAGUUGAAAGGAAAAAGAUUGCAAAAAGACUUGAGUUUUAUAACUUUAUAUGCAUUUGGAGUUGGACAAAUGGAUUGGCAGUAAAUUUGAAAAAUAAGAAAAAUUAAGAAAAUCUAGUGACUACUAAAAGGCAGAUUCGUGUUUUGAACUCAACACCCCAAAGAAAAGUGAAGCCAACAUUUCCACUGCACUAACAAAUGAAUUAUGAUAUUUCUUACUUUUUUUUGUAUUUAUAUGUUAAUUAUAGGAUAUAAAUUUUUUUUGGGGGCCCUUCCGUAGUGGGGGCCCUAGGCGGGCGCCUACUUGGGCUACCCUAAGGGCCGGCCCUGCACAAAAUCAUGCAUGCAAGGCCAUCUUCGAGUUCCUCAAGCUUCCUAGAAUCUAAAUUUGUGGAUUUGGGGAUGCGUUUUGCUCUGGAUUAGUGAGAUGGUGGUGGUGGUUUCUUGGAGGAGAAGAGAGAAUUGCAGAGUUAGAGAGAAGUUAGAGAGAGAGAAAUGCGGAAGAAGAGAGAGUGGACUGGCUAAAGUGUGGUCUUGACCCACUCAGAUUUUCCAGGAAAAUUACCAUUUUGCCCUCCACUUUUCAAAAAUCAUAACUUAGCUCUUGUAACGCCAAUUUAGAUUUCACUUUUGCCCACACACUCGUAAGUAAGAAAAGUGAUUUAAUAAAAUAAGAAAAUAUGACACCCUCACCAGGGGCAUUCGGGUCAUUUCUCACUUUUCAGGAAUAAUAAACAUUUAUUUAAGGUACAGGUUGUAACAAUCUACCCCCUUAAGAAAAUUUUGUCUCCUGAAAUUUCUAUAAUUAACUAGUAGAAAAGACAUGUACACUGUACUGUCAUGCUUUCUUUCGUCUUCCAAGUAGUUUCUUCGACUUUGUGGUUUCUGCACAAAACUUUCACCAAAGAAAUCACCUUGUUUGGAAGAGUUUUCUCUCUUAAAUAUAGUUUGGUCAUUGGUUCCUCUUCCUAACUCAAACCCUUAGGUAGUUCUAGUGGUGAUGAUACCAAGACAUGUGACUCAUUGACACAUAACCAUGAAGCAUUGGUACAUGAAACACAUUGUGAACACGUGAUAGUUGUGGAGGCAAAUCUAGACGAUAUGCAACAACUUUAAUUCUUUCUCUAAUGUUAAAAGGACCAAUGUAACGAGGACUAAACUUCCCUCGUUUGCCGAAUCUUACCACUCCUUCCUAUGGUGGUAAUUUUAGGAAUACACUAUCAUCUACAUUAUAUUGUCGAUCUUUAGCAUGUCCAUUAACAGUACUCUUCUAUCUGUGUUGUGCUAUCUUCAUAUUUCUCCUUAUCACUUUCAUCUUUUUGUGGCAUCAUCCAUAAGUUCUAGACCCAAAUAGUUCGUUCUUCAACUUCAUUUCAACACAAAGAAGUUUUGCAAGACUUACAAUACAGUGCCUCAAAAGGUGUCUCGAAAGGUGUCAUACCAAGGCUAGUAGGGAAACUAUUUUUGCAGGCAAAUUCAUUAAAAGGUUGAUGUCGGUACCAUUCCAUCAAAUUGCAUUACAGUAGCUCUCAACAUACCCUUCAACAUCUAAAUAAUUAUCUCUGUCUGUUCAUAUUAAGAACUAUAGUGUAAAAGAUAGGACAUAGAAGUAUUAGUUUGUAAAUGUUUUUAUAGUCAGUUAGAGUCUUUGUUAAUAUUGUUUGGACAAUUAGGAUUGGUUAUAAGUGAGCUGUCAAUCAUCUGUGUGGUGAUGUAAAUGUAUAAAUACCAAAGGUUGUAAUCUUAUUGAUUAAGAUAUGAAAAUAUAACUUUUCUAUCAUGGUAUCUCUCACCUCUGUCUAACGACCUAUCCUCUUCCGAUCCUCUUCUUUCGCUUCCCCUAUUUCUUCCUUUCUUCAAACCCUAAACCAUGGUGACUGAUGCAUUUCCCACCUCUGGCUCCAUUCUUCCCUCUCCAAAUUCGUGCCCUAAUUCUUCUGGCACUUCUCCAAUUGCAUCGAUUACGAUCCAAAAUAUUGGUUCAAUGGUGCCAAUCAAGCUCACAACCACCAAUUACCUCACAUGGAGUGCGUUAUUUGCUCCGAUCUUCCGUCGUUACAAUCUCACUGGAAUCAUUGACGGCUCUAUGGCUACUCCGCCCAAACUUCUUCGCGACUCUUCUGGAAAUGCAAUCUUGAAUCCUGAUUAUGUUGCUUGGUAUGAGAAUGAUCAAAAUAUUCUCAUUUGGAUCAAUUCGACUCUCUCUGAUUCUUUGAUUCCGUAUGCGGUUGGUGUUAAUUCCUCUCGAGAGCUCUGGUCUAAGCUUGAAUCGCGACUUGCUGCAACUUCACAGUCUCAUGUUCAUGAACUUCGUUCACGACUUUGCACAAUCACCAAGGGUGAUUUUACUGCAGCUACAUAUCUUCAACAAAUUGAGGAGAUCUCUGAUGCUCUAACCAGUGCUGGUGCUCCAAUUGAUGAACAUGAGCUUCUUUCUGUUAUUCUUCAUGGACUUCCUCCUGAUUAUGAUUCCUUUGUUGAUGCGAUCCAGUUUCGUCUUGGAUCUACAACCAUUGAUGAACUGCAUGGUUUACUACUGAGCAAAGAAAUUCAACUUGCCAAUCGCAAGAAACCAACUGCCUCAGGAUCUUUUCAAGCGUUUCAUUUGUCUCUUGGAUCUUCUGCUGGAAUUCUUCCUCUACCACCUCAGAACCUUAAUUCUCAGGCGUUUCUUGCUCAGAAUUUUCCCAAUUUCAAUCAGUCUCAAGGUCGUGGUCAAGAUCGUACUUUCAAUCGAAAUUUCUCAAAUCCUAAGUCCAACAACCAGCGUUUGAAUUACUCCAACAAUUAUCAGAGAAAUAAUCAGAGGAACAAUUAUUCGAGGAACAAUCGUGGUGGACGAUUUGGUUCAACCUUUUCUGGCCGCAGACUUACUUGCCAAGUCUGUCGUUAAAAUGAUCAUGAGGCUGCUGAGUGUCCUCAUCGCAUGAAUCCUCAAUUUGGUUCAAAGACUUCUCCAUCUGCAAUGUGUGCCAAUGCUGCAUCUUCCUCUGCUCCUCGUACUUGGCUUCUCGAUUCUGGUGCAAGCUCUCAUAUGACUAAUUCUGUUGCAAACUUGCAAAUUUUUUUACCUUACACUGGCCCUGAGCAAGUCUACGUCGGUGAUGGCAAAGGUUUGCUUAUUUUUCAUUCUGGUUCUUCUACACUUUCUACUACUCAACAUGACUUUGCUCUUCGCAAUGUUUUACAUGUUCCUGAUUUAAAACAAGAUAUGUUAUCUGCAAAUCAAUUUACCAUUGAUAACUGGUGCUCAAUUACUCUCUAUCCUUUUCACUUUACUGUGAAUGAUCUUUCUUCGGGGAGGAUGCUUUUUAAAGGCCCUGUGAGGAAUGGCUUUUACCCCUUCACUGCCUCUAGUCUAACCACUGGUCAUCAUCACCUCUUUGCUGCAACAAUCAAAGCUUCUUCUCAAAUAUGGCACCAACGGCUGGGCCAUCCAUCCUUUCAGCUUUUAAAUAAAAUAGUCUCUAAGUCUAGUCUUCUUGUUUCUACUAGCAUGACUAAGUCUUUUUGUUCAAAUUGUGCAAUGGGCAAAAGUAUCAAACUUCCUUUUGUAUCUAGUUCUCCUACCACCAUUCGACAUCUGCAACUUUUACAUACAAAUGUAUAGGGGCCUUCAUCUGUUAUGUCUGUAUCAGGUUAUAGAUACUAUCUCAUUGUUGUUGAUGAUUACACAAAGUACUGCUGGUUUUUUCCUCUCAAGUGUAAAUCUGAGGUUUUUCAGACCUUUAUUGAAUUCAAAGCAUUGGUUGAGAAUAUGUUGCAUACUUCUAUUGCUGUUUUGAGAUCAGAUUCUGGUGGAGAGUUUUUAAGUUCUGACUUUACUCAGUUUCUCAAAACUCAUGGCAUUUAUCACCAACUCAGUUGCCCUCACACACCAGAGCAAAAUGGCUGUGCUGAGCGCAAACAUCGUCAUUUGGUUCAGAUUGCUCGGACUCUUCUGACUGCAUCUCAUGUCCCUCACAUUUAUUGGGUUGAAGCUUUUUCAACAGCAGUAUAUCUUAUUAACCGACUGCCUACUAUGCUCAGGUCCUCUCCUUGGGAACAGUUAUUUCACAAACCACCAUCAUAUGUCACUCUUAAAGUGUUUGGUUGCCGAUGCUUUCCCUGGCUUAAACCCUAUACCACAUCCAAAUUAGAACCUAGAAGUAAACCUUGUGUCUUUCUUGGUUAUAGUUUGAACCAUAAAGGAUAUAGAUGUCUUGAUCUUGUAACCAGGCAAGUUUACAUAUCUCGCCAUGUUAUCUUUGAUGAAUCCCAUUUCCCUUUUCAGCACAUUACUGCCAUCUCUUCUCCCUUUACUUCCCCAGCCUCCUCACCCUCUUCAAUCCCAUCUGCCUUAGUAUUUCCUAUUCUAAGUUCUUCCCCACCAUCUCCAUUUUCUUCAUCUCUUCAUGCACCUAUAUUACACCCUGCUACUUCUUCUAAUUCUGUCGAUGUACUGUCUUCUGCACCUCUAUUACACCCUGUCAGUUCAUCUAGUCCUGCACUCUCUGUUUCUUCCACAAACACUCAUGCUAUGCAAACUAGAUCUAAGUCAGGUAUAUUCAAACCCAAAGCCUAUGCAGCCACCAAACAUCCCCUUCCUUCUCAUCUCACUGCGGAUUUCCUAGCUACUACCUACUUACAGGCUUCAAAACACUCUCAUUGGAGACAUGCUAUGCAAGAGGAAUAUAAUGCUUUUCUCACUACUGGCACUUGGUCUCUUGUUCCUUCCCAUCCUUCACAGAAUCUUGUGGGUUGCAAAUGGGUCUUUCGGAUUAAAAGAAAAGCUGAUGGCACUAUAGAUCGGUAUAAAGCUCGGCUGGUUGCUAAGGGGUUUCAUCAGCAAGCAUGCUUAGAUUAUACUGAUACUUUCAGUCCUGUUGCCAAGCCUGUUACCAUUCGGUUUCUUCUUACUUUAGCUGUCCAGUAUGAUUGGUUUCUUAACCAAUUAGAUGUCAGCAAUGCUUUUCUUCAUGGAUCUCUGUCUGAAAAUGUUUUCAUGCAACAACCAACUGGUUUUCAGGAUCCUACUCGGCUUACACAUGUCUGUCAUCUUCAUAAGUCACUUUAUGGUUUAAAACAGGCUCCCCGAGCUUGGUAUGAAGAGCUGCAAGCUGCCUUCUCUUCUAUGGGUUUCGUUGGUUCUCAAAAUGACCAUUCUUUGUUUGUUCAGAAAGCUCCUACCUUGGUAUUUGUUUUGGUUUAUGUAGAUGACAUUCUGGUUACAGGACCAUCUUCACAGGCCUGUAAGGAUACUAUUGCUCAACUCAGUGCCUUAUUCCUGAUUAAAGAUCUUGGCCCAUUACACUUCUUUCUUGGCAUCGAAGUCAAAAGGUCAUCCUCUGGCAUUCUGUUUUCUCAGACCAAGUAUAUACUGGAAUUACUCAAGAAGGCUAAACUGGAUGGUGCCAAGCCUUGUCCCACACCUUUGAGCACUUCCACAUUGGAUCACACUUCUCCUCUGUUAUCUAAUCCCGCAGAAUAUAGGUCUCUUGUGGGUGGUUUGCAAUACUUAACCUGGACACGUCCUGAUCUGUCCUUUGCGGUUAAUCUUGUCUGUCAAUAUAUGCACAGUCCUAGAGAAUCUCAUCUUCAAGCUGUCAAACGAAUUCUGCGAUACCUUAAGGGCUCUAUUGAUUUGGGGUUAUGGUUCUCCAAAUGUGCCAUUCCUCUCAGUCUUAAUGCAUUCUCUGAUGUCGAUUGGGCUGGCUGUACUUUAGAUCGACGAUCAACCGGUGGAUAUUGCAUCUUUCUGGGCACUUCUCUCCUUAGCUGGAGUGCAAAGAAACAACCCACAGUGGCUCGAUCAUCAAUUGAAGCUGAGUAUCGAUCUUUAGCUAAUACGGCAGCUGAGCUUACCUGGUUGUGUAAACUUUUGGUUGAUGUUCACUUGGUUCUUUCCUGUUCUCCCCAAUUGUGGUGUGAUAAUAUUUCUGCUUUGUCUUUAGCUAAAAAUCCUAUAUUCCAUGCUAGGACUAAGCAUGUUGAAAUCGAUUAUCACUAUAUUCGGGAGAAAGUGCUUUGCCGUGCUAUUUCUGUUCAUUUCAUCUGUUCUCAAGACCAAGUUGCAGAUAUCUGUACAAAGUCCUUGCCCAAGCCAGAUUUCUGCUUCUCCAAGACAAACUCUCUCUUCGGUUCCCUCAGAUCAGUUUGAAGGGGGAUAUUAAGGACUAUAGUGUAAAAGAUAGGACAUAGAAGUAUUAGUUUGUUAAUGUUUCUAUAGUCAGUUAGAGUCUUUGUUAAUAUUGUUUGGACAGUUAGGAUUGGUUAUAAGUGAGCUGUCAAUCAUCUGUGUGGUGAUGUAAAUGUAUAAAUACCAAAGGUUGUAAUCUUAUUGAUUAAGAUAUGAAAAUAUAACUUUUCUAUCAGUUCGUUGGUCCAAGAAUAAAAAGCAGUACUGUAAUGUAGUCGAGUACCCAUAGCUUGCUGAAAAGCUUUUAAGCAUUUGGAAACAAGCGAGCAUCACGAUCAGAAAUAGUCAUCUCAGGAAAUCCAUGCAAAUGAACAAUCUGACCAAUAAAAAGUCUAGCCAAUUUAGCAAUGGAAUAGGUUUCACGAAUUGCAAUGAAAUGCGCUGAAUUCGUGAGAUGAUCAACUAUGACCCAUAUGCCAUCAUGACUAUUCUAUGACCGAUGAGGUUUAUACAGAAAAUCCAUGGCAAUCUUUUAUCACUUGUAAACAUGAAUAGGAAGUGGUUGAGAUAACAUUUUUUUGUCGCUCAAGUUUAACUUGUUGACAAAUCAAACAUCUUUUCACAUAUUAAGCAAUAUCAUUUUUCAUACCUGACCAAUAGUAAUAAGGCCUGAUAGUAUGGUACAUCUUGGUAGAGCCAUGAUGCAUAACAUAGGCUGAAAUAUGUUCUUCAUCUAAGAUAUCUUGCUUAGUUCUUCAUCCUUAAGAACAUUGAGUCGGUUCCCAAACAAGAGUGUCCCAUCUCUUCUAACUUUGUGAUCAUGUCGUGUACCAUUUGCCACUUCUUCUAUUAACUUCAAACACAACUAAUCAUUCCUUUGAGCUAUGCGGACCUGAUUAACAUGUACAGGUCUAACUUAAAAAUAAGCUAGUAAAGUUCCACUAUUCUCCAUUUCCAACUGAACUCCAAAUUUUCUCAGCUCAACAAGAAUAGAUAGACGAACUUCAUGAAUUAAGGAAAGUUGACCAUAAGACUUAUGAAUAAGAGCAUCAACUAUCACAUUAGCAAGAUCAGGGUGAUACUCAAUCAUACAGUUGUCAUCAUUGAUUAGCUCCAUCUAUCUCUUUUGUCUCAGAUUAAGAUCUUUCUGGUCAAACAAAUACUUUAAACUGUUGUGAUAAGUAAGGACAUGACACAUAAUGCUGCCAUAUGUUUAAUGCAAAGACCAUUGCUACUAAUUUCAGGUCAUGGGUACAAUAAUUCUGCUUAUGAUGUUUCAGCUGUCUAGAAGCAUAAGCUAUCAGUCUCCCAUGUUGCAUCAACACACAAACCAAACCUUGAUGUGAUGCAUCAAUAUAAACUUCAAAUUCCUUGCUCCGGUCAGGAAAAGCAAAUACUGGUGCCUGGGUGAGAAAAUACUUUAAUUCUUGGUAACUACCUUCACAACCUUCAUUCCACUCAAAAGUUACUCCUUUCGUGUUAACUUAGUAAGUGGGGCAACUAUAAAAGAAAAGUCUUCCACAAAUCUCCGAUAAUAGCUUGCAAGACCCAAGAAACUUCUCAUCUCUAUAUUUCUUGGUUGCUCCUAAUUAACAACUGCAGAGAUCUUCUACGGUCGACAAAGAUUCCUUCAACUGAAAUAACAUGCCUCAAGAAACCAAUAUUAUCCAAUCAAAACUGACACUUGCUAAACUUAGCAUAAAUCCUUCUUCGUCUUAACCUUUCCAACACAAGUCUAAGGUGUCUAGCAUGGUCUUGUUCACUUUUAGAAUACACGAGUAUAUCACCAAUGAAGACUAUCACAAAGUUGUCUAAUAUGAUUGGAAAACUCUAUUCAUCAAAUCCAUCAAAGCUGCAGGGGCGUUAAUUAAACCAAAAGGCGUAAUGAGAAAUUCAUAAUGACCAUAUCGUGUUUUAAAAGUAAUUUUUGGAACAUCUUCAAUAUGAAUCUUCAAUUGAUGAUAUCCAGAUCUCAAGUCAAUUUUAGAGAAAACUUGAGCUCCUCUGAAUUGACAUAGUUAAUGCACAGACGCAUGCUCUCAUCCUUCUUCUUCACAAACAACAUAGGAGCACCACACGGAGAAGUAAUUGGCUACACAAAACCUUUGUCCACUGACUCUUGCAACUGAACCUUCGGUUCCCUUGUUCAGCUGGUGCCAUUUGAUAUGGCGUGAGAGAUAUCAAAUCAAUUCCAUGUAAGAGAUCAAUGGUAAACUCCAUCUCUUGAUCUGGUGGCAAUUUAGGAAAAUCUUCAGGAAACAUCUGGGUAUUCAUUAACAACAGGACCAUCUUCAACUCGGGUAGGACUUUCAUUCUUUACGGUCACACGAGCAAGAUAUCCCUGACAACCCUUGGAAAGAAGCUUCUUAGCUUGAAGAAAAGAGAUUAGGCUAUUAAGUAGAAUAAGAAAACAUGAGAAAUUGAAUUUAAACUAAGAGGUCCAUUUUUAUUCAAGACACCCUCACAAGGGACAUUUUGGUCAUUUCAAACUUGUCGGGAAUAAAAUACAUUUAUUUAAGAUAUGAGUUUUAACACAAAGAUUUUUUGCACUGUAGCCGUUGGACGUGAAAAUUCUCACCUCAAUUUCAUGAAGAAAUUGAGAAGGUGAGUAGAGAGACGGUUACUCUUCAAUAUAUGGUGUGUGUUGUGGUACGGGUGUGGUGUUUCAGAGAAGAAGAAAGAAAGAGAAGGCGUUGAAGUCGAGAGAGAGCAUUGGUUGAAGUCGAGAGAGAAAGAGAGAUGGAGUUGUUGAUUCGAGAGAAAAGAGAAUUGAGGUUGAGUUUAAUUGAACUGUUGAGAUUAAAGUCUCAACCAUUGUGACCUUAUAAUGAUUUAUAAUCUUAUAUAUAUAUAUAUAGAGAGAGAGCUUAAGGGGAGGGAUCCCCAUUUUUUGAAAAAAAUGGGGAUUAGGUGUGGGGCCCACUUCACAUCAAAUUUCAACGAUCCGAACCAUCUAUUUUGUUAGUCUCGAUUCAUAGAUCAUCUUUGCAAAAAUUCAAUUCAAUCUGAAACCAUUUGCCUAUUUAAUUAUCAAUAUCAAAUUUCAUAUUUUCUUAUAUAACAAAGUAUUCGUUCAUUUCCUUGAACCCAAUUAGAUGUCUUAAACAUUUCCGAUUUAGCUAAUAUUUUGCAAGGAUGAUCUAUGAAUUGAGACUAACAAAAUAGACGGUUCGGAUCGUUGAAAUUCGAUGUGGAGUGGGCCCCACACCUAAUUCCCAUUUUUUUCAAAAAAUGGGGAUCCCUUCCCUUAAGCAAUCUGUAUAUAUAUAUAUAUAUAUUGUAUAUUUCAAAUAAAAAUGAUAUAUAUUCUUAAAUUUGGUUCCGUUCGGUAUUACCGAACUAAUAGAUAUUGGAUCCCAAUACCCGUAUCUAACAUUCGGGAAUUUGUUUGUUUGAAUUACCAAGUGGUUUGGUUUUUUAUUAGCGCGUUCGGUAUCGAUUCGGUCGAUUUCGGGUUUUUUUUUUUUUUUUUUUUUUCACCUCGCGUUGAAUCAUCUAAACCAUCAUAUGCUAAUAAUGAAAGAGAAAUUAACUUCUUUAAGCUUGAGAGUCUACAUGUAAUCUGCAAAGGCAUUGAGGAGAGAGGGCGGGAGAGAAGGGCAAGAAAAGAGUGAGAGGAUGGGGAACGAGAUGGAGAAAGAGAGAUGUUUGUUCUUCUCGUAAAAUGGGGGAUUUGAUAUAAUAUUUACGUGUAUUUAAUACAAUAAUCAUCAGACGGUUAUAUAUAACUUAUGUGGAUAUGUAUUUAAUAUGAUUACAACUUAAUUAAACAUUGAGAUAGUGAUUGUUUUAAAUACAUAUAAGUAUGGUAGCCAAAUUCGUAAAGUUGUUAGAUUGAGUGAAAUUUAAAGUGUCGGCUUUUCUUUUAGUGCCCGUGUUGGCCGUGUAAAAUAUUCUUCGUUCCAUGCAGUGUUUCCAGGCUAGACAUGCCUAUUAACUUACCACAUUCUAUAGCAUUUUUGUAAAAAACGCUAUAUUGCAAUGCUACCAAUAUGAUGGAACAUAGUAGUGUACUGCAGUACAUAUAGUAAUGUUAAUUUUAUUGCGAAAGCCUUGUUUACAUGAUUGUGCUAUAUAAUACCACCAUAAUAAACCUAACACUGAUUUAACUAAAGUUUACACUAUAAAGGAUUGCAUAAUUAAAAUCUGGAAAGUUAAGUCAUUAUGAUAUUAAUUUCAUCAUAUAUACGUUCUCGAUCGUCGUCUACGAAAAUCUCUUGAAAAACUGGGAGAUCAACUUUCCAUGCAGUGCAGAGGUGGUCUUUCUUCAGACACUACGUACAUACGUGCAUGGGCCUAGGAUUUCAUCAAGAAGUUCAUCAAUUUUUUCUCCCGUCACAAGUUCAUCAGUUUCUUGGUGCUGAUGUGUUACAGUCUGAUCAAAUUCCAUUGGUAUGGAAUCACCAGAUGGGCCCGCCUCGUCAUCAUUCGCCAUCUUGAUUUUGUAAUGCUUCCUCGUCGUGAUCUUAAACUUGCAGCUAUUUUGCUGCAUCUUUAUCUCUGUACCCUUCUCAUCGUUCUCGAUCUUGAUCUCCUUGCCCUUGUUCAUCCUGCGUUGCUGACCGUCCAUCGUAUGUACCUAAUAUGUUGGUUUUCCUGACUUCAGCAUAUCAAUACAUACAAUCAGCGUUCUCAGAAAAAUAAAUUAAUUAGAAUAACACUUAUAGAUGAAAUAAUUUUACUUAUACCUCAGUUAUAUACAUUAACACAUGCAAGACUUGUUCACAGCUAUAUAAUAUAGACACGCAUACAGACAUCUAUAUAAUUCUUUUCAUCCUUUAUGAGGGAAUGCACAGAUCUCGCCCUAAUAACGUAUACAUAGAAAACAUUAAGAGAAGAAGAGUUUGAAAAAUAAGCGGUUGUGGUUGUACCUUGUAAACCUUGCUCGAGGUAAGAAAGAGGUUAUGGAUAAUGGUUUAUAUGAGGAGGGGUUUUUGUUUUACGAGUAUAUAUGGAGUGGGAGGGUGAUAAAAAAGAAGUAACGAUAAUGGAGUCUAACACAAGGUAAGUUUCGGGAAAGACACUGUUGCUCGAAAUAUGCACACUAAUAAAUUUAAGAGGUUAACUUUUUCUUUUUUUGAAGUAAGCUAUACGUACUGUACAGUUUUGGGUUUAGUACUAUUGAUCAAUUAAUAUGGUAAGCUAUUAUGUCAAUUAAUUUUAUUAGUUAUUUCAAUCCUAUAUAUAACUUGAAAGAUGAUUUAGGAAACUAAAACUUUUUUUUUGGGCAUUUUUACUUAAGACCUCUUACUUAAAAAUGAAGAUAAAUAUGACUAGACCAUAAUAUUAUGCGGCGGAGGACAACUUAAUAAGUGGUCAUGUUCUUGCUAUGUUAUAAUGAUAAGUUGUAGAACUUUCGGUUACAAAAAUACGUAUGUUUAAAAAAGUAAAAACUAGUCAACAAAUUUAAACAUGCGUCAUCUUUUAAUUAAAUUGUUAAUUAUUUUUUUUGUCAAAGGAUAGUACUGAAAUUGUUAAUUAUUGAACAUUGUUAUGUGACAUAACAACCCUGUUACAAUUUUUGUAAGAAUAUGAACAAGGGUGAUUUUGAAAUAAAAAAUUAUCUUAAUGCUCCCCUUUUCUUCACCGAAACUACCCACCCCGACCUCCUCUCUCUCUCAAUAGUAGGAAGUUUUUACACAAAUGUAUUCACCUUGUCGGUACAGUCAUAGGCAAAAUAUCUUUGCCUCUUUGGUAGUGACCUACCACAAUAUCUUCACCUUUUCAGUAGAGGUUUACCGAAUGCCGUGUCGGAAUUUAGAAUUUCAGAAGCAGUUAGACGUUCAAAUUGAUGAAAAAUGGAAAGAGAAAAAACAUAUGAAGGCAUACCCGGAGCCUCCAAAGAGUCUAUUUCAUGUUUCGUUCAUUGAAAACUAAGCUUUCUUUUAUUUUUUUAUAUUUUUUUACGGUUAAAAUUUGUCUUUAAAAAGGUGGGUAAGAAUAGGUUUGAGAACUUGAAGAAAAUAAAAUCUUAGGAUGCAGGUUGUUUGGCGAUGAUUUCUUAGUUUUAAGAGUAAAAUAAGAUUAAAAUCGACUUUCAACACGAGUAAAUCCUCAAUUUAUUAUACACAAAAGACAAAACACCAAAAUUGGUAUUAAAGCUCGAUUCCUUUGCCUUUGGACGAAAUUCAGAACACCCCAACUCAGCAGUAACCUAGACAGACUGAUUGAUUUCUGAAGAGAUUUUUCCGGCGGAAGAGAUGCUAUCAUCUAUAACCAAAACUCCACUUUUCCUUUCUAAGGUAUUUUCUUUCCUUACUCACUCCAGUACCUUUAUUUGUUUUAUUAUUUUCAAAAUAUGAAUACAAUACUUGGCCUUGAUAAAAAAAUUUGGGCAAAACUAUAAUUCAAGUCUGAAGAUUUCGUUUUGUUCCCCUCUUGUUGUUGUCUGGCUUGGCAUAUUUUGUUCUUCGUUGGCAUAUUUUGUUGAGGAAAACCCCACUUUGAGAGUGGGAUUUUUGAGUGAAAAUAUUUGCUUUUUUGCUCAAAAAUAGGAUUGUGAUGUUCAUUCAUGAGUGAAGCUCUCCUUCCCGAAACUUAUAUGUUUGGUUUAUGUUAAAAAAAUUGGUUUUCUGCAUAACAAUGGUGGUCAUCGGAAUCAAAGGCGGCCUUCAAACAAAUAUUUCCAUGUAGUGUUUCCUGGCUAGACAUGGCUAUUAACUUACCACAUUCUAUAGCACUUUUGUAAAAGACGCUAUAUUGCAAUGCUAUCAAUGAUAGAACAUUGUAGUGUAUUGCAAAUAUAUAUACUAACGUUAAUUUUAUUGAAAAUAUGACUUUAGCCCCUAAAACUUAAUUUUCUCCACAUAAAACCCGACAUAAGUUUUUUUACUUGAAUAAAACCUAUUGACAGAUUCCACAUCAGCAAAUUCAUUAAUUAUGUUUCACUUCACACAUUAAAAAAUUUUCGGAUGCUUAAAAUAUUAAUGUUAUAAAUUCAUUGCCUAAUAUAUAAUAAUAUAAAACAUGUCUAAUAUAUGUUAUUAUACAUGAUUAAUUAAGUCAAUAAAAUUAUAUUUUACAUAUUAAUGUAGGUAAAUUAUUUUACACACACACACAUAUAGCCUGAUCUAUGUAAAUAUCAUGCAAAAAAAUUUACCUACAAAAAAAAAACAUUUGAUUCAAAUAGUGCAUGUACUAUUAAAAUUUUAAAAUGUUAGAUUGCUUAAAAAAAGAAAAAUAAUAUACCCUAUAUAUGUUAAACACAUGAAAAAUAAUUUACCUACAUAAUAACAAACCCAUAUAUGCAAAAUACAUGCAAACUAAUUUACCUACAUAAUAAAACAAUAUUAUUUUGUUAAAUACUAAUUUACCUAUUAUUUGUAUAUAUAAUAAUAAAAUAUGCCAAAUAUAUAUAUGAUAUUGAUACAUACACGAUAAAAUAUCUACAUAACAAAAGAAUGCUAUUUGAUUCAAAAUUAAUUUACUUACAAAAUAAUGCAAUGUUAUUUGAUUCGAAGCUAAUUUACCUAUUAUUUGUACAUAUAUCUUAUAGUAAUAAAAUGUGUCAAAUAUAUGUAAUAAUAUAUGAAAAAUAAGUUACCUAGAAAAUAAAAGAAUGUUAUUUGAUUCAUUACGAGUGAUGAUAGACGCACCCCAUUGUCCUAUUUUCCCACCCACGUUAUAAUUUCACCCACUAUAAAAAAUUAAAAACUAAAAUCCUAUUUCCCACCCACUAUUAUUCCUAAAAUAACCUCAAACACUAAUUAAAAAACUAAAAUCCUAUUUCCCCAUCCACUAUUAUUCCUAAAAUAACCUUAUAUCACAUCACCACCUCUUCAUUGUACUCUUUGCACCCCAGUCCCUCUCUCAACUUCCCUUAGUAGCAAAAUGCGUUAAUUGGUAGCCAUGGUUACGAGUCAAGAGAACAAAGUAGGGAAGAUAGAGUAGCCCGUGAAGGACUACUGUGACGACCCAUCCCUAUUUUUCACUGUGAUUUCUUUUCCGUUGGUGUGUUUUGACAAUUUUGCCAUUUUUGGACAAAAGUAGAAUCCGACGUGGACGUGGUUUUCAGUUUCAUUUUCCUGGUUUGGUACUAAUUUAGUACUCGUCGUCACGAGCAUGUGGACGCGAGUUAGACCCGAAUCGGAUUUGUAAAGAAAAGUUACGCUCCGUCAAAGUACGAGGACAACGGGUAGAUUUGUACACGCGUGUGUAUUAAUUUAUCAGUGUUAGAAACACUGUGCUGGAUAGAUUUUUUGAUUCCUUUUAUAGUAGGAAAUUUGAAAAACCCUAUCCUUAUCUUUUCUUUUUAACCCAACCCGUGCUUUCCCUUUUUGUCACUCACUAAUCAACUCCCUCAAAUCUCUCACCAAUCCCAUCCUUUACCUCUACAAGGCACCGAAUCAGAAAUCAGAAAAGCAAAAGAAAAAGCUCUCUCUCUCUCUCUUCCUUCACUCUCUUCCUCCCGAAGUCUCUCUUUCUCUGCAACCUUGAAGAUCAACAUUCAAACCUUGCAGAUCAAGUCUUAAAAUCACACCAAUGGACUCCCCUUGAACUCACGAUCAUAACCAUACCAACCAAACCCAGAAUGGACGAGUUUUCGACGUCGAACUAGGAAGGUCCGAACUAGGGGUGGGCACGGGUUGGGCCGGGCCCAAUUUUGAAGGGACCAGACCGGACCUGGGUUCAAAGGAGAUGGGCCGGGGAUUACAUUUUCAAAUAUAGGAACCGGACCUUACCUGGCCUGGUUGAAAUCGGCCGGUUCAGGACUGGUCCAGGGGUCAUUUUUUAUUUUUUAUUUUUGAAAAAAGAAAUUAAAAUUUGCACAGAUUUGCAACUGCACAUAUUUGCACAAAUUUGCAAACUGCACAAAUUUGCACAGAUUGCCACUUUUUUUCCAGAUCGCUGUAAGAGAGAAAUGAUAAAAAUGUAUGAGUUACCCUUGACCAUCUAGGAAAUUUACAAUAAAACUGUAUGAUAAAUGAUAUUUAGGAAAUAGAGGUAUUAUUAAUGAGAAUAAUAUCUUUCCCUUAUGUAGACAUACUUUUGGAACUCAUUAACCCCAAAAAUUACAAACUAUAUCUUUAUCAAUAUCCCUAUUUUUCAACACAUUACAUGACCAUGUUAAAGUUUAAACUUCAUAGGUGAAACUGUGAAAGUGUUUAUGAGAUUCCUGAGAGCAAAAACACGGUUUCCAAUCCAUAGUUUUCAUUUCUUCAGUAGUGGUCACACAGUCUGAACAUUACAGCCUGAGCUUGUUUUUGUGUUUGAUUUUUUUUAGCUUUGCUUGUAUAGGAUCAUGAACCCUAGAUUGAUAUUGAUCACUGUCUUUGCCACUAAGCCUAACAUAGAGAAUAAUAAUAAUAAUAAUAAUAACAAUAAUAAUAAUAAUAAUAAUAAUAUGAAAUUAAAAGGGGAAAAUAUCGGAAAUACGAAUAAAUAUCUGUGAAUAUUGUCAAACUCAGAGUGGGGCUUGAAAGCUCCAUGAAAAAUGAUUGUGAUGCUGAUGCAGGCCAAGAUUUUGACUAGUUUUUGCAUCCAACUCAACUCAAAAGGAAGAAGAAAUGUAUAGACUCACACUAUCUAGUAUCUAAUUUCCUUAAGAACUUAGAAGUUAAAAGGCAUCAAAGCUUGCCAAAUUACUGCAAAAUUAUCAAUUCAAUCAUCAAUCUACUGCAAAAUUAACUCUAGUAACCUAGUUCGAAAACCCUAAAAUCCCAAAUUUCAAUUUAAAAAUCCUAAAAUCCCUACACACGAAAUUCAAAUUAAUAACAAAACCUUAAUUCAAAAUUACCUAAAAUUUAGAAAGAUGAUGGCUGGUACCAGUGUCCUCGAUGACGGUGAUGGAUAGGGUGAUGGCGGUUGCGACGGUGGGGGUUGUUGUCGAAUAUGAGAGAAUUGACGGAGGGGGUGAUGGCCUGGGUUCUUUGGGAUGUUGUCGAGGAGGAUGAUGGGUGGUGCCGUUGUGUUCCCUAAGGAGAAUCGACGUUUGGUGAGCAUUGUGAAGAGGAGGAUGAUUGGAGUCGAGGGAAGGAAGUCGAGCUGUCAAGUGGCUGAGAGUCUGAGAGUGAGAGUGAGAGUUGAGACGAGAGAAAUAGAGAACCUAGGGUAAAACUAAAACUAACGGUUCAGAUUAGAGAUGGUAGCUUAUUCAUCAAUCUGAUCCGUCCAUUUAAAUUACAAACGGGCCGGUCCGGGUACCCGCGGUUCCUAUACUCCAGUAACAAGCCCAAACCAAAAAUCUCAAAGGCCCACCUCGUUUCUCUUUUUUAAAAGUAGGAACUGGCAUGUACCCUCCCCGACCCGUGGUUCCUGUACCUAUUUGCCCACCCCUAGUCCAAACUCAGUGAUUUGAGUUCAUCGUGUUUUUGACCGAGUUACAAGUUUCUAGUACUUGGGUAGGCUUCUACACAACUCUUUAAGGGUCCUAGACUAGUUUUCGAGGAAUGUUGACGUGAAACAACCCAGUUUCGAGAAGUCUCACUUUUGGCUGGAUCUUUCGAGGUAUUUUCCGGCCACCUCCAUCCAUUUUUUUCGACUCCCAAAAGGUAUAUUCUUGUUCUACUCUUCAAUACCUUCAAAUCCAUAUAAAGUAGGUAAAAAAUGGUUGAGAAAUGAAGAAGUUAUGCAAGUUUUAAAAUUUCCAGAAAUUUGGCGAAAUUCAAGUUGAAGAUGGCGGCGACCGACGAGAUCACCAGAGAAGACAAAGUUGAUGAAAUAUUAUGACGGCGUCAGGUUACGCCGUUAAUUCUAUUAGUUAAAGUUAAAGGAAUAUUCCUGACGAAUGUCAGGGUUAUGGCAGCGAGUGGUGGUGUGUUUGGCUGUGCCUUGGCCGGUGCAUGAGGACGUGUGUGGUGUCCGAAAUUCAUUCUAAAUAUUUGUGUUGGUCCGUGACGUCGAGUAUAUCGAUUUCGUAUAUUCAAACCCUAUGUUUGAGGAAUAUGAGAGAGAGAGAGAGAGAGAGAGAGAGAGAGAGAGAGAGAGAGAGAGAGAGAGAGAGAGAGAGAGAGAGAGAGAGUAAAAGAAAUAUCUUAGGGACCCAAAUUUUACAGUCUGCCUAUCAGCCAAAACAUCGACAUUGAAGUUGUCAAAAACAGGUGGAACAUAAUCUUGUCAAUAAAAAGGAAAACGAAAAUGAACCCAGAGAAAGAUUAUUUAUAACUGUUCAUAAAAUAGGAAAAUAAUGGCAUAAAUAGAAGGAAAAAAAAAACAAAAAUGUAACAGUGUUGAAGGUAAGAAAAUAUAUACAGUGGGAUUUCAAAGAACCCUAAAAUCCGAGCUAAACCCCAGAUCUGCUAUCUUAGCCUAUGAAUUUCAAACAAAGUAAAAUCAAAAUAAAGGGGGUAAAUUCAAUUAGGUCAAUCUUCCAAUUAUCCAAUUCAAUCUUUCAAUCUCCAAACAAAAAACGUGGAAAUAAACAAAAAUAGAUGUUGAGAGAAGGACAUUUACCCUUUUGUUUGUGAAGAAGAGUGUUCAAAUAAGAUGAGAGGGAGAAAUCAACCCUUUUGGCGGUGAAGAAGAGUGUUCGAAUGAGAUGAGAGGAAAUAUCAAGAAGUUGAGAAAGUUCGAGAGAAGAAAGUGAGAUUCAAGAGAGAUUGCUCACAGAUGGGGUGCGGUCCUGGAUGGUUCGAGAAAUGAGAGUGUUUGAGAAGUCGCUGAGAACCCUAUCUCAAAAUGGACGGAUGCGAUUAAAUCUAACUAAUCCAACUGUCUAGAUUAAUCCUACCAUUUAAAUAUAUAUAGGUUUCAGUUCGGUUUGGGAUUACUGAACUUUUGAAAUGGUGAGACCGAUUCCUGUAAAUGGUUCGGGGAAGUGGUACCGAAACUUUUGGAAUUUUCGGUUCGAGAUCGAGAUUUUUUGAGUACGGUUUUGGGAUUUCGGAACUUUUUUUCCAGCCCCAUAAGUGAUCAUCCGCUGAACGUCGUUCAAAGCAUUAGAAAAAGGGUGAGGUCUCGAGGAAGUAAAUAGGUGCUGAAAAUACUCCUCAAAUUUAGAGGAUGUUUAGGUUAGAAAAAUGGUGGAAGACUUAAGGUGACAUUGCAAACAUUAAAGCGGUGACGAGAAGAUGUGCCAUUAUGUGAAAUCUAUAUAUUUAAACAUUCUUUUUGUGUUAGUGAAAUCACAAACAUGUCCAUCGGCAUAUUAGUUUAUGUCAUUACUUAAAACUUGUAACUUCACAUGUCCAAUUUUCAAAAUAUUAGGUAGAUAUUUGAAUUUUUUUUAAAAGGUUGGUACCAAUAUGAAAUCGCCUUGAAAGAUUGGGUUCGUACUUAACCGUGGAUGUGGGUCAGGAAAACAGGAAAAAAAAAAAAAAAAACCCUAGCCGAAUACUGAAUCCAAAAAAAUAAAAAAAUAAAAAAAAUAAAACCAAACUGAACCGAAUUAAAUAUACAUUAAUAUUUGUUUAUGUUGGGAAUUCAUUUUCCAAACCUAAUUCCAAGUCAAUCAUUAGUCUAAUUUCAAUCCAAGCCUAUCCUAUAUUUGAUAUUUCAAUCCAAGCCUAGUUCUCAGAUCUCAAAAUUUUAUUGUUUCAUUUUUUUGUCCAAUUUUAUUUUAGGUUUAAAAAACAAAAACAAAAAAAAAAUUGAAAAAACCAUAACCGAACCAAAAUAAUUAUAUUUUGAGAAAUUUUAUUGAACCCAUAUAACAUAUCUCUACACCUAGCUUACUCUUUACACCCAUAUUAUUUUUUUAUCAAAGUAUUAAUCUCUCUUUAAACCCAAUUUACUACCAAUACUACCUCACAAACUCAAUUCAAUAUGCAAAUUUAUACAUCCAUGUUUUCACAUUAGAAGCUAACUGGACCAGUCUCAUGAAGAUCCGUGUUAAUUAAAUCCAUUAAUCUAAUUAAACACAGUUACCAUGAGACUAUGAGAGUCAAACCAAAUUAUUCAAACCCUAGUUAUUUUAACAAAUGCAUGCAUAUUUUGCAAGCCGACUUGCAUACUGGGAAUAACAAUUAGCAAGCAUGCACCGAAGUUAGAAACUGAGAAAUGAAAACUCUUUCAGAAUAUAUAAAAUAAAAUAAUAAUAAGAUCACAUGACUAAUUAUAAACACUCAACAGUGCACAAACAAAAUGAAACGAAGUGCAAUGAUUAUCAUGUUCUCACAUGUUUGUAGUGCAUCUACAUAGCAAGACUACUAAUUAAACAUGAGUAACAUUUGAACGUAUUAAUUAAAAAAUUAAAAGAACUUUAUUGCUUAAUUAAAAUGGAUAGUUAAAAUUGAAGAAAAACACUUGAUUUAGAACUAGGUGUUAUCUUGAUCAGCUGCUGCUUGUUGUUUUGGCAGCAAUAGUAGCAUAAGUAAAAGUAGGUUUCCUACAGGUGAUGAGUAGUGGUGGAGAUGGUGAUGAUGGUGGUGGGGUUGGUGGAUGGUGGUGGUGGUAGUGAUGAUGAUGCUGAUAAAGGUCUAGGAAAGCGUCUUAGGAUUUUUGCCAGGAAAGAAUGCAAGAGAAAGAUUACGUGAUGGUUAGGGUUUGAUUAUUGGGUGGGAUUAUUGAUAAAUUUUAUUUUUAUUGUUAAUUUCAUCUUAUACUUAAUGAUAAUUAUGCAAUAGGAUAGUAAAGAUAUUUCAUAUUUAAAUUAUAAGUUAGGCGUAGAAAGAAGUUAUAUGAGUUUAAAUAAAAUUUUCCACAUUUUAUGUGAUAGCCCGUCCCGAAUGUGUAUAUUAUUUUAUCCUCGAUAGCAUGAAAUGACCAUUUUGCCCUUGAGCGUUGGAUUGUGUUUUGUAUUAGUGGGCUAAGGAAAGUGACCAAUUAAUUUCUUUCCUAGCUAAUUGGACCCAAUUAGAACUUAGGAUUUUGUUUGUUUUUGGUUGGUGACUCAACUAGGACCACACACACCCAUACACAAACUCCCGUUGACUCUCUCUCUCUCCUCCCUCUCAUACCUCUUUCCAUUUCCGUACAAUUGUACGGACAUAUUUCAAACCAACCUUUGCAGGCACAGAUUGAGACUAUGAAGGGGGGUUUUCAUGUUCCUUGCAAGCCCAGGAGUCGAUUCAUACCCUUAUUUGGUCGUGAGAGCUUGUAGAACUUGAAUUUCCCGAACUUCGGUGAGGGGUGAUUUUCCUCCAAUGUGAUCGCGAAGGUUUUAAGUGGUUUUAGACCUAAGAAGGUAUUAUUCUUGCUUUUCUAGCACGGUGGAUCGAUUUUGGAGUAGUUUUGACGUUAGAACACUUAGGUUUAUCAAGUUGUAGGUUUGAACAUUCGGUCGAAGGAUUUUCCGACCACUUUUCAUUGGUUUUAGGUCUCCAAAGUGGUAAGAAUGUGUUCUACUCAUUGUAAGCUUCAUUUUGGUGAAAAUUUCAUUGAAUUUGGUUGAGAAAUGGAAGAGAUAUGAAGCUUUAAAGUUUUUCCAGUUUUUGGCGACACAGACGGCGACGGCGACGGAAUCCGAUGCCUCGCCGGAGAAGAAGGCGAAUAUUCCAUCAACUUUGAUGGGAUAUUCUAACAGCGUCAGGUAUCUUUAACGACAUAUACUUUUAUUUAACGGAAUAUUCCCUAACGCUGUUAAGGAAUCCGUCAAUGUGCCAGGCAUGUGCUUGCACGUGGUACGUCGGAAAAAUUUUCUAAAAAUAUGGGGAUGUUUGUGGGGUUGAGUAGAUCACGUUGGUAUAUUCAAACACCCCAAUUGAGCAGUGUAUGAGAAGUUAUUACCUAGUUUUGGUUAUGUGCUUUAAAUAACGUUUAUAUAGUUGUUUCGCAUAUAAGUGAGACCUAUCCUGAGGACGAGCGUAGUCAAGCUAGGCUCGGGGGUUACGACCCUUCCACAUAUCAGUGAGUGGGCUUUUGGUUUUCAGUAUAUAUUUAUAUACUUGGUAUUUUUCCCAGAAAAUGUGUUUAAAUGAAAUUAUAUUUUGAAAUGCCAUGCUUAUUGAUUUAUACUUAGACUAUGAAAUUGUAUGGUAUAUACAUAUGUGAUUUGACGCGGUGGAUGCUCAGGUAAGUAUCAGGUGAGUUGUAGAUUGUUAUCGUGAAUUGAUGAUCCUGAGAGAUGUGUUGAGAGCUCAUAAACCUGCACCCCGGUGUUAGUGCUCCCGCCCGUGGUUAGGGCACAGUCCUUCACGUGAUGUUCACCUCCCGCACCAUACACUCACCUUGGAUCCAAGUUAGGUGCAUAGUCCUGUCGUACAAACCACUAUAGGUGGUUCCGACUUGUAAGUGGCCCGCGAUUAUUCGCAUAGUCUUCACGUGAUCGUAGCAUUAGAGCGUGUUUAUUUACACCCAGUCAUGUCAUAUAGACCACAUUAGGUGAUUCUGACUCAUGUGCAGGCAUACUUGUUGAGCUAUAGAUUCAGCCGUACAUGCCAUUUUAGGUGGAUCCGGCUGAUAUGUUAUAUUUCAUGAUAUUAUUUCACCUGAGUUACUUAUUUUGUUACUUUGAGAUAUAUGUCAUGGUAUACUAUGAUUUUCACUAUUUUGAGCAUAGUUUUGAGAUAGGUCUAUAUAUUCUAUUUUCUGGGAAUUUAUACAAGUUUUACGGCGAAAGGUUAGAACUUUUGAUAAAUGAAUUGGUUUUGAAAAGAUUUGUUUUUGCUCUCUCACACUUUCUGUUUUGCACCCUUCUAGGUUUUAGGUAGGAGUGCUUGUUGGUGACUCACGAGGAAUUCACGGCAACUCUGAUAGAUUAUCACUAGUGUUGGACCAUCUUUGGUACUAUAUAAUUAGUAUUCAUCUCGCUGGACUGCGUUUAGGCUACUUAUGCUCUGGUUAUGUGUGGUCACACUUAUUCUCGUCUUGCACCUUACCUUAUCUAGUGCUCUAGUUGGUUUGAUUUUAUUUAUUUGCAUUUCUGUAUAUCAUUAUUGCUUCUGCACUGUGCACAUGGCGACGUUACCUUCACGUGACGGUCAACAUGCCUUAAUCUAGGUCGGGGUGUGUCAUUUUCCCUUUACAAAUUGCAGAAAUCAAACCGAACUAAAUAACAAUUUUGGUUUAACUUAUAAUUUUAAUUAAAACAUUACGUGAAAAAAAAGUUAAAAAAAGGAAACAAAGAAGAAGAAAUGAAAACGAAAUAAAGUAAAAUUAAAGAGAAAAAUGAAAACAAAAGUGAACUUUUUUGAAAGUGGCAUGAGAGGAUCAUUGAUACAACCUGCUCUAUUGAUUGAUUCCCAUACAUGUUAUCACAAAAACUGCAUAUGCCUUUCCCUAUGCAUGCCAUGCUAAAAGGUUAUAACAUAUGAGACAUCCAACUAGGGAAAGCAUGCUACGCAGAUAUCUACCUGGAAUAUACUAUGUGCAAUCAAGAAAUCAUGCCAAGCUAAACAAUGUAAAUCAUUAAUCCUAUUCGAGUAUACACAAUGAUAGCGAUUUUACCACUUGUAAAACAAAGGGUUAAACCAUAGAAAAUUCUUGCAAGAGAACAAGUGCUUGUAGUAUAGAAUGGCUCAACCAAGGUCGAUCUCCUCAGGGACUGAUAUAAACAAUUUACAAGUUUUUGUGUAUUUAACUUAUUUAACUCUAAGAAUUACACUAAUUUGACGAAACUAAAUAUUACUAGAUGUGACUUAAACAAAUAUCUAAAAUGGGAAUUGGUUUAUAAGGAUAAUGAUUCAACUUAAACAAAACAAGUAAAUAAGGAAAUUUAAGAUAAAAUAAAUGAUUGAAGAAAAAUAGAUUGACAAUAUGCUAGAGUUCAACCUUUACCAACAACACUCCUACGUAGCUAUUCCAAUUGCUUAAAUAAUUGAAAACACACAUGCUUUGAAGGUUGGAUUUUCCUUGUGUAUGUUUUACUUGUGACAUUCAAGCUAAAACGCAUACCACUACAUGCAACUUAUCCAUGACAUUUGGAUUAAAUAUAAACAUGAGAGAUUCAUUAAUCUUGGUUAAAAUCCUUUUGUUAAACCAUGUAAUCCCUAAGAGCAUGAUAUUUACCUUAGGAGAGUACAAUCCUCAAUCACAAGAAGCACAACCAAUUUUAACGUGACAUUUGUUCAAAAUUGCAUCUGAUAACUUUUCUAAGCAUUCUAAUGGUGAUCAAUCAUCAAGACACAUAGAUAGUUUAAUUUAGAGAUUGAAAAUAUCAAAGCAAGCUGUAACAACACUUAAGCAAUUGAAAAAUAAAUCUACGUAUUCAUGUUGCGGCUCAUGGCCUCACUCUAGCAUAAUAAAUUAGUUACACAUAAUUAUGUUGAUACAUAAGAAAUUAUUCAUAAAAGAAAAUAAAUAACUAAGAAAGAAGACACCCGUUUCUUUUCUCCCGUCGCAAGUCUAUGUGAAAUUUUCCGUGUGCACUGCCUUCUCCUGCUCCUCCCUCUGUUUUCGUGCUCUGCCUGCACUCCUGCUUUUGCUCCCUCUGUUUCCGCACCUCUCCUCUAUUCCGUUUUCCGUGCGCCCGUCUCUCUCUCCCACUGCUUUCUUUCUCUUAUAUUUUCUUUCUGCCCGUGUCUCUCAUCUCUCUAUUUCUUUUCCUUCUGCCUUUCUUUUCUAUUCUUUUCUUUUCAGUCCGUGUCCACUGCUUCUUAUUCUUUUAUUUUCUUUUCAAUCCUGCGCACUCCACGUCAGUCUUUCCACUCUCUUUUAUUCUUUCCGCCCUGCCUCAGUGCUCUCUCUCCACUCUUCUUGCGCUGUCAGUGUCUCCCACUCCUCUCUUAUUAUUUCUGUUUGUCAGUGUGCACUCCACUCUUAUUAUUCUUUUCUUUUCUUUUUGCCGUCCGUGCUCUCCUUCCCUCUGCUUUUCUGCUCUGUCUGCUUUCCACAUCCUGCUGCCUUUGUUUAUUCCUCUGUCAGUCCGUGUCUCUCCCCUCCCUUUUAUUUUCUUUUCAGUUCAUUUUGCUUGAAAUUGAUCCUAAAACAAAAUUAAUUGUACAUUAACACAAAGUAAGGUAAAAUGCCACAAUUUAACACAAAAACAUCACAAAGACUUUAGAAAUGGAUGGUAUAAAUGCAUGAAAUAUAUGAGUGAUCAAAUACCCCCAAACUUACAUUUUUGCUAGUCCUCUAGCAAAACAAAACACAAAACAAAACCACUUAACUAAGACUAGAUUCAACAACUUAGUAGGCAACUUCUCAAAUUCGAUUUCAGAGAUAAGUGCUAAUCAUGAAACAAACAACCAAGAAUUAAUCAAGAGCUCAAAACAUCAUCCAAUAAUUAACCAAAUUUCCUUCAAAUAAAACGUUGAAAAGCCAUGUGUGAGCUAGCCAUGUCAAUGCAAUUCCAAACUCCUUUAAAUCAUCAUAUGCAAACAUGUGAGCUUCUCACAAGACAUACACUCAUUCACUCAUAAGUUUUGGUUAAUGUGUUUCACUCAAGUGAUCUCAUUGUACAUGCCGCCAUAUGCUUGCUUGUCCACCUAACUCGCUAUCAAUAUUUAAGUAAUACCUUGGAUCAAUAGGAUUUUAUUACGGUUGUAAUGGGGCUAAAGGUGAUAGGCUAAUGAAAGAAGGGAUAUGGAAAUCAAAAAUUUUGAGAAAGUACUCUUUAGUAGUUUUCCAACACCUCAAUAUCACACCACCUCUAAUUGAAAGCAAAAUAAUAAAACUUCGAGCACCUGUUACUCCCCAAAUUUAACUUCAAAAGGAAAUUUAUACUUUGCAGACAUAUUUUCAACAAAUCAACACUCUCCACUUUUCAUAUAUUUCGUUUUUUUUUUUUUUUUUUAUGAACGAAACAAAUCUGCAAAAGCUUGAUCAAAUUCACAUUUCAUUGUAAUACACAUGCUCCAUCCAUCUUUCUACAUAAAUGAAACCCCCAAGAGCACAACCCAUGUAAUACUUUCUCAAAACAAUAAGGAAUCGAUUCCUGUGUAUGGGCUCAACUCCAAUAUUGGAGCAAGGUAAAUAGAUGUGGCUAACAAAGAAAUGGCUUAGUUAAAGGCUCAAUGGGCUACUACGGAUAAACAUAGCAUAUAAGGUAGGCAUGAAAGGCUCAAACGAUCCAAAGAUGGCCUAUAUCACUUCUAAGUUAUUACAUGAAUUGAUUAAUGAAUCGAGUAGUAUAAAGCAAGUUCUAGAGAUACAUGUACAAUGAGAUCAUACGCACAAGAAGGAAUGAGAUUGAUGCAUAAUGGUUCAAUCAUGUAUAGGCUCAAAAACUCACAAGGUUUACAUAAUCUCACAUGAUUCACAUAUGAAACGCUAAAUCAUGCUCAAGUUUCACAUUGACAAGACUAGACACAUUUAUUUUUCAAGUUGAUUUUUGGAAAUCACAGCUAACACAAAGACAACGAAGAACUUAGACUUCUUGAAAGUAAGAAGGAAAUUAAAUCAAAUCUCAUCAUUGAAUUGAGAAGUAGCUACAAACAACAAUAAAAAUGCAAAAACUUUUUUUGUUUUUUGUUUUUUUUAAUUUAAUAAAUAAACUAACGAAAUAUAUUUCCACCCCCAAACUUAAUUAUAGCAUUGUUCCCAAUGAUAAUGAAAGGAAUUUUUGAACAAUAAGACAUAAAAAUGAAGGGAAAGAAAUAUAAAAUGAAAUAAAGACACAAAAAGAAAAGGAAAGAACACACCAAUUUGUGUAGGCGAGGAGAGCAAAUGUGUGAGUCAUUCUUCUCUGCUUGUUUCUUUUGCACUUCACGUGCAUUCUACUUUACCAGAAAUCGUCGACAGAUUGCCCGUGAUUUCCGCAAAGCUGAGUGUGCAUGUGAGAGAUGCUGACACGUCUGGAAAAGCAGAUGCUUCUCCGAUUUCUGAGCUUGCCUCUUCGAAAUCUGAGCUCCGUCGAGUGCAGAGGUUGCAUGUGACGAGUGCGGACAAAUCUGGAACAAAGGAUGGCCCGUGGUUUCUGAGCAAGCCCAACUUUUGAGAAAGCGAACGCCUCUUCGAUAUCUGGAAUUGCCUCUUCGAUCUUUGAAAUUCCAUCGCGUGCUGAUUUUUAUAGAGGUAUGCAGGACGUUCAAAGCACACUUGAAUUUCUGCCUGUAAAAACUCCCUCUUUGCAUUUCUACGAUCUUGACUUGUCCGACCUCUGCUUUCCUUAACACCUCUGAAAAAUGGCUGGCCCUUCCGACCGUCGUUUUGACUUGAACCUUGGUGAAGAGGCAGCCCCUCCUUCUCCAGACAACAUAUGGCGCCCAUCCUUCAUAUCCCCUACUGGCCCCCUUACCGUUGGGGAUUCGGUGAUGAAGAAUGAUAUGACAGCUGCGGUGGUGGCUCGGAACCUUGUCACUCCUAAAGAUAACAUACUGCUUGCAAAACGGUCUGAUGAAUUGGCUGUUAAGGAGUCUCUGGCUCUUAGUGUGCAGUGUGCAGGUUCCGUGUCCAAUAUGGCCCAACGCCUAUUUGCCCGAACCCGUCAAGUUGAAUCAUUGGCGGCUGAAGUGAUGAGUCUCAAGCAGGAGAUUAGAGGGCUUAAGCAUGAAAAUAAACAAUUGCAUAGGCUCGCACAUAAUUAUGCUACAAACAUGAAGAGGAAGAUUGACCAGAUGCAGGAAUCCGAUGGUCAGAUUUUACUUGAUCAUCAGCGGUUUGUGGGUUUGUUCCAACAGCAUUUGCCUUCGUCUUCUGGGGCUGUACCACGUAGUGAAGCUCCAAAUGAUCAACCUCUGAUGCCUCCUCCUUCUGGGGCUCCGCCGACUGCUGAAGCUCCGCCGACUACUGAGACUUCUCCUAAACAGCCUUUGUGAAGGCUCCCUCUUGUAUUUAUCUGCUUAAUGUUCCUUUCACUUUUAUGAAUGCAAAAUACCUUGCAAGAAGUUGUGAUAGAGAUUGCAAAAUCAUUACCUGCAUAAAGGAACAAAAGUAGGACUUAAACACACAAACCAGAAAACAAGAGAAAAACAGAACAAGAACAUUUAAAAUUAUUCAAAAUAAAGAUGAAAGAUAGAAAGCUUGGGUUGCCUCCCAAGAAGCGCUUUAGUUACUGUCUAGAGCUAGACAUUCUGUUGGCAGUUUGAUUCAAAUAACAGGUUCCUUCAAAGUGAUGGAAUCCUUAGCAAGAUCAUAUGGAGACUCCUUGUAUAACUUCAAGCGAUGUCCAUUAACUUUGAAGACAAAACCAGUUUGCAUGUUUUGGAUAUCCACAGCCCCAUGAAGAUGGACCUGUACAACACGAUAUAGACCAUUCCAACGUGAUUUGAGCUUUCAUGGGAAUAGUUUCAAUCUUGAAUUAAAAAGAAAAACCUUCUGACCCGGUUGAAACUCUUUACGAAGGAUGUGAGCAUCAUGAAAUUUCUUGGUCUUAUCCUUGUAAAUCUUUGCAUUCUCAUAAGCAUUAUUCCUUAUUUCUUCCAGUUCAUUCAACUGCAGCUUCCGCUUCUCUCCCGCUGCUUGGUAGUCAAAAUUGAGGUGCUUAAUAGCCCAAUAUGCCUUGUGCUCAAGUUCCAUAGGUAGAUGGUAAGCUUUCCCAUACACCAAACGAAAAGGAGACAUCCCAAUUGGUGUCUUAUAAGCUGUCCUAUAUGCCCACAAAGCAUCAGUAAGCUUUAAACUCCAAUCCUUUCGAGAUGAACUGACCGUUUUCUCAAGAAUCCUCUUGAGCUCCCGAUUAGAUACUUCAACUUGUCCAGAUGUCUGUGGAUGGUAUGGGGUGGUUAUGCGAUGGUGAAUAUGAUACUUGGCACAAAGGGAAGCCAUGGUGCGGUUUAAGAAAUGCGUACCUUCGUCACUGAUGAUAGCACGAGGUACUCCAAAUCGGGGAAAAAUAGUAUUCUGCAAGAAACCUAAUACCACAGAACUUUUGCAUGUUGGAGAAGCUAUUGCCUCCACCCACUUAGAGACAUAAUCAACCGCCACCAAGAUGUAGAGAUUGCCAUGUAAAGAAGGGAAAGGUCCCAUGAAAUCUAUACCCCAAACAUCAAAUAAUUCAAUCACCAAAAUACUUUGUUGGGGCAUCUCAUUUCUCUGAGAAAGAUUUCCAACUCGUUGACACUUAUCACAAGCCUGGCAGCAUAGGUAUGCAUCUUUGAAUAAAGAUGGCCAAAAGAAACCACUCUGUAAGAUCUUGGCCGCUGUCCUUCUUGGUCCAAAAUGACCACCACAUACAUAGUGGUGAGCAAACUUCAAAAUGCUUUCUUGCUCUUCUAAGGGGACACACCGACAAAUGAUUUGAUCUUGGCAAUGCUUGAAAAGGUAUGGCUCAUCCCAAAAGUAGUGUUUUACAGUGGAGAGGAACUUCUUCCUUUGUUGGUAACUGAACUCUGAUGGUAUUUCUCCAGAUGCCAAAUAAUUUUCGAUGUCAGCAUACCAUGGUACUUGAUGAGUAACCGCUAGAAGUUGCUCGUCUGGAAGCUCUCUUGCAGGGGCAAUGAAUCUGCCUCAUCAGUGUUUGCAUUUACUAAUCUUGAGAGAUGAUCCGCCACAACAUUCUCACGUCCCUUUUUAUCUAGGAUCUCUAAAUCAAACUCUUGCAAGAGAAGGACCCAUCGAAUCAAUCGUGGUUUGGCCUCUUUUUUAGACAAUAAUUACUUGAGAGCAAAAUGAUCAGAAUACACAAUGACUUUUGCACCAAUUAAGUACGAUCGAAACUUUUCAAGAGCAAAUACCACUGCAAGUAAUUCUUUUUCCGUCGUGGCAUAAUUCAGCUGAGCAUCAUUCAAAGUGCGGCUGGCAUAAUAUAUAACAUAGGGGAGGUUGUCACGUCGCUGACCAAGAACAGCACCCACAGCGUAAUCAGAAGCAUCGCACAUGAGCUCAAAAGGAAGGGUCCAAUCUGGAGCUGUUAUAAUUGGGGCUGAUGUGAGAAGAUCUUUCAAUUUGUUGAAAGCAUCAUGACAAUCUGCAUUAAAAUCAAAACAAACAUCUUUAGCAAGUAAAUUACAAAGAGGACGACUAAUUUUGGAAAAAUCCUUGAUGAAUCUUCGAUAAAAACCAGCAUGUCCCAAGAAAGAUCUCAUAUUCUUGACAGAAGUUGGUGGUGGUAAUUUGGCGAUCACCUCAAUCUUUGCCUUGUCGACCUCUAUUCCCUUGCUUGAAAUUAGAUGUCCUAGCACAAUGCCAUGCUUAACCAUAAAAUGGCAUUUCUCCUAAUUUAAUACAAGAUUAGUCUCCCUGCAUCUUUCCAAAACCAAAGACAAGUUAUCCAAACAUAUAUCGAAAGAAUUACCAAAAACAGAAAAGUCAUCCAUAAAAACCUCAACAAUAUUUUCAACCAUUCCAGAAAAAAUACUCAUCAUGCAUCGUUGGAAAGUGGCAGGGGCAUUGCACAAUCCAAAUGGCAUUCGUCUGUAUGCAAAUGUACCAAAAGGGCAUGUAAACGUUGUCUUCUCUUGAUCCUCAGGGGCAAUUGGAAUUUGGUUGUACCCUGAAUAACCAUCUAAGAAACAAUAGAAAGAAUGACCAGCUAGUCUCUCGAGCAUCUGAUCAAUGAAUGGCAGCGGAAAAUGAUCUUUUCUAGUGCUGUUAUUGGGCUUUCUAUAGUCAACACACAUUCGCCAUCCGGUGGUCAUCCUUGUAGGCACAAGCUCGUUGUUAUCAUUCUUCACCACAGUAAUACCAGUUUUCUUUGGAACCACCUGAGUCGGGCUCACCCAUUUGCUAUCUGAGAUUGGAUAAAUGAUACCUGCAUCGAGUAACUUCAUCACUUCAACUCUUACAACUUCCUUCAUGAUCGGAUUUAGACGUCUUUGAGCUUCAACAGUUGGUUUAGUCCCAGCUUCUAUAAAAAUUCUAUGCAUGUACAAAGCUGGACUAAUGCCUUUUAUGUCAGCAAGUGUCCACCCCAGAGCAUCUUGAUACUUGCGAAGAACUCUUAGUAAUUUGUCUUCCUCCGUGUCAUUAAGAUCAGCAGCAAUAAUAACAGGCAAGGUCUCAUUCACCCCGAGAUGAGCAUACUUGAGGUGGCUCGGUAGUAGCUUGAGCUCUAACUUCGGAGCUUGCUCAUUUGAAGGAAGAAUGGGCUGCUUAGGCACUCCAAGGCUUUCAUAAACAUGUCGCCACUUUGGAUUAUGAAUUGGUGCACUAUCCAAUGCAGCGAUGACGUCCACCACAUUUUCUUCCAUAGAUAAAGUAGCAUCAUGGUUGGUGAGGCAAGUUAACAGCUCAUCAUUAGAAGAUCGUGAGGCAAAGUUUGCAUGCACAAUCCCAUCCAAAACAUUAACACGAAAACACUCUUUAGGUUCGAAAUGACACUUGACCGCUUCAAAGAGUUUGAAUACAACUGAUUCUUCUUGCACUCUUAAGGUUAAAGUACCUGCUUCCACGUUAAUAAGUGUCCGGGCGGUGGCCAUGAACGGUCGGCCUAAAAUGAGAGGAACUUCCUUGUCUUCCUCCAUGUCAAGUACAAUGAAAUCAGUUGGGAGAUAGAAUUUAUCCACUUUAAUAAUCACAUCUUCCAGAAUACCCAAAGGAUAUGUCACAGACCUAUCUGCCAAUUGAAGACUCACAGAUGUGGGCUUGAGUUCUCCUUCACCUAAUUUUUGAAAAAACAGAAUAAGGCAUAAGGUUAACACUUGCUCCUAAAUCAAUCAAUACUUUAUGAAAAUCAAGACUACCAAUAGUACAAGAGAUAGUGAAACUCCCCGGAUCUUUCUUCUUGGGUGGUAGCUUAUGUAAGAGGACAACACUGCAUUGCUCAGAUAAAAUCACCUUCCUGUAUUCCAAGAACUUUUUCUUUUUAGAACAUAGCUCUUUCAGAAAUUGGGCAUAUGAUGGGAUUUGUUUAAUAGCAUCUAAUAGAGGCAAAUUAAUUUGAACCUUAGCCAACGUCUUCAUGAAUUCAAUGCAUUGUUGAUCCUUGGAACGUUGUUGCUGCCUUUGUGGAAAUGGCAAAGGUGGCUUGUAUGGUGGCUUGUCAGAAGGUGCAAAUAAACUACCAAGGCCUUUUUCCUUGUUUGCAUUAAAGUUGGGUCGAGAUUGCACUUUGUCACUUGCACUAGGAUCUGGAAUACCUGCUUCAGAAAUAGCCUCUGACCGAGACUUUGCAGCUAAUGGUGCACUUUCAGUAAGCUCUUCUUCUUCCACUUCGGCUUCAUGGUGCACCACUUUUCUGUUGUCAUAGCUCUUGCCACUUUUCAAUGUCCGUAUUACUUUGCAAUGCUCCAUCCCUCUUGGAUUUUGCUCAGAUUGGCUCGGGAACUUUCCUUUCUCUCUUUCAUUGAACAUGGUAGCAAGCUGUCCAACUUGAGUCUCCAAAUUCCCCACUGAUGCCGUGAGAUUCUGAAUGCUAGUUUGUGUGGAUUGGACAAAAUUGUUGGUGGUAUUAGAGAGAGCAGACAUAUGUUGAGCUAGCUGUGACAUUUGUUCUUCAAGAUAUGGUUUCUUAGUCUCACUACUUGAUUGGUAAGACUGUUGGUAUUGACGUGGCUGUUGGUUGCCGCCCCAACUGAGAUUGGGAUGGUUCUUCCACCCAGGAUUAUAUGUAUUGGAAUAAGGGUCACUUCUGGGUCUAAUGAAAUUAUUCACCAUAUUCACAUGAUCUUGCACAAGCUCAGGGUAGCUAUCCUUGUUGGGGCAUUGAGUGAUGUCAUGAGUUGUCGCACUACAAAUGAUGCACGCUUUUUGGGCAUUGGGCAUGGAAGAGACCUGCAUUAAGGCAACAAAUUUGGCAUUAAAAUUCUUUUCCAUUUUAGCAAUUUGAGCAGAAACAUUAGAAGAACUCUGAGAAAUCUCAAAAACUCCCCUCUUUUGUGUUUGUUCUUCUGUCCAUUGUUGGGAUUCAGAAGCCAUCAUAUCAAAUAACUCAAAUGCUUCCCUUGCUGAUUUUGACAUUUGACAUUAAUGACCCUCCAGCAGAUGCAUUCACGUGACUCUUGGUGGUGGCAUUGAGACCAUCAUAAAAUAUGUUCAUUUGAAGGUUAAAAUCAAACCCAGCAUAAGGACAUUUUGUGUACAUCUCAUUAUACCGUUCCCAAGCUUCAUGGAAAGACUCGUUUGGUUUUUGAGCGAAAGCCAAUAUCUCUUUCUUGAGUGCAAGAGUCUUGGAAGAAGGAAAAAACUUAUUGAGAAAUUUUUCUUGCAAUUCUGUCCAUGUUGUAAUGCUAUUGGCGGGCAGAGAAUGCAGCCACGCCUUGGCUUUGUCCUUCAAAGAGAACGGGAACAAACGUAACUUGAUAGCUUCAGAAGAGAAACCUCUGAUUAUGGUGUUGUCACAUGCCUCAAUAAAAUCAGCCAAAUGCAUGUUGGGAUCACUGUUUGGCAACCCAUGAAAAGAUGGCAAUAUGUUGAGGAUGUGAGGUUUGAUUUCAAAGGAUGUCCCAUCUUCCACAUCUGGAUAUAUAAUGCACCUUGGCACUGCAUUGAUUCUCGCCGCCAAUGAAUUCCUUAAAGGUUGACCUGCUGCAGGUAAGGCUAGGGCCAUGUGUGCAACUGGUGCCAAAGGUUGGAAAAUAGAUGUGCUGCUCUCAGGAUCACGGAACAAAUCCUUAAGAAAAGUAUCACCAAGGUUGGAAUCUUGUGCUAAAUAUUUUUCCCUAGCUAACUUCCUUGCACUUCUCUCUGGUUCAGGGUCGUAAGGAAUAAGCACUUGAUUCUUGGAUCUUGUUCCAAUCACCAUAUACUACACCUGAACAAACAACAGAAAUAUUAAGCCAAAAAUAAAAAAUAAAAAAAUAAAAAAAAUAAAAGUAAAAUAAAAUAAAACUUAACAGAAACUAAUUAAACAACAAAAAAGAAAAGAAAGUAAGUAAACCUAGAUGAAUUAAAAAAAACACCUGCUGCAGGUAAGGCUAGGGCCAUGUGUGCAAUUGGUGCCAAAGGUUGGAAAAUAGAUGUGCUGCUCUCAGGAUCACGGAACAAAUCCUUAAGAAAAGUAUCACCAAGGUUGGAAUCUUGUGCUAAAUAUUUUUCUCUAGCUAACUUCCUUGCACUUCUCUCUGGUUCAGGGUCGUAAGGAAUAAGCACUUGAUUCUUGGAUCUUGUUCCAAUCACCAUAUACUACACCUGAACAAACAACAGAAAUAUUAAGCCAAAAAUAAAAAAUAAAAAAUAAAAAUAAAAAUAAAAGUAAAAUAAAAUAAAACUUAACAGAAACUAAUUAAACAACAAAAAAGAAAAGAAAGUAAGUAAACCUAGAUGAAUUAAAAAAAACACAAUUUAUGCAAAUUGGCAACCACUAGUUAGUUAAACAAAGACAAAAAUCUCACACCACACAUCCACUGCACUUAAUCAAAGAUCAAAACUCAACUAAAUCAAUUGCUGUUUUUUUUAAUUAAUUUAAUAAUACGUGAUUUAGAACAGAAAUUUGUGAAAUGGAUACAUAAACAGAUUUCUAACGCAAAUAUACAGCAUUAUUACGGUACCAAAGUUAAAUUCACCAUUAAUGGGCUUAAUCAAAGAGGAUUCUUUCAACUUUUUUAUUUUUUAUUUUUUAUUUUUUUUAUUUAAUGAUUAAUAAAAAUAAGACAUAAACAUAAGCAUAAGAAAAAUAAACACAAAAGCUCGGGAACUGUUGGCACAGUCCCCGGCAACGGCGCCAAUUUCUUGAUAGCGAUUUUACCACUUGUAAAACAAAGGGUUAAACCAUAGAAAAUUCUUGCAAGAGAACAAGUGUUUGUAGUAUAGAAUGGCUCAAGCAAGGUUGAUCUCCUCAGGGACUGAUAUAAACAAUUUACGAGUUUUUGUGUAUUUAACUUAUUUAACUCUAAGAAUUACACUAAUUUGACGAAACUAAAUAUUACUAGAUGUGACUUAAACAAAUAUCUAAAAUGGGAAUUGGUUUAUAAGGAUAAUGAUUCAACUUAAACAAAACAAGUAAAUAAGGAAAUUUAAGAUAAAAUAAAUGAUUGAAGAAAAAUAGAUUGACAAUAUGCUAGAGUUCAACCUUUACCAACAACACUCCUACGUAGCUAUUCCAAUUGCUUAAAUAAUUGAAAACACACAUGCUUUGAAGGUUGGAUUUUCCUUGUGUAUGUUUUACUUGUGACAUUCAAGCUAAAAUGCAUACCACUACAUGCAACUUAUCCAUGACAUUUGGAUUAAAUAUAAACAUGAGAGAUUCAUUAAUCUUGGUGAAAAUCCUUUUGUUAAACCAUGUAAUCCCUAAGAGCAUGAUAUUUACCUUAGGAGAGUACAAUCCUCAAUCACAAGAAGCACAACCAAUUUUAACGUGACAUUCGUUCAAAAUUGCAUCCGAUAACUUUUCUAAGCAUCCUAAUGGUGAUCAAUCAUCAAGACACAUAGAUAGUUUAAUUUAGAGAUUGAAAAUAUCAAAGCAAGCAUGUAACAACACUUAAGCAAUUGAAAAAUAAAUCUACGUAUUCAUGUUGUGGCUCAUGGCCUCACUCUAGCAUAAUAAAUUAGUUACACAUAGUUAUGUUGAUACAUAAGAAAUUAUUCAUAAAAGAAAAUAAAUAACUAAGAAAGAAGACACCCGUUUCUUUUCUCCCGUCGCAAGUCUAUGUGAAAUUUUCCGUGUGCACUGCCUUCUCCUGCUCCUCCCUCUGUUUUCGUGCUCUGCCUGCACUCCUGCUUUUGCUCCCUCUGUUUCCGCACCUCUCCUCUAUUCCGUUUUCCGUGCGCCCGUCUCUCUCCUACUGCUUUCUUUCUCUUAUAUUUUCUUUCUGCCCGUGUCUCUCAUCUCUCUAUUUCUUUUCCUUCUGCCUUUCUUUUCUAUUCUUUUCUUUUCAGUCCGUGUCCACUGCUUCUUAUUCUUUUAUUUUCUUUUCAAUCCUGCGCACUCCACGUCAGUCUUUCCACUCUCUUUUAUUCUUUCCGCCCUGCCUCAGUGCUCUCUCUCCACUCUUCUUGCGCUGUCAGUGUCUCCCACUCCUCUCUUAUUAUUUCUGUUUGUCAGUGUGCACUCCACUCUUAUUAUUCUUUUCUUUUCUUUUUGCCGUCCGUGCUCUCCUUCCCUCUGCUUUUCUGCUCUGUCUGCUUUCCACAUCCUGCUGCCUUUGUUUAUUCCUCUGUCAGUCCGUGUCUCUCCCCUCCUUUUUAUUUUCUUUUCAGUUCAUUUUGCUUGAAAUUGAUCCUAAAACAAAAUUAAUUGUACAUUAACACAAAGUAAGGUAAAAUGCCACAAUUUAACACAAAAACAUCACAAAGACUUUAGAAAUGGAUGGUAUAAAUGCAUGAAAUAUAUGAGUGAUCACACAACAAGCUCGUGCUACAUGAAAAGCAAAAAGAAAUCUAUAAUGGGCAAGCAUACAAAGACCUAAAAUCGAAAAUCACUAAAGGGCAUGAGUUCGAUUUCCUGAGGGAAAAUCGCACCCUCCCCUAUGAAAAGCAAAACCCUAAAAUCUCUCAGGUGCACAAGAUAGAGAAAAGGCAGAAGUAUGUUCAAAUUCACUAUCAAAACCGAUAGGAAAAAAGGAAAAUAUAGAAGAAGGGUGAAGCUUUCUUUACCUGAGAGAAUAUCUUAACGUCAAACAUAGCAGAGCACAAGCAUAAAGCACUGGGAAUCUAAAGUGCAAGGGGAGCUAAGCGAUAGAGGUAGAAGGAUGAAGCAAAGAAAUAUUGAAAAAGAAAAUUGAGUUAAAGAAGAAAAAGAAAGAGAAUGGACAAAUUAAUUACUUGUCCUAAAAGGGAUGAGUUAUCAAGGCAGUUGGUGAAGGAAUGCCUAGAAUCUCUUGGAUGAUUAGACGUGUACAAGAAACUAGGGCGCACAACUGUAGGAAGUUAUUGCUGCCACGCGUGAAGGCGAAAAGUCCCAUCAUAAAAGCUAUGUUUAAAAUAUUCAUUUGGGCCUGAUUUGAUUGCUUAGCUCAUUUAAGAUUUCUCAUAGGCCAAACAAUCAAAGGGGCUAAUGUUAAGGCCCAAAAAAUAUCAUGAGCAAGCCUAACCGAGUCUCAAAACCCAAUAGUCACGCGAAUCCCAAGCGAAGCCUAAAUACAUGCAAAGAUGCAGGAUCAAGGAAGGAAUAUAUUCACAACUGUUGUAACCAAAUCUGCGCACCUCCGUGAGGGGCAAUUGGGCAUAAAUCUAGUAAAUCUGAGCAACCUUCAAAACAAAAAAACUAUGUUAGCAAGCCAUAGGGGGUGUGUCGGCCAAAGGCUCUCCAAUGGUUAAGUUAGUGAAUAAUUUUAGACUCAAACACUGGACAAGAAAAUUCAAAGUGUACAGAUUAUGUUACCAUAGAUGAACCCUGGUGGGUGUAUUUAUAUUGUGGGAGAAACAUUUUUAGGAUAGAAUCUUCGUACUAAGCCUAGAGAAUCCUAGUGGAUAUCGAGUAAGUAGAUAUUGCACCUUUGUAAAAGUUGUGAUUACUUGCGGCGCACGUUUAUCCCUAGAUUAUGGGACUCCAAGAAUUAUAGGAUUCAAUUGUGUCCAUAUACGAAUCAGAUCGCGUGUCUUGUGAAACAAGCAUGGUCAUCUGACAGAGCCGUUAUGACUCUGCCUAGUGCCCCGGAGUAGAGUAAUGGUGGCACCCUACUCCAUCUGAUAUAACUCUGCCUGAAGCUAGUUAGUCCAUGACCAAACUUCUAAGAUAACAGUAUUCGAAUCAACCUUACUCCAGCCUUGAAAAAUCAUGGUCCUACAAUUCACCCCAACUAUCUAUAUGAAAGGCAACUUGUUCCCCUUAAGGAUGGACUGUUAACAAAGAUCAUGCAUAUCGCAGUAAGCUGGAAUACGUACCGUUUGGUCUUCAAAUUCUUUGUAAACUAUAUGACUUCUAGGUUUGAAGCGGCAUCAUCUUUAGUCCUGGAUGCGUUGCCUUGAACUCCAUGCUUAUAACCCUGUUAUAAUUAUGUAUUAAGUAUGUUGUGUGUGCAUAAAAAUGAGAAAUCUCCUUUAAUAAUAAUCGGGUCCGUUGAUCUCCAAAUGAACCAGUCUGUAUUCGACGGCAUGAUGAUUUGAAAUAUCCCUUUUAAAUACUUGUUGUACCACAACCUGCAUUGUCUCCUUAAAUCCCUAAAUUUUCCCUUUUUAUUUCAAGAACACUACAAAUUUUCAAAUUGUCAUUGCUAUCUUUUUCGUAUUCAAACAAAAUCAUUGCCACCAGUUCCUACACCCCAACUGUUGAAUCUGCGGUUCUAAAUAACCCUAAACCUCUCAUGGUUAGGAUUCAUAACAAGGGUGAAAAUAAGCUUUUCUUAUAGGUUGCAGUCAUCUCCUUAAUGGAUGUCAAGUCUAGUAGGAAGAUAUUGAUGAUAUGGCCACAAAACUUCCUUCACCUAUUGACCCUAUUCGUCCUUGUACUAGAAUCCUUCAUUGUUAUCUUGAUUUAGGGUUGAAAUUCCAUUUGUCGUCGUUGUGGAAGGAGAUUCUUCCACAUCAAAUUGGUCUUUGCAAUUUCACUCCAACCUCUGUUCGCAUUAUCUCAUACCUUGAUCGCCUGAAUAAAUGGUAUCAUACCGAGUUAGGCUUGUUUGAAUUUCACAUUCUUUAUUAACUUCGGAAGAGUGUCGAUACUCACUACUUCUUUCAACCUCGAUCCAUGCUUCAGUGGCUUGCUUACAUCAUUAAUCUUCCAUGUCAUGACAAAGACUAAUACAAAGACAUCCUUUUGGUGGAAGUGAACUCGAAGGUGGAUAUAUCUGAGCCGAGAGUUCCUUGUAAGCCCGAAAAUGACAUUCCAUACAAAAUUGAUGAUCAGAAUCCUGGUCGGUGUCGCCCUAAAUUUAUAAACAAGGCCUUCAAAAUCAUUCUUACUCCACAUUGGAGUUAGAAGUGGUUAAGCACACCGCAAAGAGAAUGGGUGCUGCUCUUGAUGGUUAUAGAGUCAGGAUCACCGUGACUAGUGGGGUGAUGCUCGAUUGUGAAUGAGAUACAAAAUGCUAGUUUACCGAUGCCUUCGUCGCUUGCAGUUAACGUGUCUAUGCUUGCCCUAUCAAAGUAAAGUGAGUCUUCUUCCAAGUCUAAAGGGUAGAUGAAUGAGAAGGGUACUACUGCCAUUGACAUUCAUCCUUCCAAUUUCCUUAUAGUGACGUAACGAAAUCUAAUGGUGUGGAGUAAUUAUCUUCUUCAUGACUUGUUAGGCCAGAAUAAAGGCAUAUCCCAUUCAUUGAACAUCAUGUUCCUGUUCGAGUUUUGAAUUUCUUUACCUUUAUUUGAGAGUAUUUUCCCCUAUUGAGCGUACAUCUCUGUUGUUUUUCUAUAGCUUGGGGUUUCCAAUAUAACUAGUUUUCCAGAGUAAGCUAACUUUGGAAUGAUGGGAAACAAGGCGAAGUACAAGUGACUUUGUGUGCCUGAGACAAAGCAUAACAUCCACCCAUAAAGAUGUUGAUCAUGAAAAGCAUCACCUUCCAAACUCAGUGCUUGUAGUUAUACCCAUCACGAUAUCCGAAGUACCACCUUACUCCGAUACCAGGUAUUAUAACCCAUAGAAAACCUUUUGCCUUGUCCCUGUUUUUUUUGCUAGAUUUGAGAGAACAAUAUUUGUUUAUUAGGAAAGUCCUCCUAUUUAUUUGUCUAUCAAAUUCCCUUUAUGGGGGUUCUUCAAAUCUUGUUCAACGUGAUGUUUGAGGAAUGUAUGUCUCUCAACUCAUGUCACAUGUCUGUCUCAAAUGAAUCUUAGACGAAAGUUCUUUGGAGACAUGGCUGCCAGAUGCUCCGGGAACAAUUUCGGGCAUCAGAAGAAGGGUUUGUCCUUUAUGAUGUGGAUGAUAUUAUUGAUUGUAGUGUUCAACGCGGUGUACUAUUUGGAUUAUGAGGAACCUAUCUGUCUCGACGUCAUCCUCUCGCAGCCUGUCGUGGAGAAGGAAGGGGAGUGUCCUUGUUCCGUCUUUCUAUUGAUCUUCAUAUAGUAGUUUGGCUUGAUGACUAUCGUUCUGCUUUUGUCAUCCCAGUUAGUCAGAUUGUCUAUGAUGUCGAAACAUCUUGUUAAGGUAGCAUCGUCAUACUUAUUCUAGAAUGUCAUGGUCGCCAGUCUGUCAUCUGGUUUUCCACUUCAGCCAAAUAGGCUCUGAGACUUUCAUCUUUGGUCCUAAUGAGCAAUCUGAGCAUAGCUUUGUGGCAUUUGCAAACAUUGCAGUACACAGAAUAAGUGUACCAAUGCACCAAUGAGUAGAAAUACAAAUAAAAAGCCCUCAUUUUUUUAAUUUAAGGUUUAGUGGAGUAUGUGUAAAUUUUAACACGACAGUUUGAGUUUUAAGCUUAUGCACAUAAUAAAGGCACACUGUUUGAUCCCAUGUCCCAAACUAAUUAUAGAUAUACUAUUUUUCUGAAAUUUACUGGUUGGUAGGAUGCAUAAUGGUUCAAUAAAACUUCCCAAAUCUCAUUACAAUAUCUAUUUUUGCCAAAGUUAGAAUUUAGAGAGAAAGAGUGUCUAGAGAAUUUUGGGAUUUUUGCCAAAAGUGUUGGAAUUAGUUUUUGGUGAAAAUGGGUGCCUAUUUAUAGGGUUAGGCUUUGCCCAAUUUUCCCAAGGUGUGGCCGGCCACUAAUGGAUUUUGGUGGUUAUAGUUUUGGCUUAAUUAGCCAAUUUAUUGGCUAAUUAAGUAUAAAAGAAAUAAUAGGAGGUUACAAAAUUGAAUAGUUGUGUAAAUAAGGUAAUAAAAUGGAAAAAAAAGUGUGAAAAGCUAGGGAAAAAGGGGGUGGCCGGUCCAUUACUAGUUUUGGGAUUGAGUGGGAUAUAUGUUGUGGUUAUUUGGAUGUUUAAUGGAUUAAUUGGGUAAUUAAUCCAUUAAUUAGCCAAUUAAUAUAAUUUUGGAGUAAAUAUUUUGGAGGUUAUGGGAUUUGAUGAGAUGAAUAUUGAAUUGUUACCUUUUUGGAGCAUUUUUUAGCUGCUCGCGCGUAGGAAUCCCGAUACGCCUCAAGGGUAGUUUGGUCCUCUUUUACUAAAAAAUCCACAUGUCGCCUUGUGAUUAUUUUUGGCUCCACAAAUGCCCCCACACCUGUUGGGCUGCUCGUAGGAAAUGGCAGUAGGUGUAGAGAUAUUCUUGCUCUAGGAAACUCAGAACUGCUUCCUAUUUUGAUGUAGAUUCCCUCUUUAAUGUGAAAUUAGAUCCUUCUAGGAAAGGGAAAUAAAUUUCUCUCAAAGCCUAUUUAAGUCCACCUUAAGUGGGUUAUUAAAUCAACUUUGGAGAGCGAUUUAUUCUAUCCUACAAGAGAGAGAUAGCUUAGAGGAUAUUUGUUCCCCCUCAUUUAGCAAUCUUCUACAUCUUGCCCGUGCAAAGGAUUGUCUUUCGUUGAUUUCUUCGUCUUCUUCGUGCCGCACCGAGGUAAGAAAAAAUUAAUUUUCCUUGUCUUCUUCUUGGAUGGUGCUACCGCGGGGCAGCUGUCGAGGUGGUGCGGCACAUCUGCUGGUAUGGGCCAGGAGUCGGCUCAGUAUGGGCCGAUGGGGUAUUGUGGCAGGGACCACUGCUUUAAGCUGCUCGACUUGGCUAGAACCAAGGGUAGCUUGUGUGGCUGGGGCCACGGAUUGUGGCAUUAGGGCGCAGUGCUAGGCGAGUCACAUGGCUCAUGUCCUUUUAGGCUUUUGAACAUGACGCGAGCUAGGCCGGUGAUUGAGAGAAAUGAAGAGGUUGCGGACCUCAUGGGCUGCUGGAAUGUUGGGUUGAACUCCCCUGUUAGGUACCACGAAUGGCGUUGGCUACUUUAACUCUUUUCGUCAGGAGAAACGUCGGCUGAUCCUAAAAGAUGAGGUGAAUAAGAUCAAGGUGGAUGCAUUGGCUCGUCUAAUCACUAUUGUGGAUCCUGCUGCAUGUGAAUGUGGGAAAAGAGAUAUUCCCUGCCUGCUCAAGAGAUGCCGGCUGAGAAAAAAAAUGAAAGACUUCUUUCGUUGCUCGCGCGGGUUCGCCGACUGCCUCCAGGCUUGUGAUUGACUUAACUUUUUCCAAGGGGAUGAAAAAUGAGGCUGCUAGAUCUGAGCAUGUGGCGCCUGCCAUGUCAAGAAUGGCUAGUACGAUUGCUGAUAGGAUUGUUCGGCAUAUAGGUUAUGUCAUGCCCCUAGUGCCAAAUUUUGUACCAAUACGUCUGUUGGGAGCUAAGUUCGGUUCACCUUCGGAGAGGCUUGCUAUUAUGAAAAGCAAUAAGGUGGACUCUGCUGCUAAAGUGGCACCAAUGCCCAUUCCUUAUGCUGCUGAAACUGAUUCGCCUGCUGGGAAUGAGGAGACUGCUCGCUAGGCAGCUGUGAGAAAUCCACUAAGCCUGCUUCUGGGGGGGCUGCUGAGAUCUAUGUGUUUUUGAAACCAGAUCUUUUGAAACAUGAACGCUUGUGCCAAGUUUGUUGAUGGCGUUAGAAAUGUUGUUUGCCCAAGCUCGUUUGCGAAGCAUACGACCCAAUAUAGAAGGACUGCUUUGCUUGUUAUGAUGCAGAUAUAGUAAGGCUGCUAAGGAGAUGACAAAUACUAUGGAAGAUUCUGAGCUCGUUGCUUUGAAGGGGUCUAAUAUUUCUGCCCCCACUUCGUUGCAGCUUGAGACCGCUAGCCAAGAGAUUGUUGACUUGAAGACUAGGCUUGACGCGAUCCAAGUUAAGCAUGAAAAUACAGAAAAGGAGAUUGAAUGUUACAAUACCUCAGAUUCAAGAUUUAGAGUUUGUAGUUUCUAAGCUUCGUUUCGCUGCUUAUGCAAAGGAUGAAAAGUUGAUUGCUGCUUAUACUAAGAAGGGAGUGGAUGAGCUGCAGCGCGUCCGUGUUAGUCGGUUUGAGAAGAAAUGAGCAGCUGAAGAGUGAGAAGGAUGGGCUUGAGGUUUUAAGACCUUCUCUAUUUCUCCGGAAAACUUGCUUGCUUUUACUUUUGAGGCUUUCAUUGGUGAAGUAGUUGGAAAAGUUAGUGCCCAAGCUGGGGCAACCGAGGGUGAAGCGCCGGAUGAUACCGCUACUAAGAGCGUCGCGGCUGCUCAAGGUGUGUUGACCGAGUAGUCGUGGGAUAUCUAAGCUGCUAUAGUUUUCUAGGUAGCCUUUAGGAUUUUAUUUGUUUUUUCUUAUAGCUCUUGUUUUGCUUGAACUCCUUCGACCUUUGCUAGUUGUUUAUAAACAUGUUUUCCUUCGCUUUUCUUCAUCUUCGCUUCAUUUGUUCAUGCCCUAACCUUUAGACUUGAUAGACCAGUGGCAGGCAUACUACUUUUUUAUAUGCAGACAAGCUCGCGUAGCCUAUGUUACCGUAGGUGUUGGUGUAGAACUUUGCAAAGUUGUUAGCCAUAGGGUUGGCAGCCGGACGCCUUACUUAUAGAAGCAGACAAGUCCGCGUAACCACUAGGCUGUUAACCUUGACUUUCUUCAAUUUCGUAGGUUGCGUAGUAAGUAUCACAACACUUUAGGACGUGGUGUAGGUUGUUUCGCCCUUGGCAAAGGUAAAGCUUAUCGACUACGUAGUAUGUUGGCAGUAGAUAAAACUUCGUAUAUACGCGCUAGCUUGUUUAACCUUUCACAAGAAUGUGUGGUUGCAUAAGUCUAACGCGGCUUUACUGCUCGAAGGGUAAGCCGUAGGCAGUCUUCCGGAAUCCGUAGGCUACUUUAGUGCACUCGGUAGCAGCUUUAGGGUUCCAGGGCAGCCGUUUAUAGGGCGUACUGCGUAAUGUGCCCCCUCCGUCUCUAAGGCCCGGUUCCCUACGGAUUAGGCCAAGAGACCCAAAAUCUUUCAAUUAGCUAAGCCUUGAAAAAGACCAUUGUGGCUAAUUCUAGGAAUCCCAGCGCAAGCCAUCGUGUAUUUAGUUAUACUAGGGCAGCCAGGCUUAUCCACGUCUGGAUAUUCGGAGUGUAAAGUUUAUCCUCUCGUCUUGGAGAGCUGACCCAUAUGGGUGUCGGGGAAUUGGUUUACCCUCUCGCACUGGAGAGCAAUUAGUUUACCCUCUCGUACUGGAGAGCAUGGUUGGUCCCUCAAGGGGCGCAAUUCCUGCGAUGGGUCCCUAAGAAGGGCACAGUCUUCUUUUGAAGUGCCGGAGUGAUCAGUUGUUGUAAGCAUGCAGCCAAGCCAAGUUGUGAUUACUUUUGAAUUCCUCAUUGAAAAACGAGUGAAACAAACGAGAACUUAGCUGUAAGGUAGGAACUGGAUAACAACUGGAUAGUCUUCGACUUGUGAGGUGGUGCUCGUCGAGCUUCUUGAGUCUUCGGGCUUUGAUGUAGUGGGAUGUCACACAUGGUACUUCUUCAGAUUGUAGGUGCUCCACUACUUUUUGAUCUUUUUAUCGUUUCAUGGUGGUGAGGGUGUAAUUACUCUUGCUGCCUAUUCUGCUGAUCUUGUAUGGACCUUCCCAGAUGAGAUCCAUCUUUUUGAAGCCUUCUUUGUGGGCAUUGAUGAAGGCUUUUCUUAGGACUAGAUCUUUGGGCUAGAAUUGCCGGAUCUUGGCCUUUUUGUUGUAGCUGGAAAUGAACUACUGCUGGUAAGCUGCGAGGUGGAUGAUAGUCUGCUUGCACUUCUCCUGUGCCAGAUUUAAGCUUGUGGCCAUAUCUUUUUGGUUGCUCGUCUUUUGGUGGUGCGAUAUGCCCAUAGACAUCCAGGGAGUUCGUCUAGCCAUUUUCUUUUCUUACUGGUGGGGGAUUUCUUGUGGCAGUCAAGGAUCAUCUUGGUGGAUACUUUGGCCUGCUUAUUGCCUUGAGAAUAUCUUGGCAUAGACAUGUGCUGCUUAAUGCCAUAUUUUUGGAAGAACUUCGCAAAAUUUUUGCCCAUGAAUUGCGGGCCAUUGUUGGUAACGAUGGAUUAAGGGAUGCCAAAUCGGUAAAUGAUGAUCCUCCAUAUGAAGCACUCUAUGUCCAUCUGAAUCGUGGUCGUCAUGGGCUCUGCUUCUACCUAUUUGGUGAAGUACAUGUCUUUGCCCCUAGUAGUCUGGCUGGUGAUUAGCUGGGAAUCAGAAUGAAUUGAAAGCUUUUUCACCGCUAAGUCUUUUGUCAUUCGAAGGCCUGCUAGUGGGGCUUCGUACUCUGCUUCGUUGUUAGAUGCUUUGAAACCUAGAAUGAUCGCCUGCUUGGGCAUCGAACCGCCUAGGGUGACAAGGACCACGUCUGCUCUGAACCUUUGUAGUUGGAUGCACUGUUGAUAUACAAAUGCCAGAAGUCUCCAUCGAGUGGAGCAAGUGCAGCUGAAGUGUGCUUAGUUACCUCCGGGGCGUCAUUGGGCCACUCUGUUACGUUGUCAAGGCUAGGCGUGAAGGCGCGGUAGGGAGCCAUGGAACUAAGGCCAUGUUACAUGUGGCAGGAGAUGCUCAACUACUGGUAUUGGGCUACUCUAGAGCUGAAUAAUGGAGCAAGGGUCGACUAGGGCCGUGUGACAUGCAGCAGGAGGUAGUGUUCAACUGCCGGUACAUGUUGCUCUUAUGUAAAAUCUUCUGGGGCGACGAGGAUAAAACUUGCUUUAAGUGUUCCUUCUAGUGUUCGUCUGCCCUUGGCGUGUCUUUUGGGUCGAGUUCUUGCGUUCGUUAGAAAACUUUGCAUCCGCCAAGGUCUACGCCUUUAUUGUCGUGUGUCUGGAUUUAGCGGAACAGUGUAUCAUGAUGAUGACUGCAUGCGUUGGAAGCUAAAAUUUGAGCUUUCAGGUUACAACAAAUAUUGCCAAAGUUAACUUUUGAAUUUCUAAUAGCAUCGAGGAGAGCUUUUAAUUUGUAGAAUACAGGUAGUUGGGCCCCCAGCUCUUCUCGCAUGAUGAUAGAGCUUAUUGCUGCUCUAGAUACCGUCAAACACGUGAAUAAGUCAUCCGCUGCUUCCGGUUUGGAUAGUAGGGAUGUGACGUCGGGUACUUCUUCAAGUCUUUGAAUGUGCAUUGGCGAGCCUCGUCCCAAAGUGCAUGCUUCCCUGCCAGAGCGAAAGAGUCUGCCAGAGUUAGAUCUUCUUUCAUGAUCAAUUUUCCGAAUAGCGGGUGGUUUGCUGGAAGUCAUUUCUAGAAGGCUGCUCUAGCUAUCGAGUCGUUGCAUUCGACUAUCCUUGCUUUCUCUACUUUGAACAUCCUCAUAUAGUCAUGAAGCGACUCCUUUGGGUUCUUCUUGACGUCAAACAAAUGGUCAGACUUUUUUUUGAUCGAGCGAUAGGAUGAAUAUUCUUUGGUGAAAACCAAAGAAAGUUCGUAGAAAUUCCGGAUGGAUUGUGGUGGCAGGGUGUAGAACCAAUCUUGCGCCUCACCUUGUAGAGUGGUGGCAAAUAUCUUCCACAUGAGAUCAUCGUUGUUUCGAUAAAGGAUCAUUGCGCUUCGGUAGCGCUUUAAGUGUCUCUCUGGGUUUUCAUCCCCUUUAAAAGAUGUGAAAUAUGGCAUGUUGAACUCGCGUGGAGGCUCUACCUACUCGAUCUUGUUCGUGAAGGAUGACCUGCUUAUGUUGGUCAUGUUCCGUCGUAGUGCCUCGUCGAUGACCUCGUUGUGUUGGAAAUCAUGCAAUCGCUUGGUCAAGAGUCUCUCUACUUCUUCCUGAAUUUUCCUUUGUUGGGGUAGCUGAGCUCUCGGCUGCCUCCAGCCAUGACUUGCUGGUCUAGGCUGCUCUUCCAUGUGUUUGGCUCGUCUAUGCCGCGAAUGUAGUGCAUGUGGUGCAUUUCUAUCAAGCGAGCGAGUUCUUCGCAGGCUACUGGUUGAACUUGAGCUGGAUUGAGUGACUGCUUCUCUCCGUCUGUCAUGUUGCCUACUCUGAUGUGAGGUGGAUGAUGCUCCUUGCGGGCUUAGCCGCGAAUGAACACUUUGCCCGGAAGCUUGCUCAUGUUGACUAUCGGAAUGUAACCUCAACCAUGAAUGUGUGUUCAUCCGUGGGCCUAGUCGAGAAUGCACGCUCCUCCGCAAGCUAAGACGGGAGUAUACGCUAUCUCAGGGGCCCAAUUGGGAAUGUACACUGCUCGAACAUUCGGCUCGUGGCUGGUCAAAUGGUUGCUUGCCAGGACGCUGCUAGAAAGGUUUGUAUGCCCUUGUUCUACUUCGGGAUACCUCGUCCAGGGCACGUUGGAUCCUGAUGCGUUGCAAAAGUUGAUUCACCAAGGUUAUCUGUUAUGCAAGGGCGCUCAUCAACUCUAUGACUUGUCGAGACAAGUGUUGUUCGCCAUUUGGAUUGAAAGAGCUUGGAAGGAAUACGCCUCAUUGGGCAGUGGAAGGGUGGUAAACUCCGUGCGUGAGAUUUGAGUUGGGAAAUGUCAAAUCAGUGAAAAAAUGUGGUGAGAAUGCCCCCCGGCUCGAUGGUAGGUCCGGAUGGUUGAGAUAAUCUUGGGCUGACUUUGGUUGCUUGGAAAGCCACGAGAGCAGGCUAGGCCAUGAGAGCAGGCUGGGCCGUGAGAGUGGGCUGCUCGACGGGAGCAAGCUGGACCACGGAAGUGGGCUACUCGUCGGGAGCAGACUGGGCCACGAGAGCAGACUGCUCGGUGGGAGCAGGUUGAACCACGGGAGUGGGCUGCUCCACGGGAGCAGGCUGGACCACGGUAGUGGGCUGCUCGUCGGGAGCAGGCUAGGUCACGAGAGUAGGCUGCUCGUCGGGAGCAGGCUGGGUCACGAGAACAGGCUGGGCCGCUAUAGCAGGUUACUCGGCGGAAGCAGGCUGGGCCAUGAGAGUGGGCUGCUCGACGGAAGCAAGCUGCUUAGUAUGUGAUGCAUGCGAAUGAGAGGCUUGGGCUCAGCCCCGUGCAAACUUGGAUGGCACGGCUUGGGCCGUGGCCUUGGUGCCGUGAGCCUUGGAUGGCCUUGCUCCACUUAUUGUCGCAUUUAGCCUCACGAAUCUCUGCAAUCCCAUUUCUUGAACAUUAGAAUUUUCACUUGUGGAAUUUUCUAAAUUUCUAACCAUUAUAUUUCGCUUAUACAUUUUAUCAAAGAACAUUUGCAAGUAAAAAAUUCUAAUAAUAAGAACGUAUUAAAAAUAUUCAAAUGGACUAGAAAAUAAAGAAAAAACCUUUUUGUGCGAGAGUCUUCUACGAUUAUGGAUUUCAACUCUCAAUGAAAGCACCAAUUUGUGGAUGCAAAUUUCUUCCUCCUUGAUCUUGGACAAUUUUGCACCUACAAAACAAUUAACACCUUAGGUUAAGGCCAAGAGCCUCACGCGCCCACGAUGAAUGGGUGGGGCUUUGGCCAAAGAACCUCUUAUGCCAAAGUUAGAAUUUAGAGAGAAAGAAUGUUUAGAGAAGUUUGGGAUUUUUGCCAAAGUGUUGGAAUUAGUUUUUGGUGAAAAUGGGUGCCUAUUUAUAGGGUUAGGCUUUGCCCAAUUUUCCCAAGGUGUGGCUGGCCACUAAUGGGUUUUGGUGGUUAGUUUUGGCUUAAUUAGCCAAUUUAUUGGCUAAUUAAGUAUAAAAGAAAUAAAUAGGAGGUUACAAAAUUGAAUAGUUGUGUAAAUAGGGUAAUAAAAUGGAAAAAAAAGUGUGAAAAGCUAGGGAAAAAUGGGGUGGCCGGUCCAUCACUAGUUUUGGGAUUGAGUGGGAUAUAUGUUGUGGUUAUUUGGAUGUUUAAUUGAUGUUUAAUGGAUUAAUUGGGUAAUUAAUCCAUUAAUUAACCAAUUAAUAUAAUUUUGGAGUAAAUAUUUUGGAGGUUACGGGAUUUGAUGAGAUGAAUAUUGAAUUGUUACCUUUUUUGAGCAUUUUUUAGCUGCUCGCGCGUAGGAAUCCUGAUGUGCCUCAAGGGUGGUUUGGUCUUCUUCUACUAAAAAAUCCAUGUGUCGCAUUGUGAUUAUUUUUGGCUCCAUAAGUACUAUUCAGAAUAGCAAAACAACCCCACAAUAAACUCAUUCAAAUGAAUCUAAUUCCAAAAGAAAUUCAAAACCAAAUUUUGAUUUUCUGUUGACCAACAAUACCAAGUCUUUACUCAACUCCAACUUUGAUCCUUUUUUUCGACUGUCUUUUCCCCUACAAGCCAAAAUAGAGGUUUGAUAAUCAGAAAACUCCUUUUUUCUUGGCUCAAUCACCAUACAAACUAUGCAGUGGAAAACUUAAAUUGUUUUUCAAAAGAUGAGAAAAUGUUUAAGCAUUAUCAGGGUUCAGAUAAGUAUUGUAUGGCUUUUUAGCCAAAAUGGUCUCUGAGAUUUGCAUAACACAUCUCUUUGGUCCUUGAAAUUGAAAAUCUAUAGAAAUGGUCUCUGAGCUUGUCCACCAUCCAUUAUUUUGGUCCUUCCAUUAAAAACUCCGUUAAGUGUCCCGGAGCUCUUGGCUGGAAGUUUGGGCAAUUUUCAAAGCUUUGUAACUCAAUCGUUUUUUAACCAAAUUCGACCCAUAAUAUAUCAAAAUAAAAAUAGAAAAGUGUAGAACAAGGUUAUACCUAUCUGGAAGCCCAAUGGUUGCCGGAGAUGGCGGGAAAAUAGCCUGAAAAGUGACUGGUCCGUGGGAAAACUUGAAAAAUCGCAGGAAACUGGGCAAACUUUAAAAGUUCAUAACUUCUUCAAUACUCAACGAAAUCAAGUAAUUCAAAAAAAAAAAUCAUACUUCUCGACGAGACAAAGAGAAUGAUACCUUUCUUGAUGGCUAAUUCACCGUGGCUUGGCCGGAAAACUGCUUGAAAGUGGCUAACUCGAGUUAGCUAUCGAGAAAGGUAUCAUUCUCUUCGUCUCGUCUAGAUUUGAAUCACUCGAUUUUGUUGAGUAUUGAAGAAGUUAUGAACGUUUAAAGUUUACCCAGUUUCAGACGAGUUCUCUAGUUUUCCCUUGGAUCGGUCACCUUUCAGGCUAUCGUCCGGCCAUCUCUGGCAACCAUUGGGCUUCCAAAUAGGUAUGAUCUUGUUCUACACUUUCCUAUCUUCAUUUUGAUAUAUUAUGGGUCGAAUUUGGUUAAAAACCGAUUGCGUUACGAAGUUUUGAAAAUUGCCCAAACUUCUGGCCAAAAGCUCAGGGACACUUAACGGAGUUUUUAACAGAAUGACCAAAAUAAUGGAUGGUGGACAAUCUCAAUAACCAUUUCUAUUGAUUUUCAAUCUCAGGGAUCAAAGUGAUGUGUUAUGCAAAUCUCAGGAACCAUUUUGGCUAAAAAACCGUAUUGUAUUAACCAAAUUCAUGAACACAACGUACAAUUAAGAAUUUAUAACAGCUUUAAAAAUUUUAAGAAGAAAUGCAAUGAGGGAAGGUCAUGUUUUGUGAAAAUAAAAGCAAUUAUGGAUUUGCGACACAGAAAUUCUAUGCCCGAACUCAAAAAUUAAAGCGACAAUGCACAUUCAAUAGGAAAUCAAAUACGACUAAUCACAAAACUAGCAGAACAACAGAUGCAAAUUAUGAGAAUUGGAAAUUUGAGUGCUAGUAAAAUAUCUUAUUUAGAAGCAGACGAUCCAAUACAUGUACUGGUAACUACAAAAGUCUAGCAAUCAAUUAUAUUCGAAAAUAACCAAGAAUUAUAGCAAGAGUUGUUUAAAUAUUGUAAAUUUUUCCAAAGAUAUAUAAAUUUCAGGUGGUCGGGUUGCAAAAUCCAGAAGUGAACUGCCUAAAGUAAAAACGCACUAGAUCUCAUGAGAUGUAUGCACAACUCAUCCAUGUCCGAAAUUGAGAUGAUGAAAAAUGAAGCUGCAUUGGCGCAGAAGUUCAUACUGGAAGUGCAUCACUUUCAACAAAAAGAAGCUAUUCUUUAGCACAGAUGAUUGAAGUGAAAGCCAUACAAUGAGUUUUAACAUAGACAAGGAUGAUUAAAGUGAUUAUAAGUUCAGACCUUUGUCGCCCAUUUUCACAUGCUUCCUGAGCUGCGGCUGCUUCCGCAGAAAAAGAAACAGUCUCUUGCUUCAUCUCCUAUUCCUUACGCUCUCCAGAAUUAUCUCCAUGAGAGGCCAAGCGCCUCCUCACCUUCACAAGCCUUGGCCUCGAAAUUUGACCGUUUGCUUCGUGCUGCUCAUGGGGAUGCACCAGAGCUAUGCUUUCCAGCAACGCCGGCGAAUGUCAACGCCGGAGUCAUCAAAUCAGACGGUUGGGGAUUGAUUGAUUGAGAGCGUGAUGCUUGAUCAAAUCCUGGUUUCUUUUGCGAUUGUGUGAUGGUUCGGAUUUGGGUUUUAGAAGUUGGAAGGAAGGGGAAAGCAAACGGAAGUUAUUUUCAGAAGGGUCACGGAUCACAAUAGAGCAGGUUGUAUCAAUGAUCCUCUCAUGCCACUUUCAAAAAAGUUCACUUUUGUUUUCAUUUUUCUCUUUAAUUUUACUUUAUUUCGUUUUCAUUUCUUCUUCUUUGUUUCCUUUUUUUUAACUUUUUUUUUCACGUAAUGUUUUAAUUAAAAUUAUAAGUUAAACCAAAAUUGUUAUUUAGUUCGGUUUGAUUUCUGCAAUUUGUAAAGGGAAAAUGACACACCCCGACCUAGAUUAAGACAUGUUGACCGUCACGUGAAGGUAACGUCGCUAUGUGCACAAUGCGGAAGCAAUAAUGAUAUACAGAAAUGCGAAUAAAUAAAAUCAAACCAACUAGAGCACUAGAUAAGGUAAGGUGCAAGACGAGAAUAAGUGUGACCACACAUAACCAGAGCAUAAGUAGCCUAAACGCAGUCCAGCGAGACGAAUACUAAUUAUAUAGUACCAAAGAUGGUCCAACACUAGUGAUAAUCUAUCAGAGUUGCCGUGAAUUCCUCGUGAGUCACCAACAAGCACUCCUACCUAAAACCUAGAAGGGUGCAAAACAGAAAGUGUGAGAGAGCAAAAACAAAUCUUUUCAAAACCAAUUCAUUUAUCAAAAGUUCUAACCUUUCGCCGUAAAACUUGUAUAAAUUCCCAGAAAAUAGAACAUAUAGACCUAUCUCAAAACUAUGCUCAAAAUAGUGAAAAUCAUAGUAUACCAUGCCAUAUAUCUCAAAGUAACAAAAUAAGUAACUCAGGUGAAAUAAUAUCAUGAAAUAUAACAUAUCAGCCGGAUCCACCUAAAAUGGCAUGUACGACUGAAUCUAUAGCUCAACAAGUAUGCCUGCAUAUGAGUCAGAAUCACCUAAUGUGGUCUAUACGACAUGACUGGGUGUAAAUAAACACGCUCUAAUGCUACGAUCAGGUGAAGACUGUGCGAAUAAUCACGGGCCACUUACAAGUCGCAACCACCUAUAGUGGUUUGUACGAUAGGACUAUGCACCUAACUUGGAUCCAAGGUGAGUGUAUGGUGCGGGAGGUGAACAUCACGUGAAGGACUGUGCCCUAACCACGGGCGGGAGCACUAACACCGGGGUGCAGGUUUAUGAGCUCUCAACACAUCUCUCAGGAUCAUCAAUUCACGAUAACAAUCUACAACUCACCUGAUACUUACUUGAGCAUCCACCGCGUCAAAUCACAUAUGUAUAUACCAUACAAUUUCAUAGUCUAAGUAUAAAUCAAUAAGCAUGGCAUUUCAAAAUAUAAUUUCAUUUAAACACAUUUUCUGGGAAAAAUACCAAGUAUAUAAGUAUAUACUGAAAACCAAAAGCCCACUCACUAAUAUGUGGAAGGGUCGUAACCCCCGAGCCUAGCUUGACUACGCUCGUCCUCAGGAUAGGUCUCACUUAUAUGCGAAACAACUAUAUAAACGUUAUUUAAAGCACAUAACCAAAACUAGGUAAUAACUUCUCAUACAUUGCUCAAUUGGGGUGUUUGAAUAUACCAACGUGAUCUACUUAACCCCACGAACAUCCCCAUAUUUUAAGAAAAUUUUUCCGAUGUCCUACGUGCAAGCACAUGCCUGGCACAUUGACGGAUUCCUUAACAGCGUUAGGGAAUAUUCCGUUAAAUAAAAGUAUAUGCCGUAAAAGAUACCUGACGCCGUUAGAAUAUUCCAUCAAAGUUGACGGAAUAUUCGCCUUCUUCUCCGGCGAGGCAUCGGAUUCCGUCGCCGUCGCCGUCCGUGUCGCCAAAAACUGGAAAAACUUUAAAGCUUCAUAUCUCUUCCAUUUCUCAACCAAAUUCAAUGAAAUUUUCACCAAAAUGAAGCUUACAAUGAGUAGAACACAUUCUUACCACUUUGGAGACCUAAAACCAAUGAAAAGUGGUUGGAAAUCCUUCGACCGAAUGUUCAAACCUACAAGUCGAUAAACCCAAGUGUUCUAACGUCAAAACUACUCCAAAAUCGAUCCACCGUGCUAGAAAAGCAAGAAUAAUACCUUCUUAGGUCUCAAAACCACUUAAAACCUUCGCGAUCACAUCGGAGGAAAAUCACCCCUCAACGAAGUUCGGGAAAUUCAAGUUCUACAAGCUCUCACGACCAAAUAAGGGUAUGAAUCGACUCCUGGGCUUGCAAGGAACAUGAAAACCCCCUUCAUAGUCUCAAUCUGUGCCUGCAAAGGUUGGUUUGAAAUAUGUCCGUACAAUUGUACGGAAAUGGAAAGAGGUAUGAGAGGGAGGAGAGAGAGAGAGUCAACGGGAGUUUGUGUAUGGGUGUGUGUGGUCCUAGUUGAGUCACCAACCAAAAACAAACAAAAUCCUAAGUUCUAAUUGGGUCCAAUUAGCUAGGAAAGAAAUUAAUUGGUCACUUUCCUUAGCCCACUAAUACAAAACACAAUCCAACGCUCAAGGGCAAAAUGGUCAUUUCACGCUAUCGAGGAUAAAAUAAUAUACACAUUCGGGACAGGCUACCACAUAAAAUGUGGAAAAUUUUAUUUAAACUCAUAUAACUUCUUUCUACGCCUAACUUAUAAUCUAAAUCAAGUGUUUUUCUUCAAUUUUAACUAUCCAUUUUAAUUAAGCAAUUAAAGUUCUUUUAAUUUUUUAAUUAAUACGUUCAAAUGUUACUCAUGUUUAAUUAGUAGUCUUGCUAUGUAGAUGCACUACAAACAUGUGAGAACAUGAUAAUCAUAGCACUUCGUUUCAUUUUGUUUGUGCACUGUUGAGUGUUUAUAAUUAGUCAUGUGAUCUUAUUAUUAUUUUAUUUUAUAUAUUCUGAAAGAGUUUUCAUUUCUCAGUUUCUAACUUCGGUGCAUGCUUGCUAAUUGUUAUUCCCAGUAUGCAAGUCGGCUUGCAAAAUAUGCAUGCAUUUGUUAAAAUAACUAGGGUUUGAAUAAUUUGGUUUGACUCUCAUAGUCUCAUGGUAACUGUGUUUAAUUAGAUUAAUGGAUUUAAUUAACACGGAUCUUCAUGAGACUGGUCCAGUUAGCUUCUAAUGUGAAACAUGGAUGUAUAAAUUUGCAUAUUGAAUUGAGUUUGUGAUGAUAGUAUUGGUAGUAAAUUGGGUUUAAAGAGAGAUUAAUAGUUUGAUAAAAAAAUAAUAUGGGUGUAAAGAGUAAGCUAGGUGUAGAGAUAUGUUAUAUGGGUUCAAAUAAAAUUUCCCAAAAUAUAAUUAUUUUGGUUCGGUUAUGGUUUUUUCAAUUUUUUUUUUUUUGUUUUUUAAACCUAAAAUAAAAUUGGACAAAAAAAUGAAACAAUAAAAUUUUGAGAUCUGAGAACUGGGCUUGGAUUGAAAUAUCAAAUAUAGGAUGGGCUUGGAUUGAAAUUAGGUUAAUGAUUGACUUGGAAUUAGGUUUGGAAAAUGAAUUCCCAACAUAAACAAAUAUUAAUGUAUAUUUAAUUCAGUUCAGUUUGGUUUUAUUUUUUUUAUUUUUUUAUUUUUUUGGAUUCAGUAUUCGGCUAGGGUUUUUUUUUUUUUUUUUUUCUGUUUUCCUGACCCACAUCCACGGUUAAGUACGAACCCAAUCUUUCAAGGUGAUUUCAUAUUGGUACCAACCUUUUAAAAAAAAUUUCAAAUAUCUACCUAAUAUUUUGAAAAUUGGACAUGUGAAGUUACAAGUUUUAAGUAAUGACAUAAACUAAUAUGCCGAUGGACAUGUUUGUGAUUUCACUAACACAAAAAAGAAUGUUUAAAUAUAUAGAUUUCACAUAAUGGCACAUCUUCUCGUCACCGCUUUAAUGUUUGCAAUGUCACCUUAAGUCUUCCACCAUUUUUCUAACCUAAACAUCCUCUAAAUUUGAGGAGUAUUUUCAGCACCUAUUUACUUCCUCGAGACCUCACCCUUUUUCUAAUGCUUUGAACGACGUUCAGCGGAUGAUCACUUAUGGGGCUGGAAAAAAAGUUCCGAAAAUCCCAAAACCGUACUAAAAAAAUCUCGAUCUCGAACCGAAAAUUCCAAAAGUUUCGGUACCACUUCCCCGAACCAUUUACAGGAAUCGGUCUCACCAUUUCAAAAGUUCGGUAAUCCCAAACCAAACUGAAACCUAUAUAUAUUUAAAUGGUAGGAUUAAUCUAGACAGUUGGAUUAGUUAGAUUUAAUCGCAUCCGUCCAUUUUGAGAUAGGGUUCUCAGCGACUUCUCAAACACUCUCAUUUCUCGAACCAUCCGGGACCGCACCCCAUCUGUGAGCAAUCUCUCUCGAAUCUCACUUUCUUCUCUCGAACUUUCUCAACUUCUUGAUAUUUCCUCUCAUCUCAUUCGAACAUCUUCACCGCCAAAAGGGUUGAUUUCUCCCUCUCAUCUUAUUUGAACACUCUUCUUCACAAACAAAAGGGUAAAUGUCCUUCUCUCAACAUCUAUUUUUGUUUAUUUCCACGUUUUUUGUUUGGAGAUUGAAAGAUUGAAUUGGAUAAUUGAAAGAUUGACCUAAUUGAAUUUACCCCCUUUAUUUUGAUUUUACUUUGUUUGAAAUUCAUAGGCUAAGAUAGCAGAUCUGGGGUUUAGCUCGGAUUUUAGGGUUCUUUGAAAUCCCACUGUAUAUAUUUUCUUACCUUCAACACUGUUACAUUUUUGUUUUUUUUUUUCCUUCUAUUUAUGCCAUUAUUUUCCUAUUUUAUGAACAGUUAUAAAUAAUCUUUCUCUGGGUUCAUUUUCGUUUUCCUUUUUAUUGACAAGAUUAUGUUCCACCUGUUUUUGACAACUUCAAUGUCGAUGUUUUGGCUGAUAGGCAGACUGUAAAUUUGGGUCCCUAAGAUAUUUCUUUUACUCUCUCUCUCCCUCUCUCUCUCUCUCUCUCUCUCUCUCUCUCUCUCUCUCUCAUAUUCCUCAAACAUAGGGUUUGAAUAUACGAAAUCGAUAUACUCGACGUCACGGAUCAACACAAAUAUUUAGAAUGAAUUUCGGACACCACACACGUCCUCAUGCACCGGCCAAGGCACAGCCAGACACACCACCACUCGCUGCCAUAACCCUGACAUUCGUCAGGAAUAUUCCUUUAACUUUAACUAAUAGAAUUAACGGCGUAACCUGACUUCGUCAUAAUAUUUCAUCAACUUUGUCUUCUCUUGUGAUCUCGUCGGUCGCCGCCAUCUUCAACUUGAAUUUCGCCAAAUUUCUGGAAAUUUUAAAACUUGCAUAACUUCUUCAUUUCUCAACCAUUUUUUACCUACUUUAUAUGGAUUUGAAGGUAUUGAAGAGUAGAACAAGAAUAUACCUUUUGGGAGUCGAAAAAAAUGGAUGGAGGUGGCCGGAAAAUACCUCGAAAUAUCCAGCCAAAAGUGAGACUUCUCAAAACUGGGUUGUUUCACGUCAACAUUCCUCGAAAACUAGUCUAGGACCCUUAAAGAGUUGUGUAGAAGCCUUCCCAAGUACUAGAAACUUGUAACUCGGUCAAAAACACGAUGAACUCAAAUCACUGAGUUUGGACUAGGGGUGGGCAAACAGGUACAGGAACCACGGGUCGGGGAGGGUACAGGCCAGUUCCUACUUUUAAAAAAGAGAAACGAGGUGGGCCUUUGAGAUUUUUGGUUCGGGCUUGUUACUGGAGUAUAGGAACCGCGAGUACCCGGACCGGUCCGUUUGUAAUUUAAAUGGACGGAUCAGAUUGAUGAAUAAGCUACCAUCUCUAAUCUGAACCGUUAGUUUUAGUUUUACCCUAGGUUCUCUAUUUCUCUCGUCUCAACUCUCACUCUCACUCUCAGACUCUCAGUCACUUGACAGCUCGACUUCCUUCCCUCGACUCCAAUCAUCAUCCUCUUCACAAUGCUCACCAAACGUCGAUUCUCCUUAGGGAACACAACAACACCACCCAUCAUCCUCCUUGACAACAUCCCAAAGAACCCAGGCCAUCACCCCCUCCGUCAAUUCUCUCAUAUUCGACAACAACCCCCACCGUCACAACCGCCAUCACCCUAUCCAUCACCGUCAUCGAGGACACUGGUACUAGCCAUCAUCUUUCUAAAUUUUAGGUAAUUUUGAAUUAAGGUUUUGUUAUUAAUUUGAAUUUCUUGUGUAGGGAUUUUAGGAUUUUUAAAUUGGAAUUUGGGAUUUUAGGGUUUUCGAACUAGGUUACUAGAGUUAAUUUUGCAGUAGAUUGAUGAUUGAAUUGAUAAUUUUGCAGUAAUUUGGCAAGCUUUGAUGCCUUUUAACUUCUAAGUUCUUAAGGAAAUUAGAUACUAGAUAGUGUGAGUCUAUACAUUUCUUCUUCCUUUUGAGUUGAGUUGGAUGCAAAAACUAGUCAAAAUCUUGGCCUGCAUCAGCAUCACAAUAAUUUUUCAUGGAGCUUUCAAGCCCCACUCUGAGUUUGACAAUAUUUACAGAUAUUUAUUCGUAUUUCCGAUAUUUUCCCCUUUUAAUUUCAUAUUAUUAUUAUUAUUAUUAUUAUUAUUAUUAUUAUUAUUAUUAUUAUUGUUAUUAUUAUUAUUAUUCUGUAUGUUAGGCUUAGUGGCAAAGACAGUGAUCAAUAUCAAUCUAGGGUUCAUGAUCCUAUAAAAGCAAAGCUAAAAUAAAUCAAACACAAAAACAAGCUCAGGCUGUAAUGUUCAGACUGUGUGACCACUACUGAAGAAAUGAAAACUAUGGAUUGGAAACCGUGUUUUUGCUCUCAGGAAUCUCAUAAACACUUUCACAGUUUCACCUAUGAAGUUUAAACUUUAACAUGGUCAUGUAAUGUUUUGAAAAAUAGGGAUAUUGAUAAAGAUAUAGUUUGUAAUUUUUAGGGUUAAUGAGUUCCAAAAGUAUGUCUACAUAAGGGAAAGAUAUUAUUCUCAUUAAUAAUACCUCUAUUUCCUAAAUAUCAUUUAUCAUACAGUUUUAUUGUAAAUUUCCUAGAUGGUUACGGGUAACUCAUACAUUUUUAUCGUUUCUCUCUUACAGCGAUCUAGAAAAAAAGUGGCAAUCUGUGCAAAUUUGUGCAGUUUGCAAAUUUGUGCAAAUCUGUGCAGUUGCAAAUCUGUGCAAAUUUUAAUUUCUUUUUUCAAAAAUAAAAAAUAAAAAAGGACCCCUGGACCAGUCCUGAACCGGCCGAUUUCAACCGGGCCAGGUAAGGUCCGGUUCCUAUAUUUGAAAAUGUAAUCCCCAGCCUAUCUCCUUUGAACCCAGGUCCGGUCUGGUCCCUUCAAAAUUGGGCCCGGCCCAACCCGUGCCCACCCCUAGUUCGGACCUUCCUAGUUCGACGUAAAAAACUCGUCCAUUCUGGGUUUGGUUGGUAUGGUUGUGAUCGUGAGUUCAAGGGGAGUCCAUUGGUGUGAUUUUAAGACUUGAUCUGCAAGGUUUGAACGUUGAUCUUCAAGGUUGCAGAGAAAGAGAGACUUCGGGAGGAAGAGAGUGAAGGAAGAGAGAGAGAGAGAUGUUUAUUUUGUUUCUCUCAAUCACCGGCCUAGCUCGCGUCAUGUUCAAAAGCCUAAAAGGACAUGAGCCAUGUGACUCGCCUAGCACUGCCCCAGUGCCACAAUCCGUGGCCCCAGCCACACAAGCUGCCCUUGGUUCUAGCCAAGUCGAGCAGCUUAAAGCAGUGGUCCCUGCCACAAUACCUCAUCGGCCCAUACUAAGCCGACUCCUGGCCCAUGCCAGCAGAUGUGCCGCACCACCCCGACAGCUGCCCCGCGGUAGCACCAUCCAAGAAGAAGACAAGGAAAAUUAAUUUUUUCUUACCUCGGUGCGGCACGAAGAAGACGAAGAAAUCAACGAAAGAUAGUCCUUUGCACGGGCAAGAUGUAAAAGAUUGCUAAAGGAGGGGGAACAAAUAUCCUCUAAGCUAUCUCUCUCUUGUAGGAUAGAAUAAAUCGCUCUCCAAAGUUGAUUUAAUAACCCACUUAAGGUGGACUUAAAUAGGCUUUGAGAGAAAUUUAUUUCCCUUUCCUAAAAGGAUCUAAUUUCACAUUAAAGAGGGAAUCUACAUCAAAAUAGGAAGCAGUUCUGAGUUUCCUAGAGCAAGAAUAUCUCUACACCUACUGCCAUUUCCUACGAGCAGCCCAGCAGGUGUGGGGGCAUUUGUGGAGCCAAAAAUAAUCACAAGGCGACAUGUGGAUUUUUUUAGUAAAAGAGGACCAAACUACCCUUGAGGCGUAUCGGGAUUCCUACGCGCGAGCAGCUAAAAAAUGCUCCAAAAAGGUAACAAUUCAAUAUUCAUCUCAUCAAAUCCCGUAACCUCCAAAAUAUUUACUCCAAAAUUAUAUUAAUUGGUUAAUUAAUGGAUUAAUUACCCAAUUAAUCCAUUAAACAUCCAAAUAAUCAUAACAUAUAUCCCACUCAAUCCCAAAACUAGUAAUGGACCGGCCACCCCCUUUUUCCCUAGCUUUUCACACUUUUUUUCCAUUUUAUUACCCUAUUUACACAACUAUUCAAUUUUGUAACCUCCUAUUUAUUUCUUUUAUACUCAAUUAGCCAAUAAAUUGGCUAAUUAAGCCAAAACUAUAACCACCAAAACCCAUUAGUGGCCGGCCACACCUUGGGAAAAUUGGGCAAAGCCUAACCCUAUAAAUAGGCACCCAUUUUCACCAAAAACUAAUUCCAACACUUUUGGCAAAAAUCCCAAAAUUCUCUAGACACUCUUUCUCUCUAAAUUCUAACUUUGGCACCGGAGGUUCUUCGGCCAAAGCCCCCCAUUCAUCGUGGGUGCAUGGGGCUCUUGGCCUUAACCUAAGGUGUUAAUUGUUUUGUAGGUGCAAAAUUGUCCAAGAUCAAGGAGGAAGAAAUUUGCAUCCACAGUACUGAGAAGGAGAACGUGAGUAUUUUAAUGGACUUAAGGGUUAAAAAAUAGAUAUUGUAAUGAGAUUUGGGAAGUUUUAUUGAACCAUUAUGCAUCAUACCAACCAGUAAAUUUCAGAAAAAUAGUAUAUCUAUAAUUAGUUUGAGACAUGGGAUCAAACAGUGUGCCUUUAUUAUGUGCAUAAGCUUAAAACUCGAACUGUCGUGUUAAAAUUUACACAUACUCCACUAAACCUUAAAUUAAAAAAAGGAGGGCUUUUUAUUUGUAUUUCUACUCAUUGGUGCAUUGGUACACUUAUUCUGUGUACUGCAAUGUUUGCAAAUGCCACAAAGCUAUGCUCAGAUUGCUCAUUAGGACCAAAGAUGAAAGUCUCAGAGCCUAUUUGGCUGAGGUGGAAAAACCAGAUGACAGACUGGCGACCAUGACAUUCUAGAAUAAGUAUGACGAUGCUAUCUUAACAAGAUGUUUCGACAUCAUAGACAAUCUGACUGACUGGGAUGACAAGAGCAGAACGAUAGUCAUCAAGCCAAACUACUAUAUGAAGAUCAAUAGAAAAACGGAACAAGGACACUCCCCUUCAUUCUCCAUGACAGGCUGUGAGAGGAUGACGUCGAGACAGGUAGGUUCCUCAUAAUCCAAAUAGUACACCGUGUUGAACACUACAAUCAAUAAUAUCAUCCACAUCAUAAAGGACAAACCCUUCUUCUGAUGCCCGAAAUUGUUCCCGGAGCAUCUGGCAGCCAUGUCUCCAAAGAACUUUCGUCUAAGAUUCAUUUGAGACAGACAUGUGACAUGAGUUGAGAGACAUACAUUCCUCAAACAUCACGUUGAACAAGAUUUGAAGAACCCCCAUAAAGGGAAUUUGAUAGACAAAUAAAUAGGAGGACUUUCCUAAUAAACAAAUAUUGUUCUCUCAAAUCUAGCAAAAAAAGCAGGGACAAGGCAAAAGGUUUUCUAUGGGUUAUAAUACCUGGUAUCGGAGUAAGGUGGUACUUCGGAUAUCGUGAUGGGUAUACUACAAGCACUGAGUUUGGAAGGUGAUGUUUUUCAUGAUCAACAUCUUUAUGGGUGGAUGUUAUGCUUUGUCUCAGGCACACAAAGUCACUCGUACUUCGCCUUGUUUCCCAUCAUUCCAAAGUUAGCUUACUCUGGAAAACUAGUUAUAUUGGAAACCUGAAGCUAUAGAAAAACAACAGAGAUGUACGCUAAAUAAGGGAAAAUACUCUCAAAUAAGGUAAAGAAAUUCAAAACUCGAACAGGAACAUGAUGUUCAAUGAAUGGGAUAUGCCUUUAUUCUGGCUUAACAAGUCAUGAAGAAGAUAAUUACUCCAUACCAUUAGAUUUCGUUGCGUCGCUAUAAGGAAAUUGGAAGGAUGAAUGUCAAUGGCAGUAGUACCCUUCUCAUUCAUCUGCCCUUUAGACUUGGAAGAAGACUCACUUUACUUUGAUAGGGCAAGCAUAGACGCGUUAACUGCAAGCGACGAAGGCAUCGGUAAACUAGCGUUUUGUAUCUCAUUCACAAUCGAGCAUCACCUCACUAGUCAUGGUGAUCCUGACUCUAUAACCAUCAAGAGCAGCACCCAUUCUCUUUGCGGUGCGCUUAACCACUUCUAACUCCAAUGUGGAGUAAGAAUGAUUUUGAAGGCCUUGUUUAUAAAUUUAGGGCGACACCGACCAGGAUUCUGAUCAUCAAUUUUGUAUGGAAUGUCAUUUUCGGGCUUACAAGGAACUCUCGGCUCAGAUAUAUCCACCUUCGAGUUCACUUCCACCAAAAGGAUGUCUUUGUAUUAGUCUUUGUCAUGACAUGGAAGAUUAAUGAUGUAAGCAAGCCACUGAAGCAUGGAUCGAGAUUGAAAGAAGUAGUGAGUAUCGACACUCUUCCGAAGUUAAUAAAGAAUGUGAAAUUCAAACAAGCCUAACUCGGUAUGAUACCAUUUAUUCAGGCGAUCAAGGUAUGAGAUAAUGCGAACAGAGGUUGGAGUGAAAUUGCAAAGACCAAUUUGAUGUGGAAGAAUCUCCUUCCACAACGACGACAAAUGGAAUUUCAACCCUAAAUCAAGAUAACAAUGAAGGAUUCUAGUACAAGGACGAAUAGGGUCAAUAGGUGAAGGAAGUUUUGUGGCCAUAUCAUCAAUAUCUUCCUACUAGACUUGACAUCCAUUAAGGAGAUGACUGCAACCUAUAAGAAAAGCUUAUUUUCACCCUUGUUAUGAAUCCUAACCAUGAGAGGUUUAGGGUUAUCUAGAACCGCAGAUUCAACAGUUGGGGUGUAGGAACUGGUGGCAAUGAUUUUGUUUGAAUACGAAAAAGAUAGCAAUGACAAUUUGAAAAUUUGUAGUGUUCUUGAAAUAAAAAGGGAAAAUUUAGGGAUUUAAGGAGACAAUGCAGGUUGUGGUACGACAAGUAUUUAAAAGGGAUAUUUCAAAUCAUCAUGCCGUCGAAUACAGACUGGUUCAUUUGGAGAUCAACGGACCCGAUUAUUAUUAAAGGAGAUUUCUCAUUUUUAUGCACACACAACAUACUUAAUACAUAAUUAUAACAGGGUUAUAAGCAUGGAGUUCAAGGCAACGCAUCCAGGACUAAAGAUGAUGCCGCUUCAAACCUAGAAGUCAUAUAGUUUACAAAGAAUUUGAAGACCAAACGGUACGUAUUCCAGCUUACUGCGAUAUGCAUGAUCUUUGUUAACAGUCCAUCCUUAAGGGGAACAAGUUGCCUUUCAUAUAGAUAGUUGGGGUGAAUUGUAGGACCAUGAUUUUUCAAGGCUGGAGUAAGGUUGAUUCGAAUACUGUUAUCUUAGAAGUUUGGUCAUGGACUAACUAGCUUCAGGCAGAGUUAUAUCAGAUGGAGUAGGGUGCCACCAUUACUCUACUCCGGGGCACUAGGCAGAGUCAUAACGGCUCUGUCAGAUGACCAUGCUUGUUUCACAAGACACGCGAUCUGAUUCGUAUAUGGACACAAUCGAAUCCUAUAAUUCUUGGAGUCCCUAUAAUCUAGGGAUAAACGUGCGCCGCAAGUAAUCACAACUUUUACAAAGGUGCAAUAUCUACUUACUCGAUAUCCACUAGGAUUCUCUAGGCUUAGUACGAAGAUUCUAUCCUAAAAAUGUUUCUCCCACAAUAUAAAUACACCCACCAGGGUUCAUCUAUGGUAACACAAUCUGUACACUUUGAAUUUUCUUGUCCAGUGUUUGAGUCUAAAAUUAUUCACUAACUUGACCAUUGGAGAGCCUUUGGCUGACACACCCCCUAUGGCUUGCUAACAUAGUUUUUUUGUUUUGAAGGUUGCUUAGAUUUACUAGAUUUAUGCCCAAUUGCCCCUCACGGAGGUGCGCAGAUUUGGUUACAACAGUUGUGAAUAUAUUCCUUCCUUGAUCCUGCAUCUUUGCAUGUAUUUAGGCUUCGCUUGGGAUUCGCGUGACUAUUGGGUUUUGAGACUCGGUUAGGCUUGCUCAUGAUAUUUUUUGGGCCUUAACAUUAGCCCCUUUGAUUGUUUGGCCUAUGAGAAAUCUUAAAUGAGCUAAGCAAUCAAAUCAGGCCCAAAUGAAUAUUUUAAACAUAGCUUUUAUGAUGGGACUUUUCGCCUUCACGCGUGGCAGCAAUAACUUCCUUCAGUUGUGCGCCCUUGUUUCUUGUACACGUCUAAUCAUCCAAGAGAUUCUAGGCAUUCCUUCACCAACUGCCUUGAUAACUCAUCCCUUUUAGGACAAGUAAUUAAUUUGUCCAUUCUCUUUCUUUUUCUUCUUUAACUCAAUUUUCUUUUUCAAUAUUUCUUUGCUUCAUCCUUCUACCUCUAUCGCUUAGCUCCCCUUGCACUUUAGAUUCCUAGUGUUUUAUGCUUGUGCUCUGCUAUGUUUGACGUUAAGAUAUUCUCUUAGGUAAAGAAAGCUUCACCCUUCUUCUAUAUUUUCCUUUUUUCCUAUCGGUUUUGAUAGUGAAUUUGAACAUGCUUCUGCCUUUUCUCUAUCUUGCACACCUGAGAGAUUUUAGGGUUUUGCUUUUCAUAGGGGAGGGUGCGAUUUUCCCUUGGGAAAUCGAACUCAUGCCCUUUAGUGAUUUUCGAUUUUAGGUCUUUGUAUGCUUGCCCAUUAUAGAUUUCUUUUUGCUUUUCAUGUAGCGCGAGCUUGUUGUGUAUACUCGAAUAGGAUUAAUGAUUUACAUUGUUUAGCUUGGCAUGAUUUCUUGAUUGCACAUAGUAUAUUCCAUGUAGAUAUCUGCGUAGCAUGCUUUCCCUAGUUGGAUGUCUCAUAUGUUAUAACCUUUUAGCAUGGCAUGCAUAGGGAAAGGCAUAUGCAGUUUUUGUGAUAACAUGUAUGGGAAUCAAUCCCAUGUUAAAGCCUGAGGCUUUCGUGUGUAUGUGCUUGAAUCUUAGAAAUUUUGCCUUCCUUGGGCAUACUUGCUUUGUCUUCCUAGGAAAACUCUCACUUUGUUCUGUGUUGUUUAUCUUUUGUAAAUUUGUACAUUAUGUCUCACGUCAUGUGACGGGUUAUGGAAUUUAUAGUUCGGUGUUUAUUUUUCUAUACGCAUACCAUAGUUUGAAGUUCUUCAAAAACCGUGGUGGAUGAAUCGUUUUCAAUUGACGAUUGGUUUCAGCGUGGUAAGCUGCUUCCUUAUUUCAGCUUUCAGAAUAAUGUCUUCAAAGAUGUGGAACGUUCCCCCAAUUCGGUGCCUCUUAUUGAUCCUAAGUAUAUUUCGAGGUGUUGCACUGAACAUGGUCGAAUCCUUACAGUUCCAGUAUAUUUCAAAUUUUCCUACGGGGAAGCCAUUGGUAGGUUGAUUGGGUUAAUACUGAGUUAAAACUUGUCAAUUAGUGUGCCACCUUGAAAAAGGCUAGGGUUUUAGAUGCAGUGUUGUUGACUAAGCAGCAAUUCAUUCGGUUAAAGCUCAAUUUCUUCUGCCACGUUGUCAGACGGUGGAACAUAAAGACUCAUAUUUUCGUUUGUGCAUAAAAAGAGUUUGCUUCGAUGUUGGAGGAUAUGGACAACCUCCUGCAUCUUCCUAUUGUGGGAAAUGUGGAACUAUUCUACUACGAUAUCCAUCGUGCAUAUGUUGAAGUUUUUAAUGUCUUAAAGAAAGGCGUUCCCACUUCACCAAGUAAGGCUCUUCGGUUCAACAAGUGGAUCAAGCAAUUAUGCUAGAAAAAUCAAGAGCCGAAUUGAAGGUUUGAGGCUAUGUUGUUUCUGUGGCUAGGCUUUUUAUCUUUUGUGAUAGCAAUGAUACCUUUAAUCGUCAAGUGAUCCCAUAGGCCUUGGCAAUCAUGUGUGGUCACGUACUUCCUUUAGCACAUUUAUUCCUUGGCCUUUUAUACCAUGAGUUGGAUGAGUUUCAUGUUCUGGAGGAACAAGUCAUCGGAAGCGCUUCGCUAAAGAGUUUCUAUGUGCCAGUAUUUUGCAGAUUUUCCUUUGGGAACACAUAAUAAAUUUGAAGAUUUGCCCUUACCUUUGCUACGUUGCUAAAAGUCGCUUUGUCAUCGAUUCUGUUUCUUAUGUGCCUAAGAGACUUCCACUAGCUUGCUGUUGGUUUGAAAAGAUACCUAAGAAUAAGUAGGAUUUUUUGGAACUACUAAAUGAUGUGAAUAACUUCGUUUUUCUUCCUUAUGUUACAAUCUCUAAAAGCUUCGAGUCUAUUAUGUUUUUCAUAGUGUCGUGUAUGGUGAGGAUGCUAGUGUGAAACUAAUCCCUUUGUUUGAGAAUUUGGAUUUUCCUUCCCUUACUGAGAAGUCCUUAGCUUUGUUGGCCUUGUCAGUGCCUUUCUUAGGAAAAGACAGUGAGGAAAAAAGUGCCAUUUAUGCUCAUUUUCGAGUUCGUCAACAAUUUGGCUUUGAACAUCGCGUUCCUUUAUUGUUUCCUUCUAUUGAUGUUGCUUACGUAAAGAAGCUAUUUUAGAGUUAUGUUUAUACCCUUUCCAAGCAUCUCUAUCCUUUCCACUAUAUUACCAAUCGGAACUAUGUGGGUGGUAUUUCCAAAGCUUUCUCCAUGUACUAGGGGAAAUGUUUCUCCGCCAUUGCUAAGUUUCAUGGUGACAAGCAACCAAGGCUACUUUAUGCCUUUCCAGCCAUUCACGGCUAGUGCCUAAUACCACGGCUACGAUUUCUGGCUUGAAGCGUCAUUGUCCUCCCACACCUGAAUAAGGGAAUGUCUUUGUUAACUCCUUCAGUAGCGUUAAGAAGAGCCGAACAUCUGGUGAUGGCUGAGGAAAACCUAAUAGGCAGGAGAAGAAGACGACCCUAGACAUGUUUCUUACCUCAAUUUUCUUAACUUGCUUUCCUUACUAUAUUUUUCUGAAAUUUCAGAUUUUGUGGGUUAGGUGGCAAGGUGACGCACUUUAAACCCAAAAUGGUGAAAGACGGCCCUUCAAGUAGCAGUAGAUCUAAUGCUUUUGGCACGCCUAGGAAAUAAAAAAGUUAUGGCACUUGGUGAAAUUGAAGACAUGUAAGAUUGUUUUCUGUUAUUUAUUUUCCUUCGAUGUUUCGCCAUUACUUGUUAACCACUUAUUUAGUUGUAGCCAAAGCUUUAGUGGCUCAUGCUGGUCUUGCUCGCAGGAUAAGAGGUGCUUAGGUUUCCGCGUCCUUCGAUACUUCUAAGCUUGGUGAGUACCUACAUGUCACCUAUGCGAGUGAAGAUGAACUAAACACUGGUGAUGUCGCUAAUGACAAGGUGGUCGGCGAGGAUCAGAAGGCUAAAGAAAGAAACAACACAAGUGCAGUAUCUGACUCGGGAAGAUGAAGGUAUCCUUGAUGUGUUAUAAACUAGCACUCAAAUUAAACCCUCUUAUUGACAAUUGUAGUAAAGAUGUAAGUAGGGAUCGUUCUAGGCUGGGGAUUAGGAGGGAUUGCUAAUCUACUUAAAACUGACGCAAAAAAUAAAACUAGGCUUGAAAACACUUAACUAGACUCAAAGAACUUGAAACAAACUAAAGAGACUCAAAACAACACAAAAUAAUCAAAUAGACUUAAACUAUACACUAAAGGGUGAUUUGGACGAAAAUUAAUUUUAACUUGACUCAAAACACUUAAAAACACAAGUUUGGACAAAUUCUAACUAAUUUGACACACUAAAGUAAAGGGGAUUGGGUUUUUGACGAAGUUAAAGUAAAGACAAGUAGAUUAAAGACUUAAACAAGUUUGGCACGAAAUUGGGGGAAAUUAUGGGUGAUUGGCUAGCUAGAGGGUCCUUUUUCACACAUGACACACUUGCAUACAAAUUGAUUUCCAGUUGCUUUUCCAAUAAACCAUGAAUCUUAACGCGCCAGAUUAACCGUGAAUAGCACUAAUUAACCCUCAGAUUUUCCUUAAAUCAUUGAAUUGGAUGGAUAACGCAUCGGCAACCAAAUUAAUAUUCAAUAGUUCCCUACAUGAACAACAUAAUAGAGAUACAAUAAAAGAUCAUUAAGCUUUAUGAAAAUCAUAAGCAUUGACAAGGCAUUCAUAACUAUGAACAACAUGAUACUCCUGCCAGGAAUUUACUUAACACGAUUGUGACUAGCAACCUCCACUACUUGUGAAUAUAAAUUCAUAACAAUUAGGUGAAACUUCCUUAUAUUCUAGCAUCAAAUUCAUGCAUGCAAACUAAGAUCAACAAACAAGAAUAAGUUUUGAAUUAAACAGUUAAGUAAAUUGCAUUCACGAUUUAUAAAAUCACAACUGGAAGUAAUCAAUUCAUAUUGCAAAUAUGUUCAUGGCUUUGAAUUCUCCUCUAGCUAAAAUGAGUUUAGCUCCUCAUGUUCGCAAAACAAAGAUAACUUAAAUUGAACAUUGAAAACAAAUGACAGAUUACACCUAAAAACGUUUCAGCAAUUCAACAAUCUUGAAUGGCAGGCAUGACUCCAAGUUAUCCUCCUUCUUCUUCUUUGAUGCGGCAAAGGUGUGGGAAUGAAUGGUUCUCUGGAUUGGAUGAUUGGUGUGAAGUGUGAUGAAGGAUGGGGUCGUACUAAAUGGUGCGGUACAAUGUUAUAUUUAAAGGGAAAGAUAGCUAAAACCCUAAUUAAUUUUGGAGACAGAUUUGUACACCAAAUCCUCAAAGAAAAGGGUAAUUAAAUGUCAGAAUCUAAGAGGAAAAAGGGUAAUAAGGGUGCGGCAAGGAAAAGAAAAGGGGAAAGGUGUUUGUCUUGCACGAUAAGGGAAAAGGAAAGGGAAAGGUGGUGCAGCAAGGAAAGAAGAUAGGACUAGGUCUUUUAGAAUCAUUAUUUUUAAGUGUCCUAAUAUAUUUAGAGAUCCUCCUUGUAGCUGGAAAUUAGGUGGUGUAGGAUUAAGAAAGGAUUAUGACAAAAUAAGGUAACUUGGUUAACAUUCCUUCUUUCUUGUUGAGCUUCCUUAUCUUCCUUGUUUUGAAUGUAUUUCCUUCAUCUCUUCAGCACAUUCCUAGCCUCUUUUGAUCUUCAAAUUCGUCCAUCCAUCUUGCUUCAUGCAUGUUUUAUCCAUUCCAAGCCCAAAACUGCUCCAAAUUGCACUUUCUUGCUACUUUAGCCAUUUGGACCUAUAAACACACGAAAAUAGCUUAAAAUACUAAAAUAACUAGAAACUAACAACAUAAAUGCAAGAAAACAAGCUAACUAAGUCGCAUAAAUGUGCUCCUAUCAAUCCUCAGGCUUCUUUUGGUAAAAGUGUAGAUGAUGAUGUCAGUGAAGAAGAACCAAGUGGUAAGAGUGGUGGCGAUGUUAAUUUUGAUGAGGUUGAUGGUUUUUUGAAUGAUGAUGUUCAAGUAAAUGUGGAGAAUGUAGAGGUAUUUCUCUUUUCCCUAUGGGUAUGUUUGUGCGGAUUUUGCAACGGUUGGUUCCCUUCUUGAUAUUUUGAUGAUUACCUGUUUGCAUAUGUGUAUAUGAAAUGGUUGAUCCUCACUUAGCAUACUUUCUCCAUAUUUUUGCAUGUGUGCAUGUAUGGGCUUGUUGGCUUAUUGAAGUUCUAUUUGGAUAAGUCUGGUGGGUUAUGAUAUCUCAUACUCAUGCCUGUUAAUUCACCCUUCAAGCUUUCCUUGCAGGUUGGUGGCUCAAAUGCAGUGGCUUCUUUUCCUGGGUUAAUGGUUAUAAGCGACAGUAUUUCUUCGGACGGUGCUUAGGCUUUGAUGAUUGGGCCUCAUUCGGUUGUCUUUUCUUUUGAAGAAUAAGCUUCGAUUGACGAAUAGGCAUCUUGGCAUGAGGCCUUUAGUACUCUUAAGGAUAAUAUCAUAAAUGGUGCCAGGGUGCUGAAUUAGAUCAAAUGGUUGCUUCCUCAAGGUGAAACCUUUUCAUCUCGCGUUGGUUUUAGAGGCACGAGGUCCGUUCCGGGCUAAUCUACGUCUUGGGCAAAUUCCUUGAGAAGGUUGGUGUGGAGUCCCAUAAUUUCUGAAUUGUAUACACCUUUUUCUUGUCGUGCUCAUUUGAUUAAACUUUUAGAUUUCUCUUUUUAUUUAAUCUUGCUUAAAGGGGAACAUUUUUAUUUAACUUAGGUUAGCUAAGUUUGGGUUGAAAUUAAUUUACUAUGAACCUUAUACAAUUGUUAUUAACUCAUUUGGACUAGGAAAGUAAGGUCAAAUGGCUUUCUUGGAGUGGUAAAGUUUGCCACAUAGUUCACUCACUAUGCCGACCCAAGGACACUAAUCUAAUCAUUAGCUUGUUUGGUGAAAAGUAUGUAGCUGAGGUGUUAUCACGUAGGGCUUUUAGGGUGCUUAGUAAGUACCUUAGGGUGAUGACGAUUGAAGCCUAGGUUGAUGACUAAUCAAGCCUAUAGCUAACGUGGAAUGGUGGAUUAGCAAUUGAAGUCAGUGGCGAAGCCACAGCAGGGCAAGGAGGGGCGGACUCCCCUCCGGUUGUCGGAAAUUCACAUGCAGAGCAAGGAAUCCCCCCCUUCGUUCGUCGAAAAGCCACAUAAAGAGCCAUGAUAUCGAUGGGCUGCUUAUUGCAGAGAAGGGCAACUUCUGCGCGAGGAAGAAGAACAAAAAAGAAAAGCUGUUUUAAAAAAAUCUUGGACCCCACGAUGUCAUUUCAACAUUCAUUUUAAAUGAAACGUUGCGUUUUGUUACUUUUUCUUCUAUCCUUCUUUUGUUGCUUUUCUCCGUUUUUUAUUUCCCAUUUUUUUCCUUCUAUCUUUCUUCCUUUUGACUUGGUUCCUUUGUUUUUGGUUAAAAGGUUUGGCUUGGUCUCGCUUUCUUUUGGUUUGAUCUUCUGAUUGGUCCCUAAUUAAACUUUAAAGACAUAGGUGCUUCAAUGAAUUUCCGAUGUGACUUUGAGGACUUGUUUCAUGUUUCAAAUAAUAGGAAAAUUAAUGAAAAUGAUUUGAAAACUUUUGAGUUUUAAUCAAAAGGACAAAAAUCUGUUGUAAGUGAAUAGUAUCAGGAGCGAUAUUUUACAGUAAAAAUGUCUUUAACGUUAAAAGUGAACAAUACCAGGAGUGUUUCAUUAAGACUCCCUAAUUUAAAUCCACCUAGGCUCCUGCCUAGGCACCUAGCUGCUAGGUUCGAGUCCGCUGUUUGACUAGCGCUUAACAUUUUUUAGGAUCUAAUCCUAGCCAAUUUAAGCUUUUUACAUUGGUUUUGACAUUAUUGCUUACAACCAUUUUUGUGGAGAGACUAUUUUAUGCUAUGAAUAGACUCAAAACUUUGCACUCUCCAAUGUGAAAGCAACCGUUUUGAGUGAACCUUGCACUCUUUUGAAUUUCGCCCCUCCCCUUAUUAAAUCAUGGCUUCGCCACUGAUUGAAGUUGAAACUUAUAACCAAUGAGAACAACUUUGCCACCUUAUUUAUGGUAUAAAUAGGAGCAAUGCUCCAUCUGUGUUUUCUUUACCUCUUGCAAAAUGCAAUACGCACCGUAUGUAGAAAGUAUGUAAGAGAGUGUUAAAGUAGAUAAGCAAAAGAAGUACUCGUGGAGUAAGAAGAGAGGAUUCGAGAUACGGGAAUCUGGGGAAUUAAUUGAUUGCAUUUGUUACUUGUAUUACGUGAAAUAUUCAUUUUCUCUUAUGUGGAAUGACAAUGUAAAUUAUUUUGUUUAAUGAAACAUUUUAGUUCAACAUAGUCAACUGCUACUACCUUUAAGUUACCCUUGUUAUUCAUGCUCUAAAAAAAUAAAAAAUUUAGAGUGUGACAGUUGGUGACGAGGAUGUGAGCUUGAUAGGCCUGUCUCCCUACAUGCGCGUGAUGGUGCUCGAGGAACUUAGGAUUCUGCUUUAUGACAUGGAACACUCUCCUUGUUAGGAGCCUUUGGAGCAUAUGAUACUGUGUUGGCAUGAUAUGAUCAGUUGAAGGAAUAAUUUGUGUAAACAAGUUCAUUUGAGAAAUAUCUAUGCAUGCAAUUAACAAUUAAAGGUGGAAUCAUGCUUGUAUGCACUAAAAAAAUAAAAUUUUACCCAUGAAAUUCAAGGUCUAGUAGUUGUGGUGAACCAAGACUCAACUCAAAUGUUAAAGAAAAGAGUUGAGAAACUUUUAUACAUGUGAAGCACCUCUUUGCUUAGCAAAGGAUAUUCACCUAUGUGAGGGCCUUCUUUCCUUAGUCUCCUUGCUCCUUGGCUCUAUGGAUGUGGAUGGAGGAACUUUGCUUCUUGGCUCCAUGACUUCUUGGAUAUGGAUGAAGGAAUGGAUUCUCCAAGUUCCCAAGAAAGGGAACCUCUAAGUUUCCACACCAAGGAGAGCGUUGAGGAAGAGAUGAGUGACCUAGGAACAGAUGGAUGCUAGUCCAUUCUUCCUAGGGUGGCCUGCCUCCUUAGAGAAGAGAGAUCUUUUUGUGUUUUUCUCUUUUCUCUCUAGAAAACCCUUAUGAAAGAAUGGGUUAUAAUUUCCUUUCUAUAGCCACUUACAUUGAGUGACAUAAUUGAAAUUAAAAACAAUUCUCCCUCACACUCUCUAUGGCUGACCAUGUGGGUUCAUUGGGCUUUCAUGCCCUUUGUGUUUUCAAGUUGUCAUACAACUUGAGUUAUUGGACUUGACAAUCGAAGCCCAUUGGGCCUUGAGGCCCAAAACUAACCCGAGGUCUAAAAUGAACUUAUUUGUUUGAUUAAUUCACAUAUUAAUUAAUCCUAGCCAUAAAUAAUUAAACAAUUUAAUAAUCCUUACUCAUCUCCGUUGUUUCUUCAAUCUUUACCUUACACGGUGUAUGAUCCUUUAGAUUUUUUUUAGCGAGGCAGUGGGUGAUUAGAACUCUUCAAAUCAAUUAUGAAUUGAAACUUACUUUUCAAUUCUCCCUUUAGUGAUUAUACACCUUUAGGGCUUCCGCAAACCAUGAGUGACACAUAACAGUAUGUCAUGGCUACCCAAGCUAAUCAGAAGAGGUGAAGAACCUAUUCAGUUUGAGAUUACAAUGCAAUACAAUCUUUCUCUAAUACAAUACUCUUGACCACAUUGUUUGAUUUGAUAGUUUAUUCAUGUCUACCAUUCAAUGUGAUUCUCUUACUUAUAUGAUUAGCUUGAAUGUGAUUUGGAACGAAUUCCUAAAUCUCAUUCAUACUCUGGCUAGAGAUUCUUAAUCAUAUCAUAGAGUAUUCUCCCUUAAACGGUUCAAAGGUUAGAGAUCCCUUGUUGUGCAUUCACUUGCCUCUAUGGCUAAGUGGCUUAACCCUAACUAUGCCGUGGACACCCUUUGACGGAGUGACUUUGACAUAGUCAAAGAUCAAGGACGUAACCAUAAGAUAACUAUGAUGCCUCAUGUCAAAUGACUACUUUGCAUUAUCCCAACCAUGAGUUUUCAUGUGACAUGAGUAUGAGAACUCCUUGUUGAUCGCGUUCAGUGGACUCAUUUUCUAUUGAAUACCUAUAUGCUUGUCUUGGUGUCAAUCACACCAAUGACUCGAGACCAGUCACUCUCUCUAAGAGAAGACAUAGCACGUACUAAUCUUAAUCGACUAUCAAUGCCUAAUUGGCAAUCCUAUGAUCAGGAACGUUUAAGAUAUGUAUACGAAAGUGAAUAGUCUCAUGAAUCUAACUUCUUUAAAUCAUGUUCUCCCAAUUACAUAUUCCUGAUAGGAGCAUAUUUAUGCAACUUAGUUAAGCUUAUUCUUGUGCAUUUAUGUUGUUAUUUCUUAGUUAAUUUAGUAUUUCAAGCCAUUUUCGUGUGUUUGUAGGUCCAAAGGGUUAAAGAGGCAAAAAAGUGCAUUUUGGAGCUUUUGGAGCAUUUUUGGGCAUGAAAUGGAUGGCAUAUGAAUGGAGGAAGGUAGAUGGAUGAAAUUAAGACCAAAAGAGGCUAGAAGUCAAGAGAAAUCAGAAAGGAAGCUUGGAAGACAAGGAAAGGCACAAUUCAACCUAUUCCUACAAAGAUGGCGCCUUGUCUCCCUUUGUCCCCUCCUUGUCCCUCAUUGUGCCGCAUUUCCCCUUGCCAUGUUUCCCUAUUCCUAAACCAUGUAAAACAUUUCCCUUUUUCCCUAGGAUACUUUGGGACACCUAAAUCCUAGCCCUAGUGAAUGCCGCACCAAAUAUCCCUUUCCCUUACACGGCAAGGGAUCCCACAUUUCCUAUUUUCCUUGCCACAUUCUACAUUCCCUUUCCCGUUGGAUUCUGAAUUUAAUUACCCUUUUUCCUUGAGGAUUUCGUGUACAAAUCCUUCUCCAAAUUUAAUUAGGUCGUUCCUUUCUCAUCCCUAUAAAUAUAAGCCUUUGCUGUAGCCUUCCACCAUCCAGAAAUACAUCCAUUCACUACCAUACACAAUUCCAGCCAUUCUUUCAUACUAAUCACCACUAAAACCUUCAUCCAACCUUGUGCCGCAACAAAGAGAAGAAGGAGGACCCUUGGAGUGUUUGCUAUUCAAAUUUGGAUUGCUGGAUCAUUCUUAGGUGUAAUCUAUCUUUUGAUUUCAAUGUUUAAGUUUGUUUAUCUUUGUUUUGUGAACAUGAGGAGCUAAACCCCUUAUAGUUAGGGGGAAUUUCGAAACCAUGAUUAUAUUUGCAUUAUGAAUUGAUUAAUUCCAAUUGUGAUUUCAUAAAGUGUGAAUGCAAUUUGCUUAACUGUUUUAUUCAAAACUUAUUCUUAGUAUGUUGAUUAAGAAGGCCUACUUAAUUUGCAUGCUUGAAUCUGAUGCUAUGAUAUAAAGGAGUUUCAUAUAAUCAUUACAAACUUAUAUUCACAAGUAGUGAAGGUCGCUGGCCACAAUCGCGUUAAGUUAAAUUCCUAGCAUGAGUAUCAUGAUGUCAUAGUUACAAAUGCUUUGUUAAUGCUUAUGAUUUUCAUAGAACUUAAUGACCUUUGAUUGUAUCUCUAUUAUGAUGUGCAUGUAGGGGACUAUUGAAGAAUGCUUUGGGUUGUCGAAUGAUGUCAUCCAAUCCAAUAACUAAAGGAAAAUAUGAGGGUUAAUUAGUGAUGGCACGGUUAAUCUAGGGCAUUGUCAUUCGUGGUUUAUCGAAAAAGCAACUGGAGAUUGAUUUGUAUGCAUGUGUGUUUUGUGUGGAGAAUGACCCUCUAGCUAGCCCAUUAUCCAUUCAAAUCACCAAAUUCGUCCAAAAUAUGUUUUAAGUCUUUAGUUACUUGUUUUUACUUCAAAAUCGUCCAAAAUUCAAUCCCCUUUACUUUAGUGUGUCAAAUUAGUUAGAAUCUGUCUUAGUUUGUCUUUUUAAGUGUUUUGAGUCAAGUUAAAAUCAAGUUUCAUCCAAAGUCAUUCCUAGUGUUUAGUUUGAGUCUAUCUAGUUGUUUUAAGUUGUUUUGAGUCAUUCUAGUUAGUUUUGAGUAUUUUCAGUCUGUUUUGAGUUUUUUGAGUCUAGUUUAGUGCUUUUAAGUUUAUUUUUAUGUUUUUGAGUCAGUUUAGAGUAGAUUAGCAAUCUCUCAUAAUCUCCGGUUUAGAACGAUCCCUACUUAUCCAUACUACAAUUGUCAAGAGGGUUUAAUUUGUGUGUUAAGUUAAUUUUUGCAUCAAUUCCAUGGACUUAUAGUUUAAGCAUAUAACAUUUAUAUGAGAUGACUUUAAACAAUAAUCUUUGUCCUUUAUAUUAAACUAGAUUAGUUUAACAUGUGAAAUGUUCGUAAAGUAUCAUCAUAUGAUUGGCUUUAAGACAUUUUUCCAACAUCAGUGACAUAGCGACCCUAGGAGUUCAUGUGAGUUCCUUAACCGAGAAUGUGGAGAAGUCUUGCGACAUCAUGUUUGGGCUCUGUCUUGAAACGGACAAGGGUAUCUUACGCUAAUUCAUUAAAGUGAGUGAACUAGAGCAAGUCAUUGAGCUGCAGCCCAAAGAGUUAGAGGCUAAAAAACUUAGGUUAAAGAAGAUAGUUCACGGGAGCUCGAAAGAGAUAGCGGUUUGCCUUCAACUUGCGGUGGAUCAGUUGCAUGCCAAUGCCUCCAGCAGUUCUCCACAGAUGUAACUCACUACGUUUUGGUUGUUAGCACUUUCCUGACACUUGGUUUCUUUUUCUUGGCAGAGCAUGAAUCCUAUGAUGUUGAAAUAUCAAACCAUGAAGAUUUUGUUUCGUUACUUUUUUUACCUUUUGAUGAAAUUUCCUUUUGAACAGCUUCAUCUAUUUCUUUAUGGUCUGAUGCACUUUUGUUGAUUGGACUUGGUGUGUUGAACACUUUAUUUCUCUUUUGAUUUGAAUAUUAACCCUUGAUAUUGAACUUUGCAUGAUGUUUGGGGUAUUUGAACUUGCAAUGAUAUCGGUAUUUAUUUUGUAUAUGUUGGAAUUUGUUGAAUGAAAUUUUGUUAGGCUUUGAGAUACAAGUUUGAGCUUUUACUAGCUUGGAAUGAAAUCUAUGAUGACUUCACCCUCAUCUCCCCAUUCUUUAGCUUGCGGCCGUGGUGUAUCAUAGCUUUGUGGCUUGGAGUAUUUGCACCAGAAAGUCUUUUCCAUACUUUCAGAAGGUUCCCAAACUGCCUAUGGUGGCUUGUGGGGUGCUACACGGGUGGUAUAUGUCAUCAUCUCCAAAACAUGUUAUAACAACUACUAUCUUUUUCCCUUGACGUUUUGGUAAGUGGUUAGUGUCAAUAGCUUGUGCAUUGCAAAUGUUCAUUCAUAGAUCUUUGCAUGAAUAAUUUUUCUUGGAGUUUGGCAUGCUAUAGAGGGGUGUCCUACAUAUUGGUGGUAACGACAGUACUUGAGAUCUUUCCUACCCCCUAGAAGGGGCUUUAUACAGUCUAGGUGGUUUGAUAGCUCCAUCUGUGAACAUGGAACUGAGGAUGGCCUGGAAUUCCUCAUCAUUGUAUGCUAGCGAAUGAUAGGUUUCCCUAUCUCCAUCUCUUUUCUUCUUUUUUAUCGAGGAUUGUAGUCAGAUCUGUCAUCCAUGGCUAAGGCAUGAUGAGUUUCAUUCUUGUCGAUUUUCCAGAAUCUCUAUAUGGAAAGCGUGACUAACAUGCUAGUCUUCCUUACUACCUUUAUUAGCCUUGAGAACUAGGCAAUACCAAUGUUAUCUAAGUAUACCCUGUAAUCAGUGACGAUGUUGCAGAUAUAAAUCUCCACGAGUGCUUCAUCGUCUUUCUCGUCGUAGUAGUCAAGGGUAAGAUCUCGGAAAUGCUUAAUAAAAAUCACAAGAUCUUCCCGUGUUUUUGGCGUGUGCUGUUGAGCUAAGUUGUCGUGACUUUUUCCUUAUGCUAGAAGUACUUUUUACAGAACUUGCCUGCCAACUCUUCCUAGGUUCGGAUGGAACUUAAUGCGAGGGUAGUGUACCAAGUAUAGGCACGGUUGAUUAAGCUAUUUGAGAACUUCCUAAGACGAAGGUUGUAGUCACCAGCAUGAAGACCCAAAGUGUCAAUGAAACAACUUAUAUGUUCGUUAAGGCUACCUUUCAUCCUGUAAAAAAAGACAAGGUUGAGAGUUUCGUAUCCCUUAGGAUAUGGCAUGUAGAGAAGGCUAACUGGGUAUAUCGGUUCAGGAACAUACUUCCAGUCUUUUGAACUCAUGUUCAACUUUUUUUCUAGCAUGACAAUAACGUUUUCUUGGGUAACAAAGGAUGGCAUCUUUUUAGAACCUUUGCCUGUAGCAACAACUGACUUUUCUUGGGAAAUAUUUUCCCUAGGCGUGCAACCUUUGUCAUUGGCUUUCUCAUUUGGCUUUGGGAUUGAGUUUUUCAGCUCCUUCACAUAUGCAACAAUCUUUUUUUGGGCUUCACCGAGAGCAUGGAUCACUGCAAUGAUGUCUAGCAUGGUAUACUCGUCCAGGUUUUCCUGACUUUCCUGGUGUUGGCUUUUGCGUUGAGACUUAUUGAGUCGGGAAACAGCCUCGCCUACCUCUGAGGCGUUGCCACUCCUAGUUGUGUUUCUUUUGGACCUUGGAGCCAUUGAAUCAAAGAUUGUGACAUGUCCUUAGUGAAGUCGCCAAUUUAUGUUGGGGAAUUUUUAGGUCAAGGCGGACUUGGGCUUUGAGAACGUCAAUUGUCUCCCUUGGUUUGGUUUCGUACCAAGUCCUGGAAUAUCUCGAAAGAAUUAGCUUGUCUUAGGAAAUAUCCUAGUUAGAUCAAUGACUCAAAGAUUAGCAUGAUUAGCAUGAUUAAGUAAAUAAUGGCUUGCUCAAGUGAGACAUGGUGUGGAAGCUAGAAGUUCAUCCAUUUUGCAUAGAAAUUCAUCAACUGAGGUAUGGUGUGGAAGGUGUGGAAGCUAGAAGUUCAUCAAUUUUGCAUAGAAGUUCAUCAACUAAGGCAUGGUGUGGAAGCUAGAAGUUCAUCAAGUGAGGAAUGAUUCAUUCCCAAGGAAUAUCUAGUUAUGACUUGUUUCUUAAUCCCCAUUCUCCCUAGUUCUUCUGUUACCCUCUAUUUCGGUGCAAAAUGGCUAGGUGUUGCCAACCUGUGAAACCUGCAUCAUGCCUCCAUCCCAAGGCACUGCUUUCUCGAGUCAACUUCCUAAGGGCACUACUUUUGGUAAUGCACCUUAUGGCUUUCAAACGUUGAACUUCUGCAUAAGCUGGACAGGGGAAGUCAACCUUUGUCUUCAUUAAAUGCUGGUUUUGCUAAACUUUCAAGUGGCUUAAAGCUAAGAUUUGGUUUCUUUCUAAUCGGAUUGGUUAGCUUGCUAGGGAAAUGGGUAAACUAAUUGCUAGGGAAACGGAUAAACUAAGUCUAUUCUCUCUCAAUGCUUGCCUAUGUGGGCUACAAGGGUUAUGAACUUGGAUUUUUGGGCCCCUAAGCAGCCAAAAGUCCUCCAUAAUCUUGACUCCACAUGGGUCCAAUAAACUUCUGUAACCAUCCACGCUAUAAUUCACUUGACAAGCUCGAGUAUGUGACUUGGGUUUAUUUUAGCAUGACGAAUAGGUAUGUGCAUGGCGUGAUUAAUAUAAAUUCCGGUUUAAUAACCGUAGCAUGGCAUGAUUGUGAACAUAUUCCUUUCUUGAUCUCGCAUCUUUACAUGUACAUGGGCUUGACUUGGGACUCGCGUGAAAAUUGGCCUUCGAGACUAGGUUAGGCCUGCUCAAGACAUUUUUUGGGGCCUCAACAAACAUUUUUUGUGUUAGUGAAAUCACAAACAUGUCCAUGGGGAUAUUAGUUUAUGUCACCACUUAACACUUGUAACUUAAUAGAUGUCCAAUUUUCAAAAUAUUAGGUAGAUAUUUGAAAUGUUUUUAAAAGGUUAACAUAUCCAUGUACAUAUCGUACAUGACACACCCUGUUCUGAAGGAGGGCAUGCUGGCCGUCACGUGAAAGUGAUGUAACCAUUUAUACAGUUCGGAAGCUUUAAGAUACAAUUACUAAGAUGUAACACCCGAGGGUGAGUCAUACUUUUGUGAAUUCUAUCAGAACACCGUUGGAUUCCUCGUGGCCACCAAAGCUCUGCUAUCUUGAACUUGGAGGGGGCAAAACAAAGUUGAGUGGGUUAGUAAAACAAAGUUUUUCGAAAAUCAUCUCAUUAUCAAAACGCUAACCCUCGUUGUAAAACCCAUAUACUUUCCCAGAAAUAUGUAAUACGUAUACUUGUCUCAAAACCAUACUCAGAAGUAGUGAUAUGUGAAUUAUAUGCCAUGCCAAAAUAUAUAUAUAUAUAUAUAUAUAUAUCUCAUCAAAUCAUAUAAGUAACUCAUGCCAAACAAUAUGUUAACCGGAUCCACUUAUAGUGGCCUGUACGGCUGAAUCUAUAGCUCAUAAUCAAUCUCAUCAAUCUUAUCUAGCCGGAGUCAUUGCAAGUGACCUGUAUGGUACUACACUGCACACAAUUCGGAACCCUUGAAAAUGUCUGUGCGACUAAAUUGGGUGAAAUAUAGUUAUGCUCACGCUAUCCUCUUCUGAUAGCUCUACGAUAAAUCGCUAGUCACCUACAAGUCGGAACCACCUCUAAUGGUCUGUACGACAUGCACCUAAAUUGGAUCCAAUUGUGAGCAUAUGGUGCGGGGGUGACUAUAUAUAUACAGGCCUGAAUCAUCUCUACUAAAUCACAAUCACCCUAGUGCAGGUUUAUAAGCUUUCAAUCAUAUCAACUCAACAAUUACAUAAUUUAAUUUAUGAACUUACCUGACACUUACCUGUGCAUCCGCAGCACUAAUCAUGCAUGUAUGCAAUUACUAAUGCAUAAAUAAUUAGGCAUAUAUUUUGCAUGACAUUUCAUAUUGCAUUUCAUAUCACAUUUCACUUAAAUUGAUUUCCUGGGAAAAAUCUUGUUUAUAUAGGUAUAUACGGAAAACAAAACUGCCCACUCACCUGGAGUUCGCCCUACAACUCCCUAGCACAACACAUCAAGGUGUCAUGACGAUCGGCGCCUAGAAUAAUCAUCAAAUCAAACCUCAGAAAUCAUAUCGAUAGAAUAUAUAACUUAUAUAAAACACAUCACUAUGUAGUUCGAUCCGGAAGAUCUGCACCUCAGAUUAUCAAUCCAUAACUUCCAGAGGUCCACAAUAUAUCUCUAGAACAACAUCCUAAAAUUUCCUUACCAUCUAACGGUCGGAUCUCCGUCAAUUGUCAACACCAAGUGACGGUUAACAUUCUAUUUUAUGAACUUACAACUCCAAUUCUGGAAGAUCCGUAAAUCGGAUUCCCAAUCCGUAAGUUCCUAUAAUCCUCAAAUAUUACGUAUUACAACGUAUCAAAGUUUGGUGAUGAUCCAACGGUCGGAUCAUCAAUUCAUAUUUUCACCUAACCACGAAUCGUAACGAACUUAGGUUCAAUUACUCAAUUUACGUCAAUCAAUUAUCAAAACUGAACCUAGAACAUUAAACACAUGCUAAGAAUGAUAUUGGCCGGCCACUGGCCACGCGCCGCCGUAUGGGCCGCCUUGGCUCGCCGGAAAAUCCAACUAUCUCCAAAAAUUACCAAAAGUUACAGAAAUUAAGAUCUCAAUGAGUAGAGUAAACUUUAUACCUGAGGCCAAGACCAAUUUGGCAUGGAAAGGCUCCAAUUUUCUCAAACCCGUGCGAAACCCUAGAAUUAGGUGAGUUCCAAUUCGUCCUCAAAUCAUCUCCGCCGUCCCAACCAAUGCUUGGGCUUUUUUCUAGGCCUUAGGAGGAAGCUGGGGGUGGUAGUGAUUGGAAGAAAUUGCUUCAAAAACUGGAGGAUUUCGAACACAAACUCGCGGCACCCACGGGUGCGUUUUUCACCAUACCAACACCAAAUUUCAAGAUUUUUGGGGUGAAACAUGAAGAGGGAAGGUCUAGGUGUUGAUUGGGAGUGGUACCUUGAUCCAAUUUGUGAGAAAUCCGGUGAAAAUCGUCAGAAAAAUAGAUAUGGCUGCACGGGUACACGGGUUGGGGAAAACCCGUUUCUUCCUUUAUUCCCCUGCUUCUCUCCUUUCUCCUUUCCCUCCUUUCUUGCUUUUUGGAUUGGUCUAGCCCCUCUCACUCAUCUCCCUAUUCGGCCUCUUCUUCUUCUUCUCCGAUUGGGCAGCUUUGCCCAAUCUCUCUUUUUCUCUUUUUCUCUUUUUCCUCUGUUUCCUGUCCUCCUGAUGCCUUCCUCUUUCUUUUCCCAUUUCUAAUUCUAAUAACAACUAAUAAAAUAAUAAUACUUAUAAAUAUAUAUAUAUAUAUAUAUAUAUAUUUAUAUUAACCAAAGUAAAAGUAUUUCUCAGGUUAGAGCUCCGUAAAAUUUUAACCGUAACUUCAAAUCACGAACCGUCUGCGCCCACGCUUAUGUAGCGACGAGUACUACGAGGAUAUGACAAGAAAAUAAAUCUUAGAUGGCACGACACAACGAUUAACCUCGAAUAAGAUGCGUGCCUCAAAGGGCAUUUUUGUAAAAUCCUUUAUUAAAACUUUAAAAACUCUUAAAAUCAGGGACCGGCUGUGAUAGUACAAAUAUCGACGAUAAUAUCGGAAAAUAUCGAUGUCGAUAAUUUCGCUCACACUUCAGCAAUAUUUUGUCAAAAUAUCGGUGUAAUAUCGCUAAAAUAUCGAAAAUAUCGAUGUAAAGGAAGAAAAAAAGGGAAAAAAGGGAUGGAAAAAAAACACAAAAGGGAUUUGAACCCCUUCUAUUUUACUCCUCCAACACCGUAACCACCAUAUAUCACUUAUGUUGUAGUGAUAAUAUGCUAAAAUAUUUAUGUUUAUAUGAGUGGCAUGUUAACAAUUACAUGCAAAACUAUUUUGGGGAUUUAUCAUUUCAUGAAUACUCUUCACAAUAAACUUACUCUACACAUAGAGAUGAUGAAGAUAAUGAAAAUUUGGAACCUCAUAGGAACUUUAUGUGGCACUAAAUCACUCAUGUAUCUUACCAUGCAAUGUAUAAAGUGUAAAAUAUUGUAGUAAAUCAUUAUAUAUAAAUGAUUAUGGUGUGUUUAAUCUUUUUUUCGUUAAUUACUACAUAUUUUCUAUAUUCACAGUGUUUGCCAGCUCGCUGUAUAAUCAACUUAAAUCAGUUAAAUCCAUGCAUUUUCUUCUAAUUUUGUUUGAUAAACUAAUAGAUAAUUGACAAAAUAAACAUUCUCCAAAGUUUCAAUAAAAAUUUCCAAGUUUUUCUUACAAUUUCCAUGGUUUUUAUCAAUUUUUAUCGAUAUCGAUAAUAUCCCGAUAUUUCUAUUGAAAUUUUCAUGUUUUUGAACAUAUUUAUGAUAUCAUUGAUAUUUUAUACCAUGAUCGAGGCCUAUCCUACAUUUUUGAUAUUUUCAAUCCAAGCCCAAUUCAUAGAUCUCUAGAUUUUAUUCUUCCGUUUUCAAUCCAAGCCUAUCCUUCUGAAAACAACCUCUGUUUGCUUUCCCCUUCCUUCCAACUUCUAACCAAAACCCAAAUCCGAACGCAUCACACAAACCCAAAAGCUUGACCUUCUAAUCAUUAAUAGCUCCAAUUUUUUUUCUUUUUUAUAUAUAUUUUGCAUUCAAUCAUUAAUAGUGAUCACAAACAAACCAGGAUUUGAUCAAGCCUCACGAUCUUCAAUCGAUCAAUCCUCAACCGUCUGAUUUGAUGACUCCGGCGUUGGCAUUCGCCGGCGUUACUGGAGACCAGAGCUCCGGUGCACCCCCAUCAGCAGCAACAAGCAAACCUCAAUAUCGGUCAGAUUUCUCGGCCCUUCUCGUUUGAUUAAACUGGGUUUUCGUUGCCAGAUCAGUCCGAGCAAUAUUAAAGUUUGUCAAGCACCAUGGACUCGUCAAAUUUCGGGGAUGUACCUUCGAAUUCGAAGGAGUUAAACUCCAGUUUUAGCUUCAAUACCCCGCCCGUUUCGCGGCAGGGGUCGGGGCUUUCGAGGCCAAGGCUUGUGAAGGUGAGGAGGGGCUCGGCCUUUCAGGUUAUGAAGCCGGCAGCCUCCCAGGAAACGGAGUUUUGUCCCGGAUUUAAUCCGUUUCGAACGUCUUGCAGAGUUGGAAUCCAGUCUCAUCCGGGGCGGAAGCCGGAACUUCAGCUUCUGGGACAUUUGGGACCACUAAGACUGGGAACGAGGCAAAAUUGUUUAGGGCGGAUAGGAUUGAUCCGACUGUGAAUUCGGGGAAAUGGGAUACUAGGGGAGGUUUGGGGAAAGGAGUGAUUGAUGAGAUGAGGAAUUUGAAAAUUGGGAGCGGCAAUGAGUUUUUGAAUACCAAAGUGGGUUUCACUUUUAAUGCAAGAAGGUUGAAUUCAGCUCCGGGAUUGGAUAAAGGUGGUUUCGUUUUUGGAAAUGGUAAUAAGAAGAAUUCUAGUAUUGAUGAAAGCAUUGUGUCAAAGCUUCCCAAGGAUGUGGGGAAAUUGAACAUUGAAGGUGCUGAGAAGCGUGAAUCUGUCGAGGCAGGUAAGGAUCAAAAGUUUAAUUUCAAUGCUAAUGAUAAGACCAAGUUUGGGUCGGGUAGUAUUGACAAUGUGGGUGGUUCUUUGGGCCCAAACGUGGAAUCAGAACUACCAAAUGAGUUGAAGAAGAGAUUGAACAUUAAAGAGACCGUGCAGCUGGAUCGAAGUACUGACUGGCCUUCUGCCGAUGAUGUGAAUAAGUUUGUCUUUGGAAAUAGUAAAACGAUAGUUAUUCAUUAGCCGGAACCUCAGAAAAUGUACUUCCAGAUAAGAUGAACAAUCUGAACAUAAAGGAUACUUUUGAUGGAAGAAAAGGUAUUCUUCUGUCAUUUAAUCUACUUAACAACAAUUUGGUAACUUGUUCAGUACCUACAGUUUCAAAUAAUCUUAUUCUUAUUGAUGUAGAUCUGGCUAUGGCUACAGAACGUCUGGAUAUAAAUGAAGUUGAUGCAACAAACAGGGAAGCAAAAGAGGGCAGUUUUGAGUACCGUCACAAUGGUAGUGUUGAUGCUGAAGGCACUCUUGAAGGAUCUAUGUCCCAGGUUGAAACUGAAAGCUUUAAGUCUACAGCUGAGGAGUUAGACUUUAAUGGUGAUAACUCUCAUACUUCGGCAGAAAUUGAAGCCAGUUCAGGCUCAUACUUGGAGAGCCAUGAUACUGAUGGAAGGAUACACAUUGCUUUCCCUUCAUGGUCAGACAAUAGAAGUGGGUCUAACUUCUCCUUUGCUGCCUCUUCUGCUGCUCAAAGUCAAGUAUCUGCAUCAAAACGCCUCCAGAAAAAGAAAAUUCUGGUAAAAGCGGGUCCAGAUACCAAUACUGUAGUUCCAAAUGUUAAGAUUCCAUAUGCAUCAUCUUCUUCACAGUUUUUGCCCUAUUCUGGCACUUCAGCACAUUUGUCACUGGGACAUUAUCAGAAAAUAGAGUCAUCUAACCCACAACGCAGACAUGGAGAUAAUUCUGGAGUGCGUAAGGAACAGGAGUUGAAGCAAGAGACUACUUCUUUCUCUGCUGAAGCAGCCGCAGCUCAGGAAGCAUUUGAAAAGUUGCGACUAAGGUCAGAACUUAUAAUAACUUUAGUCAUCUUUGUCUAUGUUUAAACUCAUUGUAUGACGUUCCUUUUAGUUAUAUUUGGGCCUCUGUGUGGAGUAAUAUACCUCUGAGCUAAAGAGUAGCUUCUUUUUGUUGAAUGUGAAACAUUUCCAGGGGAAACCAAGCUUACUCUAAUGGGGAUCUGUCUAAAGCUGAGGACUGCUAUACACAAUGAGUGAAUUGUGUUUCUAGAAAUGAGACAUCUAGAAGCUGUCUUAGGGUAUUAAUGCUAUGCUAUAGCAACUGUGCAGCAACACGUAUGACUCUUGGAAGAAUAAGAGAUGCACUUGGGGACUGUAUGAUGGCUGCUGCAAUUGAUCCCAACUUCCUUAAUGUGCAGGUUAGAGCUUCCAAGUAAGUAUCUCUUUACUAUUUGAUAAUUUUUCUUUGGAAUUUCCGUUAUGAACUUCUGCACUAAUGCAGCUUCAUUUUUCAUUCAUCUAAAUUUCGGACAUAAAAUCGGAUGAGUUAUGCAAACAUCUCAUGAGAUCUAGUGCGUUUUUACUGACAGUUCACUUUUGGAAUAACCCAACCACCUGAAAUUUAUAUAUAUUUGGGAAAAUUUAUAACAAGUCAAAUAAUGGACUUUACAAUAUUUAAACGACUCUUGCUAUAAUUCUUGGUUAAUUUUGAAUAUACUUGAUUGCUAGACUUUUGUAGUUGUCACUACAUUUGCAAUAUUGAGUAGUUGUUCUUGGAUUUGGAUUGUAUGGUUCUAAAUAAGAUAUUUUACUGGCACUCAAAUUUCCACUUUUCAUAAUUUGCAUCUGUUGUUCUGCUAGUUUUGUGAUUAGUCAUAUUUGAUUUCCUAUUGAAUGCGCCUUGUCGCUUUAAUAUUUGAGUUCGGGCAUAGAAGUUCUGCGUCACAAAUCCGUAAUUGCUUUUAUUUUCAUAUAAUAACAUAAGCUUCCCUCAUUGCAUCUCUUCUUAAAAUUGUUAAAGCUGUUAUCUUGCUCUUGGGGAAGUUGAAGGUGCUUCACAACAUUUUAGGAGGUGCCUGCAAUAGUAAAUGAUGUCUAUGUGGACCGAAAGAUUGCAGUAGAAGCCUCUGAUGGCUUACAAAACGCACAGGUAGUAUAAUUUAUUAAAAACUAGUCUUUACUGCUUUUUAUGGGAUUCGGCCAGUAGUCUUCAUUUAACAAAACACAUAAAUUCUUAAUUGUACGUUGUGUUCAUGAAUUUGGUUUCACCCAGUGUGUGUGGGAUAGAGAGAGGGAAGCUAGCCAAAUGUGGGAUUCCAUGGCUAGUUGUAUUCGAAAAGUAGCAAAAGAGGUAUUAGGAGAGUCCAAAGGUUUUGCCCCACACCAAAAGGAAUCUUGGUGGUGGAAUGAGGAGGUACAAACAAAGGUGAAGGCUAAGAAGGAAUGUUGUAAAGCCUUAUACAAGGAUAGGACCGAUGAAAAUGGUGAAAGGUAUAGAAAAGCGAAGCAAGAAGCGAAGAAAGCUGUGAGAGAAGCUAAGUUAGCGGCUUAUGACGAUAUGUAUAAGCGACUAGAUACCAAAGAAGGAGAGUUGGAUAUCUAUAAAUUAGCUAGAGCAAGGGAAAAGAAGACAAAGGACCUAAACCAAGUGAGGUGCAUCAAGGAUGAGGAUGGAAAGGUUCUUGCUACAGAGAACGCGGUUAAAGACAGAUGGAAAGGUUAUUUUCAUAAUCUUUUCAAUGAAGGACAUGAAAGGAGUGCUUCUUUAGGGGAGUUGAGUAACUCAGAAGAGUGUAGAAACUACUCUUUUUAUCGUAGAAUCCGGAAGGAAGAAGUGGUUGUAGCUUUGAAGAAGAUGAAGCAUAGAAAAGCAGUAGGCCCAGACGAUAUACCAAUCGAAGUGUGGAAAGUUUUGGGAGAGACAGGUAUAACAUGGCUCACUGACCUUUUCAAUAGGAUUUUGAAAACGAAGAAGAUGCCAAAUGAGUGGCGAACGAGCACUUUGGUGCCUAUCUACAAGAAUAAGGGUGACGUACAAAAUUGCAUGAACUAUAGGGGUAUUAAGCUAAUGAGUCAUACAAUGAAGCUCUGGGAGAGAGUCAUUGAGCAUAGAUUGAGGCAAGAGACACGGGUUUCGGACAACCAAUUCGGGUUCAUGCCAGGGCGCUCAACCAUGGAGGCAAUCUAUCUCUUACGAAGAUUGAUGGAAAGAUAUAGAGAUGGGAAAAAGGAUUUACACACAUGGUCUUUAUAGAUUUGGAAAAAGCGUAUGAUAGGGUCCCAAGAGACAUUCUUUGGAGGAUUUUAGAGAAGAAAGGAGUACGAGUAGCAUAUAUCCAAGCUAUAAAGGAUAUGUAUGAAGGAGCAAAGACUGCCGUAAGAACUCAUGAAGGACAAAACCGAAAGCUUUCCCAUAACUGUAGGAUUACAUCAAGGCUCAUCCUUAAGUCCUUACCUUUUUGCGUUGGUAAUGGAUGAGUUAACAGGACAUAUUCAAGAUGAUAUUCCUUGGUGUAUGCUUUUCGCAGACGAUAUAGUGUUGAUAGAUGAAACUCAGGAAGGGGUAAAUGCAAAGCUUAACCUUUGGAGAGAAGUGUUGGAAUCUAAAGGUCUUCGCCUAAGCCGAUCAAAGACAGAAUAAUAUGGAGUGCAAGUUCAGUGCAAAUGGAGGCCAAAACGAGUUAGGGGUGAGGAUCGGAGAUCAAGAAAAUACCAAAGAGCGACCGUUUUCGUUUACCUAGGAUCUAUCUUGCAAAAGAACGGAGAAUUAGAUGGAGAUCUCAACCAUAGAAUACAAGCUGGAUGGAUGAAGUGGAAGAGUGCAUCCGGCGUGUUGUGUGACCGCCGUAUGCCACUGAAGCUCAAGGGAAAAAUUUUAUAGGACGGCAAUAAGGCCAGCGAUGCUGUAUGGCACAGAAUGUUGGGCGGUGAAGCAUCAACACAUACACAAAAUGGGUGUAGCGGAGAUGAGGAUGCUUCGUUGGAUGUGUGGGCACACGAGAAAGGAUAAGAUUAAGAAUGAGGAUAUCCGGGGUAAAGUAGGAGUAGCCGAAAUUGAAGGCAAGAUGAGAGAAAAUCGGUUACGGUGGUUAGGACAUGUGCAACGAAGGCCUACUGACGCUCCGAUUAGAAGAUGCGACUAUGGGACAGAGGUUCAGGGCCGAAGGGGUAGAGGAAGACCUAGGAAAAAACUUUGGAAGAGACUCUAAGAAAAGACUUAGAGUACUUGGAUCUAACGAAGGACAUGACACAGGACCGAGCACAAUGGCGUUCUAAGAUUCAUAUAGCCGAUCCCACUCAGUGACUUGGAUUUUCCAAGUCUCCAAUCGAGAAGUUUUCCUCACUCGGGAAAUUAAGGGAACACUACCCCAACCCUACAUGCUCCACUCAGAAAGCUUCAACAUACAAGCUUCAACAAAAGAAAAUUCAAAGAACUUAGCGAAGAAGGUUUUGGUGUAUUUAACACAAUACGUUGAAAUGAAGGAAAACUUAUUUAUUGAUAUCCCCGAUAAGCUACAAAUGUGUACAUAUACAUGAGUCAAAAUAAACAAACAAGAGGGAGCCUUCACAAGGGUUGCUUAGGAGAAGUCUCAGCAGUCGGUAGAGAGCCCAGAAAGAGAAGGCACCGGAGGGGGGAUCAUUCGGAACCUCAGUACUGGACAGAACCCUAGAAGGAGGAGGCAUCAGAGGUUGAUUAUUUGGAGCUUCAUUACGCGGUACAGCCCCAGAAGACGAAGGCAAUAAAUGCCUUUGGAACAAACCCACAAAUCUCUGAUGAUCAAGUAAAACCUGACCAUCAGUUUCCUUCAUCUGGUCAAGCUUCCUUCUUUCAUGUUUGUAGCAUAGUCAUGUGCGAGCCGGUGCAACUGUUUAUUCUCAUGCUUGAGCCCUCUAAUCUCCUGUUUGAGACUCAUCACCUCAGCCGCCAAUGAUUCAACUUGGCGGGUUUCGAGCAAAUAGGCGUUGGGCCAUAUUAGACACAGAACUUGCACACUGAACACUGAGAGCCAGCGAAUCCUUAACAGCUAACUCAUCAGACCGUUUGGAAAGUAGUCUGUUAUCUUUGGGAGUGAGAAGGUUCCUGGCCACCACCGCAGCAGUCAUAUCAUUCUUCAUCACGGAAUCCCCAACGGUAAGAGGACCAGUAGGGGAGACGAAGGAUGGGCGCCAUAUGUUGUCUGGAGAAGGCGGGGCUGCCUCUUCAACAAGGUUCAAGUCAAAACGACGGUCGGAGGGGCCAGACAUUUUCAAAGGUGUUGAAGAGAGAAGAGGUUGGACAAAUCAAGAUCUUAGAAGUGCAAGAAUGGAGCUUCUACUGGUGGAGAUUCAAGUGUGCUUUGGAACUUAAUGCCAGCCCCUAUAAAAAUCUGCACUCGACGGAUCUUCAGAAAUCGAAGAGGCGCCUGCUCAGAAAUCGAAGAGGCGUUUGCUUUCUCAAAAGCUGGGCUGCUUAGAGACCACGAGGGUUGAUCUCAGAAAUCGAAGAGGCGUUUGCUUUCUCAAAAGUUAGGCUGCUCAAAGACCACGAAGGCCGAUCUCAGAAAUCGAAGAGGCGCUCGCUUUCUCAAAAGCUGGGCUCCUCAGAGACCACGAGGGCCGAUCUCAGAAAUCGAAGAGGCACCUACUUUUCCAGCCUUGUCAGCACCUGUCACACGCACACUCAGCUUUGCGGAAAUAAUGGGCAUUCUGUCGAAGACUUCUGAGGAAGUAGAAAACACAUGAAUCUUACUGUUCAAUCACCCACUUCCCACACGCAACACUAGCUCAUGGGUACCACAGAUAACUUUGCCAAAGUUCUCUGCCAAAAUUGAGCACGUAAAGCUUGCAGCUCCCACUACAUCGCUCUGACCAAGAAAGGUAAAAGAAUAGCAAAGAAACAGUACUAACAAAGUUUAGACCCAUAAAUUUUGAAGGUCUAGCUACCAUAUUAUUACCCACAAAGGGUAAAGGAACAGUACCACUGCUGGAUAAUUGGAAAGUCCCUGUGUGUCAACCUCUGUGCUUCGUGGCAAGGUAGACUAGUAAACAUGCCCAACCUUUACUCACACUCGAGAAAACACUACCAAUAAGAUUGCUUGCUCCCAAAAUCGAAGAGGCACCGUCCUCCGAAUCUCGAGAGCCAGACUCCUAACAUGACUACUUUCUCAAAAAUCGAAGAGAGGGUAAAGGAACAGUACCAUUGCUGGAUAAUUGGAAAAUCCCUGUGUGUCAACCUCUGUGCUUCGUGGCAAGGUAGACUAGCAAACAUGCCCAACCUUUACUCACAUUCGAGAAAACACUCCCAACAAGAUUGCUUGCUCCAAAAUCGAAGAGGCACCGCCCUCCCGAAUCUCGAGAGCCAGACUCCCAACAUGAUUACUUUCUCAAAAAUCGAAGUGACACUGCUCCCCGAAUCUCGAGAGCCAGACCCCCAUCAUGAUUGCUUUCUUAAAAAUCGAAGAUGCAUCGUUCUCCGAAUCAAUCGAAGAGACGCUCGCUUUCUCAAAAGCUGGGCUGCUCAGAGACCACGAGGGCCGAUCUCAGAAAUCGAAGAGGCACCUACUUUUCUAGCCUUGUCAGCACCUGUCACACGCACACUCAGCUUUGCGGAAAUUAUGGGUAUUUCUGUCGAAGACUUCUCGAGAGCACAAACCACUUUUUCAAAGUGCUCUGACAGAGUUAAAACAUGUGAAGCUGGCAGCUCCCACUACCGUGCUAUGACCAAGCAGGGUAAAGGAAUAGCAUUACUACUUGUUGUUAGGGAGACUCCUAUAUAUGUCGACCUCCAUCCCCAACGGACAGGCAGACCUGCAAAAAUGUUCAACCCUUCCUCAUAUUUGAGAGGGCACUCCCAACGAAGCCUUUCGAAAUAUUCAGCUUUCUUUCCCCCCGAUAAUACCUUUGCAAACAAGCUAUACUAGAGCAAGAAUAUCUCAUAUCAUCAGGGUUAAAAGCAAGAGUAUCCCAUAUCAUGCUUUUUCCCUGUCUUUUCCUUUGGCCUUGUUGUUACCUGCAAGACAAGGAGAAAGAGAGCAAUCAGUCAGCACUUGGAAUCAAGCUUCCAGCCAGGAACUGACUGCCUGGAACCCCUUACCUGAUUACUUACCUGGCAUUGCUCUCGAGUACUCAUCUUCAACAUCUUAUGUUUCCAGGGAAGAUACCGCAUCUGCUUGAGGAACAGAUAGGGCAAGUGCGAAGGAUACAAGGAAGCAUGUGGAGACAAGCGUAACAGCACACGUGCCGAUACAUCCAUUACUCUGUCAAAAGCAAAAGUAUCCCAUAUCAGCAGGGUCGAACGUACUCUAGAUUUGAUGGACUUGUUUUGACCCUCAAAUUCUUCAGUCGGCUCUGGAGGAAAACCAGAAAACCCUCCAGCUCAGUUCAAGAAUAAGCCUGUGGAAAGUUACUUCUUCAAAAGCAAAAGUAUCCCAUAUCAUCUCUUCUCAUCUUUCUUCUCUUUAUCCUUCAUGCUGCUGCAAGAUGGGGAGAAGGUGAACAAUCAGCCGGAGCUCUGAUUGCUUACCUUGUCUGUCACCUCUUUCAGCAGAUCCCCUAGCUCGGCGACUUGGGAGACUCCUACUACAUGGUUUGUAUUGCGCUUGACCAAGCCUGAAACUACAAGUAAGCUUCAAGUGAAAUUGAUACAUUACCUUGUGCAUCUCCACCAGUUAAAGAUACCACCCCUGGAUGGAGGAAGAGUACUUCCAGAGAAGAUGCCACAUCUACCUAUGAGACAGAUAAGGCAAGUCAAGACGAUACCACACUCCGAUACUUAGAAGUUUCGUGAUUACGAGAUCAUUCUCUCACAAUAUUUCCUAAUGUCAUUUGUACUAAAUCAUUCACUUGUACUCACUAAAGGAGAGCUUGAACCUAUGUACUUGUGUAAACCCUUCACAAUUAAUGAGAACUCUUCUAUUCCGUGGACGUAGCCAAUCUGGGUGAACCACGUACAUCUUGUGUUUGCUUUCCUAUCUCUAUUCAUUUAUAUACUUAUCCACACUAAUGACCGGAGCAAUCUAGCGAAGAUCACAAAAAGCGACCGUUUUUGCUGCCUAGGAUCUAUCUUGCAAGAGAACGGAGAAUUAGAUGGAGAUCUCAACCAUAGAAUACGACCUGGACGGAUGAAGUGUAAGAGUGCAUCCGGCGUGUUAUGUGACCGUCGUAGGCCACUGAAGCUCAAGGGAAAAUUUUAUAGGACGACAAUAAGGCCAACGAUGUUGUAUGGCACAGAAUGUUGGACGGUGAAGCAUCAACACACGUACACAAAAUGGGUGUAGCGGAGAUGAGGAUGCUUCGUGGGAUGUGUGGGCACACGAGAAAGGAUAAGAUUGGGCAUGAGGAUAUCCGAGGUAAAGUAGGAGUAGCCGAAAUUGAAGGAAAGAUGAGAGAAAAUCGGUUCCGGUGAUUUGGACAUGGGCAAAGAAGGCCGACUGACGCUCCGGUUCGAAGAUGUGACUACGGGACAGAGGUUCAGGGCCGAAGGGGUAGAGGAAGACCUAGGAAAACUUUAGAAGAGAUUCUAAGAAAAGACUUAGAGUACUUGGAUCGAACGGAGGACAUGACACAAAACCGAGCGCAAUGGCGUUCUAGGAUUCAUAUAGCCGACCCCACUUAGUGGGAAAAGGCUUUGUUGUUGUUGUUGUUGUUGUUCAUGAAUUUGGUUAAUACAAUACUCAUCUGAACCCUGAUAAUGCUUAAACAUUUUCUCAUCUUUUGAAAAACAGUUUAAGUUGCCCACUGCAUAGUUUGUAGGGUGAUUGAGCCAAGAAAAAAUAAGGAGUUUUCCGACUGUCAAACCCCUAUUUUGGCUAGUAAGGGGAAAAUACUGGAGCAUCAAAGUUGGAGUCCAGAUCUGUUUGGGGUUCUUACUUAAAAUUGAAUCCUUUCUUUUCGUCUAAACUAUAUUUAUUUUGUCUAACGGCAUUGCAGAUUUCGAUUGUGCUCAUAAUUAUUGUUACUCAUGUUUGAUAGUUAAUUAUAUGGGAUCUUGUCAAAUUGUAGUUGGGAAUUCUUAGAACUUGGUAGUAGAAGUAAAAACUUGUGGGAUAGGUCAGAGGGACUUGACUUUACUUUCAUGUUGGUACCAAUGGAGGAUGGCCAUGGAGGUCUAGCAAAUGUAUUUGUAAAGGUUAUUAUUGAGUAAAGACUUGGUAUUGUUGGUCAACAGAAAAUCAAAAUUUGGUUUUGAAUUUCUUUUAGAAUUAGAUUCAUUAGAAUGAGUUUAUUGUGGGGCUGUUUUGCUGUUUCGAACAGUACUGAAAGGGAGAAGGUGAGUAUUUUAAUAGAUUUAAGGGUUAAAAACAGAUAUUGUAAUGAGAUUUGGGAAAUUUUAAGUAACCAUUAUGCAUCCUACCAACCAGUAAAUUUCAAAAAAUAGUAUAUCUGUAAUUAGUUUGAGACAUGGGAUCAAACAGUGUGCCUUUGUUACGUGCAUGAGCUUAAAACUCAACUAUCGUGUUAAAAUUUACACAUACUCCACUAAACCUCAAAUUCAAAAGGGAAGGCCUUUUAUUUGUAUUUCUCCUCAUUGGUGCAUUUUGUGAAUCUGAGGAGGAGAGUGUGGAUCAUGCUUUCUUCGUUGCUCUUGUUCUGCACAGUAAUGGUGGAAAUUGUUUCAGGGAGUUAUAGCUAGUAGGGUUGUCAACAUUGUUGUUUUGAGAUUCUAAGUAGCAAGUUUGAUGCUUUAGGAAGGAAGGAAGAAAGAAAGCUAAAGUUUUGGUGGGGUUGUUGGUGGUGGCAGUUUUUUGGAAUAUGUGGGUGGAGCGCGGUAGGAGAAUUUUUAGGAUUACAAGGGUGUGGGAGUAGAUGAAUUAUGGGACCUAGUUUACUGGGCAUCCCUGCUCUUUUGCCAUCAGUUUCAGAUGAAUUUAGUAAUUAUUCUAUAAUGAUGGAUGUGUUAGCAGCUGUGAAAUGAAUUCAGGUUUCAAGUUUUUAGCUUUUUGUAUCUGAACUCUAUUUUGAGAGGUCUGGUUUUGUACUAUAGGCUCGAUUUUUGGAUUGUAGGUAGUGUACCUAAACUUUGGAAUUGUUUCUGUUUUUAAUCAAAGUCGGUUUUCUUCAAAACAAAACCCAUUUGUUUCAUGCAAUAGUGAUCGCUUCUGGAUCCCAAUCUGCAUUGUUGUUUAAUGAUCUGAACUACCUAUAUUAUGUCUCAAUCAUGGAUCAUCUCUGAAAGACAUCAAUCGAAUCCUUCCAUUGUUUUAGACAUUGGAUUUUCACAGAGAACUGUUUGUAUAUAAUCUGACUUGAGGUUUUUAUUGCUGGCAGAAAUUGUCUGAACUCCUGAGUCUUUCUGCUGAACUUUUGUUAUGGAAGACAUCUACUAAUGCUGAGCGUGCUUUGGAACUUAUUGCUGAAGGUUUGGUAAUAAGCCCUAGCUCAGAAAAAUUACUUGAAAUGAAAGCAGAGGCUCUUUUUGCGGUUAGUAAUUUGUGUAAUUAUUUUCUGUAAUUGCUUUUGUGCUACUGUGAAUUUUGAUUGGGUGGAUUAAAACUCUUUAAGCAUUCACCAGAAACCCAGAAUGAUUUUCAGUCCGUUGUGGGUUGACUUAUAUGUUCCCUAACAGUUGCGGAGGUAUGAAGAGGUGAUUGAGCUGUGUGAACACACCUUUAGUUCUGCUGAAAAGAAUAACCUUUCCAUAGAGACCAAUGACCAGGCUGCUUGUUCGGAUGGUUCCGAAUUCUCAAAAUACUUUUACUUCAGACUCUGGCGGUGCCAUAUGAUUGUUAAAUCCUAUUUUUAUCUUGGAAAACUAGAAGAGGGUCUUGCGUCACUAGAGAAACAUGAGGAAAAGGUGUCUACCAAAUAUAGGUAACUUUUAGACCCGAUUUUAGAUGUUAAAUUAUGUUAAAAGUUUUGCUUUUGUUGCUUGAAGUUCCUUACACUAUUUAGAAUAUCCAGGAAUUGGAGAGAAACAGUGCAAUCAUCAGAACCCUUGUUCUCAUUGUACGUGAACUUCUGUCUCAUAAGUUAUGCUCAAUCUGUGCUGGGUUUCUUGACAAAGAUGUUUCCACAGAUAGUACAAUCCUCUUUAGGUGUACAUGUAAUGUAAUAUCACAGUUGAGUAGAAAUAUUUGAACUCAUCCCUCAUCUAUCUAUAUUAUUAAGAGAACACACCUUGUACCAGAUUAAAGAAAGCUUGGCAGGAUCCUCUUUAGCUGUCUUGCCACAUAACAUGUAAUUACAAAUAGAGAGAUGAAGUAUGUUGCAAAAGUAGAUAUGACUCUCUUAACCAUAUCAUGUUUCCUCAUAUAGACAGAGUGCUGUUCUUAUUUAAAAGGUCAUUUCUCAGACCUCAUUGGUUAUUCUGGUGGAACUUUCUCAUAUGUUUAGCACUUGCUAUGAUGUCUGCCUAAAGGUGUUUUUCUUGUCCUUGAGAUAUAUAGUAGUUUCUAGUCAUUCGAUUGCAGAUAUAUUUAGACCAAUUGCUUAUCUCAAACAAUAUUUGCGUUUUAAGUGGUGUCAGGGUAAAAAGUUGUACUUUAGUUUAUGCUAGGCAAUCUUCAGUGUCUACUAGUUUGUUUUUCCAAUGUUUGAUGCAUUUAAUUUUGGGAAGUGUUAUUGGCACUCCACAAAGGUCAACCUUUACUCCUACCUUAUAAAAAAUGAGAAAUUGCACUUAUGAGGAUUUUUUGGAGUACCAAUAACAGCUCCCUCAAUUUAUUCAUCAAUAACAGCUCUACUGCAUAUACAUGCUAUUUAGUGAUUUUCCUUUGCUAUUGUUCAUCACAGGCUGCUGGGAAUGAGGCAUUUCAGGGUGGAAGACAUACUGAAGCUGUUGAGCAUUAUACUACUGCUUUGUCCUGCAAUGUUGAAUCACAUCUGUUUACAGCUGUUUGUUUCUGCAAUUGCGCUGCUGCAUACAAAGCAUUGGGCCAGAUUACUGAUGCUAUUGCUGAUUGCAGUCUACCUAUAGCUCUUGAUGGAAAUUAUCUAAAGGUUUGCUCAAAGCUGAAGUUUCCUAACGACCCUUUGAUAUGGCAUUGCUCAUGAUUUUACUUAUUGAUUAGUUUUUUCAUUGGUAAAAGGAGGGUCUGGUUUUAUUUCUGUUUGACUGAUAUCAGACAUACACUUAGUCAUUAAGGGGGUGUUUGAUUGACCAGACUAGGACUGGAUUGUAACUUUUAUACGUGGGCUUAUUUUAGGCCAACCUAAGCCAAACUAAUCCAAGCCAAUCCCUACAGUUAGUCCAAGACAAGCCAUCCAAUGUACCAAACUUUCUGUAAGUGUAUUAGCACCUCUAAUCAAUUUAUAUUUUCUUAGUGAUGCAGUCUUCCACCUAUUUUUAUGUGUUUGUUCUGUUUUUUCCCGUGGACAUGCAGUAAAUGGAUCCUCAUUAAUUUUCAGGGAAAUCUUAUAACAUUUCAUUAUUUUCUAUUUCAAUUUGCAAUGCAAAACAUCUAAAUUUCCAAGAAUAUCACGUUUUAAUUUCAGAUUCCUGUAUCCUUAAUCUCAAAUUUGUGGUCAAAUUUUGAUACAAGAGUUUUAGUUAAUCCUUGAGAAUUUAAGAUAUCUAUAUAGCUCCACUUGAAGAUCUUCUUAGGAAAAAAGAUUGAAAUGAAGAAAAUUUUCAAUCAGUACGGUUUUGACACCAUUUUGGACAUCCAUUAUAGAGUUUAAUUUCUAAUUAAUAAGUUCUCCCAUAUCUACUGGUCUGUGUAAACAUCAAUCUCUAAGUGUAGCUUCUCCAUUGUUACAUCUUUAUAGACUUCAGAAAUCUGGUGUGCGUUGCUCAGGUUUCCUCUUGUAUUGGGUUAGGUUAUACUUUAGUUUGAAUAUCAGUUUCCUAUCUCGAAUCAACAUUGGGUAGAUGUAUAGAACACACCCUAACAGUGCUUCACAGACAAUAUUUACCAAAUUCAAACUGGAUUUGACCACAGAAAUGCUCCUUGGUGAUUAAUGUUUUAUAAGGAUAUACAAUAGUUACGGGUGUUUAAUAUUUGAAGUCUAUGGGUUGUUUUUGUUGGGGAUGGAAGAAGGCUUUCACUAAUACAAUGGAGUUGUCAUUCCUAUAUAUAUAGUUGAUUUUCCGGUGGCAAAUUGCAUUCUAGAACACUUAUUUUCUUCGAUUGGGUCCUCUAGUAUGUUAUGUUGGUGUUCCCAUGCAGGCUAUUUCUAGACGAGCCACAUUAUUUGAGAUGAUCAGAGAUUAUGGACAAGCUGCUAAGGAUCUUCAGAGACUUGUAUCUAUUCUCACUAAGCAGGUAGAGGAAAAAACCAAUGUGUGGAACAUCUGACAGAUCCAUUAGCAGCACAAGUGACAUGAGACAAGCUCGUCUUCGUCUUUCUGAAAUAGAAGAAGACAGAAGGGACAUCCCCUUGGAUAUGUACCUUAUUCUGUGAGUUUAUCUGCCUAUAUUUGUUUCCGGCAUAUGGUUGCAAACUGGCCCCUCUUUCGGGCGUUUACAUGAUCACUGCUAGACUAUACAGUAAAAUCUUUUGUUGAGGUUGAGUAGUUAUACAUUCAUGUGGGUGCACUGAGUAAUUAACUGUAGCUGUUGAAGCUGAGGAAAGAAAUUGUUUAAAUUAUGGGUGCUUCAUUGACGUCCAUCUUGUUCACAUUAGUAAAGUAUUCCUCUGUUGUUUUAAUGGCCAAGCAUCAAAAACUUCUUCAGAGGGUAGUUUAAGCAAUUUUAAAAAAUGAAAAGUAAAAAAGCUGGCUUUACGGCGAAGUUCAUGGGAAAGCCUAUGCCAGAAGCAGGGAGAACACUGUCUAGAGACUUGAUCUCAAAUUUGUGACUGUCAUGAAAAGAUAGACCGAGAUUAUCAUGCUUAACAGUGAAGCUGCUUUCUGAUAAUUCCAUGAACUAAAAUAAAUAAUUAAUUAUUUACAACAAGCUCUUUGUUAAUGCUCCAUGCUCUGAAUGGUUGGAAGUAUGAAGAAUCCAUGCAAUCUGAGAAAUACUUGCAUGCCUUUUAUGAUUCUACCAGAAAGAAAUUUGUAGUUUUUAAGGCAGUUUAGUUCGGAGUAAAAUUGAUUGAAACUAUCACUUUUAAGUUUUUUCGGUUAUAAUGGUAGGGGAGUCGAACCAUCUGUUUCAGCAUCAGAAAUCAAGAAGGCCUAUCGGAAAGCUGACUGAGACAUCAUCCUGACAAGGUAUGUAAUAUUUUCUGAUUUGUUGCUUGCUAACUGCUAUUCACCGUUUAACAUGUUCUUUUAUAGGCUGGUCAGUUGUUUUCAAAGAGCGAUAAUGGUGAUGAUGGGCGUUGGAAGGAGAUAGCAGAAGAAGUGCACAAGGAUGCUGACAAGCUUUUUAAAAUGAUUGGGGAGGCAUAUGCGGUACUUUCAGACCCUACCAAGGUCUGAACACACCUUGGCAGUAGUUCUUUAUUUAUCGCUCAGAUAAACAAGUUUUUUGGCAGCACCUUAUCCAAAAAAAAAAAAAAAAAAGGAUUAGAACUUUUUGUUCUUGUUAUCAUCUUUCUUAAUUGAGUUAUCAGAGAUUUUUGUCCUCUUAGUCAUUGGUAUAGUAUGGUUUUGAAACUCAUUUUGCAGCGAUCAAGGUAUGACACCGAAGAAGAGAUGAGGAAUGCACAGAAGAAACGCGGUGGAAGCAGCACAUCUAGAAUGCCUGCAGAUGUUCAGAGUUUACCCAUUUGAAAGAAGUAGCAGUAGGCGACAGUGGAGAGGUUUGGAGAUCAUAUGGCAACUCAUCUUCUAGAGAUAUUGAUGAAAACAUUGCCUGAUUCGAACCUUGAUUCUUCAGAAGAGGUUUUGAACGGGACGAGGUCAGAAGAUGGAUGUGUCGAGUUGCUACAUCUGUGGCUUCCCUUCAAGGAUCAACCGGCGUGUGCAAUUGGAUUCUACCUCCACACUCAUCUUCAGAAAUCCCUUUAAUUUUACAAACUUGAGAGCAUGCUGUAACGCUAACGCCUCAACCACAAAAAAUGUAUAUUCUCCAAAAUUCCUAGCACCAACAAUAAUAGGACAACCAAGCUCAUUUUGAAUCACAAAAAAUUGCUGCACCAAAACUUCCAAAAACAUACCCAUUAAGUAUAAGUAGACACUUAUUUAUAUGGUAAAUAAUAAAUUAAAUUAAAUUAAACAAUUGUGGAGGCGCAUGCCCUCCUCGCAGCCCAUCUUCUGCCUAGCAAUAUUUAGAAUCAUGUUCCAAUCUUUUUUUAAAAUGAUAAAAUAGUUAUCAUCUACUUUAAGUAUACCUUAAAUCAAAUAUUAGAGAUCAAAUGGGGCUUAAAUUAUGUUAUGUAUGUUGGAAAAUAAAAACGAAAGUAUUUAGGAUUUCAUUUAAUUAGUGAUUUUAUAUAAUUUAAUUAGUUAGGAUUUGAUUUAAUCAGUGAUUUUAUAUGAUUUAAUUAGGGUUUUGAUAUGAUUUGGUCUAGGUUUCCUUGUCUGGUAGACAAAUGAUUGUUUUGAUUUAUUUCCUAGUAUUGCUCCUUUGUAAUCUUAUAAAUACCUCCUUAUGGAGAAGAAUAAAUUAUUGAAGUAGUAUUUGAGAAUUGUGUGAUUCUAAAGAAUAAAUCUACCCUAAACCCUUUAUUUUCAACUAUGUAAGGUGCCGUGUAUGCAUCUAAGCCUAAAUGAUGUCACUUCUACAAGUUAGAGUUUUAUAUGAUUUCACUGAAGGACUUGAUUGGUAGUAUCGUCUCCAACAAUGAGAAGAGAUUAAAAAGGGUAAUGUGAGGGAGAUCAAAAUUUUAAAUGAAAUGAUGUGUCACCAAUAAGAAAUAAGCACGUUAAUCAGCGCUUAAGUAAUAAUCUAAUUAUCAACCAUCACAUCAUUUGGUUUGCAAAUUUAAUCUCCCUAAUAUUAUCCGGUUAAAAAUAUGCAUUUUUGGUCAAACUAUUGUGCCUCAAUUUUAAUUUUAGGCGAAACGAUUUUGUUUAUGUCAAUUUUAUCAUUGUCUUUAAUAUUGUUAUCAAUUUGAAGACAUUUGAAAUUGCGGUGAUUAAGUUAGAUUGAAUUGAGACUGGAAAAACACAAUAAUUUUGUUUUCACAUGACUGAUUAAUAUUUAUUGCCAUACUAACCGGUUAGUACUAAAAAACUAUGGAUUAUAUAUACACACGCUAAGGUCAUAUGAACAUAUGAAACGAGUAUAAAUGAAGAUGCUUUAGCCCAAGACGUAUGAAAAAAGGUGUAUACCAGUCUAAUCUUGAAAAUAAGCCACCUUGAAUAAGAAUUUUCCAACACUUGUCGUUGUUCAGAUCACAAUCUAGUUUAAUUGUCAUUUUCUACGCGGAGUCUAGACUUUGAAAUAUGGAACCCCAGCAGUUUUGGAGUAUAAUGGAUCUCAACGACUUUUCAAGGAAAUUGGAAAUGCCGACGAUGGCUACAAGAGCGAUGCUGACUUGGUGCAUCUUUCUACAGUGAUCAAAUCUUUAAUACGCAACACAAUAAUAAAUUCCCUACAUAACCACCACAACAAAACACAAUAAUACUUAAAUAAGAACCAUGGGUGCGUAUCUGCCACAAUGAAAACUACUUUUGAGAAAUUAAGGACUCGUUUUGAAGUGUUUUAAAACUAAAUGAAAGUGUUUUUUUUUUUUUUUUUGAAAGCCCUACUAAAAAUUCAAGUAGAUCGUGAAAAAGUACUUUAAGUGUUUCAUGUAAGAAGUACAUAUUUUGUGAUUCUUCUGAAAAACACUUAAAUUGAUUUUAGACUUAAAUUGAUUUUAGACUUCAAAGUCAAUUUCAUUAUAAGCACUUUCAAUCAUUUUACAAACACUUCCAAAUGAGUCCUAAUUUAUUUCGCAUGAGGAAAAAAACUAUAUAUAUAUAUAUAUAUAUAUAUAUGUGUGUGUGUGACUUUGAUCUGUUCAACAAUUAGAAUUUAUAAAUCAAUGAUUCACGCAACGUGACAAGAAUUAUCCUCAUAGAGAGGCAGCGAAUAUUAGUGUAACAUUGAUAAAUUUAUGGGUUUUGUUUCAAAGACAUGGACCAAACUCUGAUGGACGUUAAACCACAUAGAUAGAUGGAUUGUGAAAAUUGACCACAAUUUUGUUUAUUUAUUUAGGUUAAUCAAUUUCACUUGAAUUGAAACACCUCUUCCUAACUACGCAUCUGGCAGUUUUCAUGAUGUUAUCAUAUUUUUUAUGCAACUGCUGGUAGUCAUUGUCAUCAGUGGUCCACGCAGUGAUUGACGGGAUAAUGGGUCGUCGCCUAAUUGAUAAUAGUUUGGGGGAAAACACUCUAUAUUACCAAGGCCUAUAUAUAUAAUCAAUAUAUGUUAGUUAAGUUAUAUAUUUCUCCAAUAGCUUCAUGCAUUUUUCCAACGUAUACAAAACUGGAAAAGCUCUCAUGGCUUCCAUAUUGCUACUACUUGUAGUCUUGAUGCCAGCCCUGCAAAUAACAGGUCUUGCUUACUUUCAUGCCUGUCUGUAGUUUGCAUUUUUAUUUAUGCCUUUUACAAUAUGAUUACUGUUUUCUAGCUUAAUUGAUUGGACUGACGUGAGUAAUUUUCUCCAACAAUUGUUUCGAUACUAUAUUUACAUGUUUUAGUUAAGAGUCCGCUUGAUAUUCAUUUGGUUAUUGAUAUUAAUUAUUUUUUUUUUGUGCUUGAGGAAAGUAUAAAGAAGAAAGGAAGGGUGAAGUGAAAUCAACUCGAAAUAACUUUUGGUUUUCUUUUUGUAUGCCCUUAUAAUUAAUCAAAAUUGUUUUCUAAUAUUGGUUAGAACGAAAAUUCUAAAUUUUUAUAUUUAUGAAUCUCUACAAGAUAAUUGAUGAAUGUCAAUAUAUAAAUUCUUAUCUAAAUUUGAAGUUUAUUUCUCUCUUUCAAAUUGAACAUUAUUUUACAUCUCUCCCUUAUACCAACCUUCAACCACUCCUUCAUUCCUCAUUUUCACCAUAUACGCUCCUCAUAACUCAAGCAUGAAAAAUAAAAACUAGAUAAUUUUAUUUUUACAAAUAACUGAAAAUCCAUGCAGCAAAAGAAAAGAGCCUCGUUUGGCUCUCUUCUGUUACUCUUUUCUAUGGUGUUGAUCCAAUUGUCAAAUAUCCUAUUUUGAUGAAAUUGUAGCUAUGGAGUAUUUAACUAGAAGUUUCAUCCUUUCAAACAUUUCUUACGGGAAAUUCUACUUUUUUCUCUCCCACAACCCAAAACUCACCACAUUUUGUAUCGAAUCAUCUACUUAUUUCAGGUGCACAAUCUGUUGGUGUUUGUUAUGGACGAAACGGCAACAAUUUACCAGCUGAAGGAGAAGUGGUCGACUUGUACAAAAGCAAUGGCAUCGGGCGGAUGAGGAUCUAUGAACCAAAUGAAGCAACCUUGCAAGCCCUAAGAGGUUCCAACAUAGAACUCACUGUCACCAUCCUCAACAACGAGCUUCAAGCCCUCAAUGAUGCUGCAGCUGCAACUGCCUGGGUCCAGAAGAACGUACAACCCUAUUCAGCUGAUGUUAAAUUCAAAUACAUCGCUGUUGGAAACGAAGUGCACCCCGAUGCUGCAGAGGUCGGGUUUCUCCUGCCUGCCAUCCAAAACAUCCACAGUGCAAUUGUAGCAGCCAAUCUGCAAGGCCAAAUCAAAGUCUCUACAGCAAUUGACACAACUCUUGUGACCAAUGCCUACCCUCCCUCCGAUGGAGUAUACACUGACCCUGCAAACCAAUUCAUAAAACCAGUCAUCGACUUCCUCGUCAGCAAUGGGGCCCCACUCCUUGUGAAUGUGUACCCUUACUUCAGCUACAAUGACAACCCUGGUAGCAUAGACCUUGCCUAUGCCUUGUUCACUUCACAAGGGGUUGUAGUGCCGGACGGGACUCGAUACCCUAGCCUCUUUGACGCUCUUCUGGACGCUCAGUACGCAGCUCUUGAAAAAGCUGGUGCACCAAAUGUGGAGAUAGUCGUAUCGGAGAGUGGUUGGCCUUCUGAAGGUGGAAAUCAAGCAACCCCUCAGAACGCAGCCACAUUCUACCAGAAUUUGAUCAAGCAUGUGACGAGUACUACUGGGACUCCAAAGAGGCCUGGUAAAGCUAUAGAGACUUAUCUUUUUGCUAUGUUUGAUGAGAACCUCAAGGAAGGUAAUGCAGAUGAGAAACACUUUGGAAUUUUCUCCCCUGACAAACAACCCAAGUACCAACUCACAUUUGGAUAGGAGGAGUCACAGAAUCAUGUCUGAUGUAAACUUUAGUUGAAUAAGGGUGCCUUGUGCCCAGGUCUCUCACCCCAUAAAUAUGAGAUACAAUAAAAAGAAUACACAUGGUUAUCAUGAAUUCGGAUGUUGAUGAAGUUGUUCUUGAUGAUAUUAUUGUUGGAAUUUGAUAGUUAUUUUGUUGAUUUCUGGAAUUUCUCAAUUUGGUUACGAGUUUGAAGGAAGAAGAAGAUAAGAUCAGAGAGAGAAGAAUGUAUUCUGUAUUUGUGAUCAUUAAAACCAAAUUGAAAAAGAUAGAAAUUUUUAGCUGUUGGAGAAAAAACAGAGAUAUAACAAGAAAAACAAAAAAAGAAGAAAUGUACUUGUUUAAUUUCUGCUCAAAAACAAUAAAACAACACCACCUAACAUGUGCCUGUAAAAAUAACCCGAUCAAAUGAAAAAAAAAAAAAAAGGUACUUUCUUCAUCAUAUAAUAACAAUAGAAAAAAAGAGUGUAUAGGGGAUGGUGGGUGGCGACGAUUUUGGAG